CUGGAAUUCCUUGUUGGUGAGCUUGCAACAGAGAGAAGUUGCGCGGGAGCACGAAUGAGACGUUGUUCAUGCUCGCUGUGAAACGUGUACCAUUGGGUCCUUGGCAACGACGUUUUCGGAAAUUGGGUGGGCAGUUGUUGAGUCCCAGGCCGAUUGUGAAGAACAGGCUUUCAUCUAUAUCGGUUGGGACUUCGGCCUUUUCUCGACUUCUAAAGCUUUGGCUGAAAGCGGUGACAGUGUUGGUGUCGUUGUAGGCUGGUAAAGAAGGCAUGAUUGGAGUGGGUGCAUUGCAUUUUUUGGCAGCACAAGAGGCAGACUUGUAUUCGAGAAUGGCGGUGGUGGUCGUGUUGUCAAAUGGUGCGUUUUGCGCGCUUUGGUAGGCUCGAGCUGCCAUGUAAUAUCGAGAUGGUGGCUGAUCACCUCGGAUAAGAACAUCAGUGGUUUGGCCGGGGCCUAACAUGAGCACGGAAGUGGUGAAGGGUUUGGUAUAGGAAGCAUCAGCUCCAACAACAGUGAGCUUAUGGUUGGCUACUUUGAAGAAAAGCGGCUGGUUCAAGGCGGCAUUGAUCACUCUGAGGAGAUUCGUCUCCCCGGAGUCGACGGAAACUACUGUAGUCUCUGCAAAAAAGAAAACAUUAGUUAAUAACAUCGGCUGUCACCCGAAUGUGCGGUUCGAAUUCAAUUGGUUCGGAUCAAAUUACCUUUGGAGGAGCAUUUGUAGAGAUCACCAGGUUGAGCAUUGAUGGUAUAUGCAUCAGAGACAUUUGGAGCUGCCCCUGUUCUUGUUGCUUCCCUCACCACAUCAAUGGGAUUUGCAUCCCACCAUUCACCUAAUCAUAAUCAUAUUCAUCAGCAUAACAGUUCAUUCUGAUCAUCACAAUCAUUUGUACUCGUAACCGAAAAGGAAUCUUUACCGAGAAGAAUCGGUGUUUCGCGUUUCGGCUUAGGGAAAGGGUAGGAUUUGCCUUCUCUGGGACGGAUGAUGAGAGCUCCAUAAACAGUGGCUCUAAGCCAUGAACUGUGAGCAUGCCACCACAAUGUUCCUUCUUGUCCUUGAACUGUAAAUCUGUAAGUGUAACUUCCUCCCGGUCUAAUCGGACACUGAGUCACGAAUUCCGGUCCAUCUGCCCAUCCGGUUCUCAUUUGCCGCACACCAUGCCUGUAUAUCAAAGUGGUUAGGGUAAUUCAAACGUGCAAAUGGCAACUAGAAAUGAAUGAAGCUGAUGACAUGCGUGCAUGGCAUGCAUGCAUGAACGAAUUUGCAGUUAUUAAAUUACCAGUGGAUGGUGACAUUAUAUCGGGCUUUGUUGACAACUUGAACUUCAAGGGUGUCGCCAUUCUUGAUCUCCAAGGUAGGUCCAGGAAACAUGCCAUUAACAGUGAUGGUGUUGUGAGUCUUGCACAGCCUCUUCACUUUUGUUGCUUGAAUCUGUUUCAUUCACCAACCAACAUCAAGUUUUUUAUUUAAAUGUCCAAUGACAACCAAUUUAUUAGAAAGAUAUAUAUAUAUAUAUAUAUAUAUAUAUAUAUAUAUAUCAAAAGAAAGAAGUAAAAGAACAUACAACAAAUCGAUGUCGUUGAACUUCAGCAUUUGCAGACAAUGAAAGGAAAAUGACAAGGAAAAUGAAGGAAAACUUGUUGAAAACCCCCAUCUAAUCAAAGCUUAAUAGCAAAAAGCUUUGCUUAUUGGUCUGAGAAGUGAUAUGAGACAGAGAUAAAGAAAAGGGAUUUUAUAGGAAAGAUUAGAGUAGUUGUUUAGAGGUUGUCAGAUUAGGUUUUGAUUGGGCUAAAAUGGUGAUCUUUUCACUAAGUUCAAACCUGCAACAGAGUUGUUGCACCCACUAGCCCAUUAAAACUGAAUUAUGUCUUCAAUGCUUGCUUCACAAGGAGUUUUUUUUUUUUCUCUUUCUAGAUCAACAAAUUUUCUUAUAAUUCCUUUUAAAUUUUUUUUCCAAAUUAGUUAGAUGAUAAACUCAUUGUUUGAAAAUUAAUCAUACCCUGCUCAUGUACAUGUAGUCGUGAUUUGUACUUGAAAUUAAUUUAUUUUCUUGAGAACCAGCCCUUUUCAUGUAGAUGUGCACUAGCCUAUUUAAAUAUAAUUUUCAGAAUUUACCAAAGUCUUCCAACGUCAGCUCAUGAAAAUGUAAAGGGAGGAUAUAUGAUGGACACGUGAGAUUAAGCAAAGUUUAAUUGUUGAAAGCAAAUCAGUUUAGGUUAAAUGCAGGCUUAAAAUCUAAAAGAUUUGAAUGUAUAUUUUCAAAGAAAGGACAUAUUGAAUAAAUAAAUCGGUCCACUUUUGUUAGGUGGCAAUUAUUAUUAAAAUAAAGAGAUUUGAUUGAGUCUAACAGCUGAUUUCAUAACGACAUGUCGGGUGCAUACUUCAACCAGUGACUUAGGAUUUUUAUGAUAAUUGAAAUUAGUUAGAUUAUCUUACAAACAGUUAAGAGAAGAUCUAUGUUACACGCAUGCUGUCAUGUUUGCUGAACUAGAAAAGUUCAUUCCAGUCUUGUUAGCUCACGUUGUCAUUCAAAAUCGCAUUUGUCAUGUUAAAAGUCUUAUGUGUGUUGUGAUACGGUAUGUCAGUAUCAUUUAGUUUUUUUCUUGGUUGAAUGAUCAAUCUUUUAUUACCAACAUUGGAACAUGUUUGUAGUUUUGGAUAAUGUUGACUGUUGGAAUUUAUUAAUUUGAGGGUUUGAUAGGAUAUAGGUAUAUAAUUGAGUUUAUAUUUGUGAAACACCGACUCAACAUAGGUAAUGUUGUGCAAGUUUUUUUUUUUUUUUAUCAUUAAUCUCAUUAUAUGUUCUUAUCAUAUAUGCUCUUUUUAAAUAGGAGGAUAAUGUGCUUCAGUACACUUGAACUCACGUCAUCCUGCACCACUGACAACAAUGCCGAUGCCGCUAAGACUCAAUCGGCAGAAUGCUUUGCAAGUUAGGUGUGAAUUUUCGUAAAUGAUAUCACAGCAAUAGUUGGUUGAAAUAUAAGAUUAAAUGCUACAUCGUAAGAGAAUCCCGAAGUGGGAGUUGUUUAUAAAAUCUUAACGUUUAAUGACAUUAAGAUUAUCUAUUUUUAGACGUUGAAGUUUAUGCGAUAUCAAACUUUAAUUAGAAAAUAUUAUAUAGAAAAACUCCGAAGAAGGAUUUUAAUAUAAUGUAAUGCAUCUAAUCACUUCAGCAACCAUUUCAAACCAUUCAACACCCAUAUCAGCUACCCUAUAGGUUUGAGGCAUUUAAUAAAAAUAAAACCAUGAGACUUCAAAAAUGGAUGUAUGUAUCUCAUAAAAAGAGAUCAGCUAGUGUUCAGCAUAUGUUUCAUAACGGAAUUUCAUACUCAGCUCAUAUAACAUUGGAUGUUACAAUACCAACAAAUUUGCAGUGAAAUUUGGUUGUUUUAUAAUUUAGGUAACCAAAUGAGAUAUUCCCCUCAAAGUUGUAAUAAAAGCAACGUAAUAGAGACUUUUGUCCGAAAUUGCAAUGUAGAAAACUGUCGCUGUCAAUUUAGUGUAAGAACAAUAAAGACACUGAACCAAAAUUUAAAAAUGUUGAUAUUAUUAUAUUUUAAUUUAAUUUUACCACUAAGUUGUGGUUGUUUUCUAGUGGCCUCUGUUAUAAAUUAAUGUUGAUAUUAUUAACUGUUUUUUCUUGGAGAAAAUGUCUUGCAAAAGAAGAACAAAUGAUUUCAUCUUCGAGGACUAGGUUUAUUAGUUUGUUCAAAUUGCAUGAAUAUUUUGGCAGCAACUCAGAAACGACAACAAGCAAAGGCCAAAAACAAGUUUAAGCCACAAUGGUUACUCUCUACUAUUACAAGUAACAGUUAUAAGUAAACUACAAAAAUAAUAAAUUUAGUGAUAAGAAAAUUGUCUUAGAGAAAGAGAAAGGGGUAGGAUAAGGAAUAGAUAGGUGAACAAAACCGGAGGAACUAUUAACAGAGUUGGUGAAGUUUGUUGCAGACUUUUAAGAGUCUUAGAGAAGAAAUUUAAACUACAAUAACAGGGUCGUUAUAUGUAAUCAAGAAAAACAAUUUGUCUGCUCAAAGGAACAACAAACUCCUAGUGAAAAUCUCAACUACAGUCAUAAUUCUUAAAAUGACCAAAUCAAUAAAUCUAAGUUUUAAUCUACCUUGUUAAAAUAAACACCACACCACCUAAGUUUCUUUUUUUUUUUCCUCCAUGUAAUACAAGUUUUAGGAACAAAAAAGAUUUCGAGAAUCUCUUACUUUCAGAUUUCAUUUUCUUUUGAAGAAAAAAAAUUGGAAGCAAAUGUACAACGGAAUGAGAAGUAAGGGAUUAAGAUUACCAAGAUUAAGUAAUGUGGGUAUCCGGCAUUUGUUUUUCUUUCUUGAAAAAUAUAAUUGCAGAGAAUUUCACUUUAAAAUUUUGGCUAUUCGGUAUUCAAUUGUAUUUCUUGAAGCAAGAAAAAAAAAAACUCCCAAAUAACAAAACAAAAACAUAUAUCAAAUACCUGAAUUGCUUAAUCUUGAUAACCCUAGCUUCUUACUUUCAAUCCCAUUGUAAAUUUGCUUCCAUUUUUGUAUUUUUUUAUUUUGCUUCAGCUUCAAAAAUAUAUAAAUAAAUAUGAAACUAAGAGAUUACCACUUUUUUUUCAGCUUACAACUUGUAUUACAAUGCUCUAAGAGAAAAAAAAAAAGGAAAAUAUUGUGUAACACCCCAAACCCGACCCGAUCGUCAGAUCCGAAUGUGUGAUACCACAUUUCUAACAACCCUCGCCCGACCCAUGAUCUACCUUAAUUUGAUAUUUCAAAUUAGACUCUCCAUUACACUUAAUGAGCUUAGUUUUGUCGAACAAAUCAUAUGGUUUUGUCGUGUUUUUACUUAGUUUUAGUUCUUUGCUUUAAUAAGUGAAUUAGUGCAUUUUAUGCUACUUUUGAGACCAGAAUUGGUCAAAUGCGCCAUAAGGAUCCUAAUGGUUGAUUGAGUGUUGUAGGGAGUCAUCGGAAGCCCGAACAUGAGCGAAAACAUCACCUAGAAGAGGGUAUCGCGACAUCAAAGCCUAGAACUCGUGAUACCCCUGAUAGUGCUGAAUUGAAGAAGAUCAAGGCACUUCACAGUGAUAUCGUGAUAUCCAAGCAUGGGUAUUGACCUGCCGCCAAACGUAGUGAUAGUUUUGGUACAUUUUGACACUUAAGGAGCUUGUUUUCUUGGAACUUUAAUAUAUUUUAUUACAUUUUUGCAUUUCUUAGUUUAGAUUUAAUUAUUAGCAAAAUAAGUGUUUUUACGCAAUAAUUGAUGUUAGUUGACCUAUUAGGCCAAUACAGGCAUUAGGUAGUGCUAAUCGAUCGAUUUGAGUGUGUAUGAUGUGUAUUUCUAAGCCGAAAAGCCUUAAGAACAAUACCCAAGCUUCCCGAGACGCAACACGUGAAACCAUAACUCCAAACUCAAGAAAUCGGUGUCGUGUCGUGACACACCCCCUGUGUUGAGACACAGGCUGAACGUGGGGCGCAAGCAAUGAUGACGUCAGUAAUCCUAUCUAGGAAAAUUUUCUUAGAUUUUGUUUAUGGCUUGCACCCAAAGUAUCAACAGUAUUUUAGGCAUAAAGCUCACCAAAAUUAGCCUAUAUAAAAAGGUUCUUAUAACCCUAAUAGACAAUCAAUUUUAGACCCAGCCACAUAGGUUUCUUUCUUUAGUUUUUAGUUUUAUUUUUUUGUAGUUGGAAUUCUUUCUAUUCCAAUGUAAAGACAAUUGCGAGUGGAGAUUGCUCCGAAACCGCACUUAAAUACACUUAUUCAUGAGCAUUCUCUUUACUCUUCUAUUUUAUUCUUUUAUUUAUAUUUUGUUUAUCUAGCCAAUUAACAUUUGUAUGAAUAUUGGAAUAAAUUGUUGUGAUUUAUUUCAUAUAUUGCAUGUUCCGGUUAUGGAAUUGAUUAAUCGAUUAAGGAAUUAUUUAUCCAAAUUUGGGUGUCUAUUCAAGAGUACUAAGCAUAUAAAGGACUGACGCCCCAAGUAGAAUAUCUAGACAGGUGAGAUCGAGUGCCGAGCAGUAAGACCAAAAGGGUAUCUGUAUGCUUCAGAAGAGACCGAAAGGGUGUAGGUGGUAAUCCUUAAUGAAGAUGAGACCGAAGGGGCAUUCUUAGCUAAUGGUGAUAACUAACUUAAUUGAGGGUAAUUAGCAACUUAAUGGUUAAUUAGGGAUGUAAUCCAUCAUAGGUUAGAGGCUCACAUUGUUGACAUUAGGAAUAGGAAAUUCCAUUAGGUUAGUUUAGGUUAAUUAACUUAAUUAGUUUAAUUAAUACAUUAAUAGCUUUCAAACUACUAACUUGUGACUCAAUUAGAUUAGUAAUUUAUUUCUGUGAUUAAUUUCAUAAUAAGAUUCUCCAAUAUGAAAUUCCUUGGGUACGAUCCUCAAAAUACUUACCAGUGUUUCGUUGUAACACUACUAUACUAUAAUUGAACCCGUAUACUUGUGACACUACUGAUUUAAUUAUAUGUUUUUGGUGUAGUAUUUAAACUCUAAACGGUAACACAUUUAGAGACAGCCAAGUUUUUGGCAUUGUUGCUGGGGAUUGAAACCUUUGGUUUUACCAACAAAUUCGUAGUGAAUUGGGUACAUCUCAAAACUCUUAAAAUGAGAAUAAUGAGAAUUAAUUUUUUUAAAAAAAAUUUAGAUCAAAAUGAAUAAAUCUAAGUUUUAGAUUUANNNNNNNNNNNNNNNNNNNNNNNNNNNNNNNNNNNNNNNNNNNNNNNNNNNNNNNNNNNNNNNNNNNNNNNNNNNNNNNNNNNNNNNNNNNNNNNNNNNNCACACCACCUACUUUUCUUUUCUUUUUUCUCCAUGUAAUACAAGUUUUAGGAACAAAAAGAUUUCGAGAAUCUCUUACUUUCAGAUUUCAAACAACUAACUUGUGACUCGAUUAGACUAGUAAUUUAUUUCUGUGAUUAAUUUAAUAAUAAGAUUCUCCAAAAUGCAAUUCCUUGGGUACGAUCCUCAAAAUACUUACCAAUGUUUUGUUGUAAAACUACUAUACUAUAAUUUGACCCAUAUACUUGCAAACACCACUGAUUUUAAUUAUAUAUUUUUGGUGUGAUAUUUAUACUCUAAACGAUAACAUUUUUAGAGACAGUCAAGUUUUUUGGCGUUGUUGCCGGGGACUGAAACCUUUGGUUUUACCAACAAAUUCGUAGUGAAUUGGGUAAAUCACAAAACUCUUAAAAUGAGAAUAAUGAGAAUUAAUUUUUUUUAAAUUUAGAUCAAAAUGAAUAAAUCUAAGUUUUAGAUUUAACAUUUAAUCUACCUCGUUAAAAUAAAGAGCACAACACCUACUUUUCUUUUCUUUUUUCUCCAUGUAAUACAAGUUUUAGGAACAAAAAGAUUUCGAGAAUCUCUUACUUUCAGAUUUCAUUUUCUUUUGAAGAAAAAAAAUUGGAAGCAAAUUUACAUUGGAAUGGAAAGUAAGAGAAUAAGAUUACCAAGAUUAAGCAAUUCGAGUAUUUGGUAUUUAAUUGUAUUUCUUGAAACUAUUUGAGUGCCAAACGGUAAAACCAAAAAGGUAUCCGUAUGCCUCAAAAGAGACCGAAAGGGUGUAGGUGGUAAUCCUUAAUGAAGAUGAGACCGAGAGGGUAUUCUUAGCUAAUGGUGGUAACUAACUUAAUUGAGGGUAAUUAGAAACUUAAUGGUUAAUUAGGGAUUUAAUCCAUCAUAGGUUAGAGGCUCACAUUGUUGACAUUAGGAAUAGGAAAUUCCAUUAGGUUAGUUUAGGUUAAUUAACUUAAUUAGUUUAAUUAAUACAUUAAUAGGUUUCAAACUACUAACUUGUGACUCGAUUAGGCUAGUAAUUUCUUUCUGUGAUUAAUUUAAUAAUAAGAUUCUCCAAUAUGCAAUUCCUUGGGUACGAUCCUCAAAAUACUUACCAAUGUUUUGUUGUAACACUACUAUACUAUAAUUUGACCCAUAUACUUGCAAACACCACUGAUUUAAUUAUAUAUUUUUGGUGUGAUAUUUAUACUCUAAAUAGAAGCAAAAAUGUAAAAGGGGUCUUCUUUUUUUCAAAAUAAAACACGAAAACUCUAAAAAAAUAAAAGCAAAAAAAAUUCAAGGUUAUUCCUUUUUCUUUUGGCAUAAGAUCUAUUUUUUCUUUUUUUCUUUCAUUUUUUUCCUUUUUUACACACGUAUAAUCAAAAAUAAAUACAAAAAGGGGAAAUCUUACCUAAAAUGGUUCUGGGUCUUGAAUCGAGGUUCUGGGAGGCCGGAUCGGCUGAAAAGACCUUUCUCUAGAACUCCGGCCACCACACGCGGUGGCAGACGGUGGCGACCACGGCCGAAAACCCUAGGCCGAAUGGAGUUUGAGAGAGAGUGCUCUCAUUUUUUUUAGAAGCUGAUAAAAAAUGAAAUUUUAGGGUAUAUUUUGGCUUUUAUAGGCGCAUAAAACAGUGCCGUUUUGGCCCAACUCCUCAGCCCCCAAAACGAUGUCAUUUCACCCCAGGAUCCGCGCGUCGACCAGGCCCGACCAGGGGAUCCGCUCAUUUUGAGAGUUGGGUUAUUUACUAUUUUAGCCCCUCCGCUUUUUUGAUAUUUUGCAAUCAAGUUUCUUUGGUCUUUUUAAAUUGCACCCCAUAAUUUAUUGCGAAUUCAGUUUAGUCCCUAUUCGAAUGACGCCGUUUUAGGGGAGAAGGGAAAAUAAUCUCUUCAGUCCCUCUAUGUUAUUCACGCGUUCAGAAUAGUCCCUCCCCUUUAAUUUAUUUGCGAUUCGACCCCGAAUUUUAUUUUUUAAUUCAAUUUAGCCCUCUGUUUGUAUUUUGGUUAUUUUAUUAUUAAAACUAAUAAAUUAUUAUUAUUAAUAUUAUUAAUAUUAUUGUUAUUAUCAUCAUAUUUUUGUUUAUACUUAUUAUGUAAAUAUUAAAUAUAUGUAUCUUAUUCUAUUAUUAUAUAAUUGCUUCUAUAGAUAUAUAUACACAUAUAUACAUAUUUAAUAUUUACAUACAUAUAUAUGCUUUUUUUUAUAUAUUUUAUAAUUUAUAUAUAUGUAUAUAUGUAUUUAUAUACGCAUUUUAAAUUUAUAUAUAUAUACAUACUUACAUGUAUCCUCUUUUAUUUUCAUAAAUAUGUAUACACAUACUUAUACAUACUCUUUAUAUUUUAAAAUCUAUAUUUUUCUUAUGUAUUUUCUAUAGUUUAUAAUUCAUGUGUACAUAUAUUUUUAUAUUUUUUUCCAAUGCAUACAUGCACAUAAUAUAUAUAUAUAUAUAUCUACAUACGUUUUUUAAUUUUUAUAAAUACACAUAUAUAUAUAUGCCUACCUUUAUAUUUUUUAUAUUUCAUAACUUUAUAUACAUAUAUACAUACAUACUCAUAUAUAUUUUUGUUUCAUAAUUUUAAAAUAUGCAUCCCAACAACGUAAUCUAUUCUCGUAUUUUUCAUUACGACCUCGUGUUUUAUUUUUUACUCGAUAUAUCAAAAUUUGUUUUAAAUAAAUAGCAUUUCGUAUUUUGAGAUUUGGAAAAGUCGUAUCCUAACUUACAGGAUUUUGAUUUUCCUAAUACAUCUAAAAAUACGAAUCUUUUCAAGCAAAAUUUUUACGAUCUCGGGAUUUAACAAAAGAUCAUGUUCUAACUUAUGGGACAUGAUUUUUUUUCUAAACCCGAGAUAAUCAAAUGUCUCCCAAAUAAAUAAGUUUUUGGUAUUUGUUCUCGUAUCAGGAAUUCAAGACAUUGUGUCCUAACUUACGGGAUAUAAUUCUCUCUCGAUAAACGUAAAAUAUACCCUUUUCUCAAAAAUUCUCAGUAUUUUAGCAAAGGAUCGUAUUUUUAAAAAACUCUUUAAAAUUUUCAAUCUUCGACACUAAGACACUAAUUAAUCAACUAGGUACCAAUUUUGGGCGUUACGAGGGUGCUAAUCCUUCCUCAUACGUAACCGACUCCCGAACCCGUUUUCUAAAUUUUGUGGACCAAAAUUGUUGUUUUGAUAAAAUCAUUUAUUAAAAACAACCAUUUCUGGAGGUGACCCGAUCACACCUCAUCAAAAAAAGAUUGGUGGCGACUCCCGUAUUCGUUUUUUAAAAAUCCAAGUCGACCCGUUUUAUCAAAAAAUGGUGUCAACAAGUGGUAUAUCAUUAAAGGACCCUAGCACACUCUGUAACACCCCUUAACCCGUAUCUGUCGCCGGACUAGGGUUACGAGGUAUUACCAAACAAAACACAGUUCAGAAAAAACAUUCUUUACAAUUCAUAGGCCCAGUAAUGUAUUCUCCCGGAUAAAAUUUUUCGAAAUAAAUUAAUAAACCAACCUCUUAUUCAUACAAGUCAAAAUCAUUUAUUCGAAUCACAUAUCUAACCACACAAAUCAUGCUUUAUCGAACAUUCUCUUAUACGAACUAUAUUUCAAUAUCUAACAAUUUCAAAUACGUUUGCUAAUUCAAAACUUUCAAGCCAAGCCAUCAAAUAUCAAAACCAAUUUGUACAUGUUUCAAAAUUACAAAAAUCCAAGCCAUAUCAUUAACUAAAUAACAAACGUAAUAUUUAAUAAACAUUAUACAUACACCUGUUAAACUAAUUUAGCCAUAUCUCGCAGUUUAAUAAUCAUUUGCACAUAAAACGUUAGGUAACUUUAUACAUGACCAACUAAUUUUUUUUUAACAUCAUCCAACCAUGUGCAUAACACCCUAAAACCAAAAGUCAUUUCUAAAUUCAAUUACCAAAUCAUAGCAUUUUAAACAUUAUAACCUUAUGUACAUUUUACUAAAUCAAAUUUAACCAUUUUCGAAUACAAAUGCCAAGUCAUAAAAUAUCUAAUUUGCAAGCUAAAUAACAUAUCUAACAUGUUAUAUUCAACCACACACAUGAACCUCAUACCUAAUUCGCAUGCGAAAUAUCAUGCUUAUAAUUCAUAUACACAACCAAUUAAUAUUUUCAAUAACCAAUCAUUCAAUUAACCUCCAUAUCAAUUAGAUCAUAUACAUUCUUUGUCAUUCAAAAAUCGAGCCUAAAUAGUCAAAUACCAUAGCCGAACAUAUAACUACCUAUAUAUAUGACACAUUUUAUAACCAUCAUUGAAUCAACGAUUUGCCCUUUUUAAAACGAACUACAAGCAAACCUUAAAUAGGCAUAUGUAUUCAUAUCUCAAAGGUCCAACAAUUUGAAAAAAACAACCUUUCGGUUAUCAAAUUUAACUCAAUAAAUCAUAACAUCUCCAUCACUCAGUCUAUAAGAUAAACAUAUUAUCUCAUAUCUUAACAUCAAAACAAUAUGUCAUUUAUAGAUAUUCAAAUGACCCCUUUUACCAAACCAUAUUAUACCACUUUUCAUGCUACCAAAGUGAGUUAAUUAAUAAGCCGAAUAUAUACCCUACUUACCACUUCUCAUUGCCAAAUCAUAUAACCAACAUCACAACAAUUUACCAUAAAUCAUACCUCUCAAUUAAGCUUAUAACAUGACCAACUAUAAUUACCAACAUUUGCAUCAUGAACAAGCCAUUUUCGCAUGGCUAUAUACAUAUACAAAUUUCAAAAAUCAAAUAUAUCAAAACUAGCCUAUACAUGCCACAUAACCAAAUCUCAAAGCGUUUAUUUACCGAAAUGAAUACUGGAUAGUGUGAUGAGAUCUCCCAAGACUUCCAACCCGAGCAAGUCUCCAAAACUCUAUAACAUAGGAAAAACACACAGAGUAAGCUUUGAAAGCUUAGUAAGCCAUAAGCAAAUAAAUCAUUUCAAUAAUGUUUAUAAUUCAAUUUAACUAAGCUGAAUUUAACAAAUCUGAACCACAUAUACAUUCAUCAUAAUCGUAAUUUCUUAAAACCACAUUAGGUAACUUCACUAGACUUAAUUAUGGAUGGACAUAUAAACCAUGUUUUCAAAUUUAUAUAUCUACCAUUAGCUCAUUCGUAGGAUUAAGCUUCCACAAUUUCAUUACAUACCAACCGAAUCAUGGUCAUUUAUUAGAGUUUAUUCGUAAAAAUAUAUCAAUUUCUAUUUAUACACUUCCAAGCCCAAAUAACCAUAACAAUUCACACAUCAAAACCAUGUUCCGUGUUUCAUAAUUCUCAUGUCUGAAACAUAGAACAUUAUUUCAUAUAACGAGCAUAUAUAACACAUCAUUCAUUACCAUAUAUUUCAUAUAUAUCAUCAUUUUAAUCAUACUCACAUUUCUUAUAUGAUUAAUUUUUUCAUAGUUCACUUGCUAAUAUUCACAUCUCAUUUUCACAUAAAUUAUAUAACGAAUAAUCAUAAUCAUACUCAUUUUCAUUGCUCAAAUUCAUAUUCAUCACAAACAUACCUGAUUCAGAUGCACAUUCAUACACUCAUUUAUUUCUCGGAAUGCCCGUUGAACCGUUCGGAAUCAAAUAGGAUACUUGGAUAGCUAAAAAAAACUCCUACAAUGCCAACAUCCCAGACGUGGUCUUACAUGUAAUCAAUAUCGAUGCCACUGUCCCAGACAGGGUCUUACACGAAAUCAAAUAUAAUGCCGAUGUCCCAGACAUGGUCUUAUACAUAAAUCUCAAAUCGAUGCCAACGUCCCAGACGUGGUCUUACACGAUAACACAUAUCGGAAUCCUAUGUCAUGACAUAUGUAUCCUAACUAUUCCUAUGGUUCGUACGGGGCUUUUCGGACGUUGUAAUUCUAUCGAUUCAAGCUCGUAAGUAGUUCUCCAACUCUAAAUUCAAUUCGGCAUAUACACAUAUAUUUAUUAAAGAUCAAUUCAGCACAUAUAACAUAUAUACAUUCAAAUUUAACAGCAUUUAUUUACUUAUGAACUUACCUUGUACGGACGCUAACGGACCGGAACGGCUAAUCAAUAACUUCCGAUUUUUCCCGAUCCAAAUCUGAUUUCCAUUUUUUUUUCCAAUCUAAUUAAUAUCAAAAUUAACUUAAUUAUUCAACAUUCCAUUAAAUUUUCAUUCAAGAACAUAUAAAUGGCAAUUUGCAUUUUAGCCCCUAACAUUUUGCAUUUUUCUCAAUUUAGUCCUUAUUUCAAAAUAACAUAAAAUACACAAAAUUUCACUAAAUCCUUGUUAGGCCAAAUUCUACCCAUACUACUAGCAGCCCAUAUUUUUAGUUUAUUCACACAUUUAACCUUGAAUUUUACACUUUUCUCAAUUUAAUCCUUAAUACACAUUUUUAUCAAAAAUCACUUAAUUAAACAUAAUAAUCUAUCAACAAAAGUUUAUAUUUCAUCAUCAAACCACAAAAAUAUCAAGCUAACAUCAAUGGCAAAUUUCAAAAUCAUCACCAAUUCACAAAAUUGAAGCAUGGGCUUUAAAGAACACAAAGCAAUGAUCUCAAAAACGUAAAAAUUAUCAAAAACCAAAUAAAAACUAACCUUGAAUCAAGCUUCAAAAAUGGCCGAACCUAGCUUAGGUUUCUUUCUUUUUUUUUUCUUUAGUUUCAGUCAAAAUAAGAUGAGGAUAUGGCUUUUAAAUUUGUUUGUCUUUUAUAAUAAUAACUUUAUAAUAUAAUAAAUUAUUAUAACCUUUAUAAAUAAUAUAAAAACUACAUAUUAUAAACAUAAUGUCAUCCACUAUCUUAAUUAAUGGCCUAAUUUCCUAUUAAGGACUUCACAUUAUAAAGACAUUAGCAAGUUAGCACUUUACACAUUAAGUAGUCAAUUUCACAUUUUACGCGAUUAAGCCCUUUUCUGAAAUUAAGCAGACAAACAAUAAAAUUAAUUCAUGAAACUUUCACACAUGUUAAUUCAUGCAUAAUAAACACAGAAAAUAAUAUUAAGAUAUAUAUAUUUUUUAUUUUUAUUAUUUUUUUGGUACUCGAAUUUGUGGUCUCGAAACCACUGUUCCAAUUAGGGUCAAAAAUCGGGUUGUUACACACUCUCUGAUUAAUAGCAUGCUAGUGCUCUCCGAUUAUUAGCACAUUUAUGUUCUCUGUAUAAUACAUUAGUGUUUUCUAUUUAAUAGUGCAUAAUAAUGCACCUCUGUAUCAGUUCCGUAUAUCCUAAGUGUUCUAUUUAAUCUACUGGGCCUCUACUAAAAAGAUAAACAAUUUUCGUUACAAGGUAAAUGUUUACCUCUAAUUCACGUUUGAAAUAUUGAAUUAAAAAUAAAUUGUGAUAAGAAUGAAUAGAAAAGGGUAAUCGAAAGAAUAUAGAAAUAAUGAAGUUCAUGAACAAAAGAACACAAGGAAAUUUCGAGGACGAAAUUUAUUUUAAGGGGGAUAGAAAUGUAAUACCCCGAAAAUUUCUACAGUAAGGAAAGUAAGAUAAUAUCUCUGAUAUAGUAAAAUAAGGAAAUAAAGUGAUAAAAAGGGUAAUUUUGAGUUAUGUUAACAUUGGGAAGUAUAUUAUGACAUAUUAAUUCAAGAAAUGAUUAAAUCGUAAAAGGGAGAAAAGUUUUGUUGCCCAAGAGUAAAUACUCAAAAUUUGAAGGGUUAAAGUGUAAAUACAAAAAAUUUGAAGGACCAAAGGUGUAAAUAUUUUAAGGGUGGAAUUAUCUAGAAACUAAGGAAAAUGGAUGGAUUACGACCAAAUUGAAAAAGGUGAAAAAUUUUUAGGGACUAAAUCGUAAUUUUACCAAAUUAAGUGAUGACUCAAGGAUGGAAUUUGAAAAGAUUAUAAAGGGCAAAAUGGUCAACUAGAGAGAGAGAGAGAACUCUAGAAGGUAAUGAUGAUGUUGGUGAUAUUUUUAUUAAUUAAUUAGAUAAAUGUUAUUUAAUUAAUAUUUUAUUAAGAUUUUUAGUAUUAUUUUAUUACUAAAUGAUUAAUAUAAAAGGGAGGAAAGAUGAAGAGAAUUCAUCAUCUUUUCCAUGCAACCAAAGUGAGAAGAGAGGAAAAGAAAGAAAUUUUCAUUUCUUUACAAUUUGGUCAUUUUACCAAAAAUUCACUAUUUUCACUUAGAAAUCAAAAGAAUUUCCAUAGCUUCCAAGAGAGAAAAAUAAUAAGAAGACAAUGGGGAGCUAGAAUAUCAAGUUAGAUUCAAGAAAUAGAAGCUGGAGGAGAGAGAAAAUCAAGUUAAAGAUUGAAAUCAAUAGCACAAGGUAAGAACAUCAAGAUUUCAAUAUAUUUUUAAGUUUGAUAUUAUUGAAAAAGUAGGAAAUUAAUGUUAUAUUAGAGUUUUCUUAUAUAAGGUCUUGUGUUCUUGAUAUAUUAGUGAAGGGAAAUAAGUGAAAGUGAUGAGAAAUAUUAUAGAGAAAGGGAAUAAGGGAGUUAUAAACUUAGUAAUCAAAAUCUUGCACUAAAACAAUUUUGGACAGCAGCAGUAGGUUAAUUUUGGAAAAUCACUAUAAAUCGUGGAAAUCGAAUUAGAGGAUGAACAAAAUAUAGAAUUAAACCUUAUUGAGUCUAGUUUAUCAUAGAAGAAACGGUGUAAGUAAUGAAAUUAUAAAUCAUGAGAUAUAAUAAAUUUUGUGAGACAAGGUCAGAAUGAAUUCGGGUUCCCCUAUUCUGACUUUGGAAAAUCAUCAAAAAUUGAAUAAAAAUAAUUAGAGGCUUAAAUUGAUAUGUUUAAAAUCCUGAAUGAGUCUAUUUUCAAUAGAAACAAACGAGAACAUCAUCCAAAUUCUGUACAAAGAGAUAAUUAAUUUUUAGUGAAUAGGGGUCGGAACUAGAGGUGUCCAUGGGCCGGGUGGCCAGGCCGGCCCGACGGCCCGCCCGAAAUAUGGGAGGGUUCGGGUAAAAAUAUAGGCCCCAAAUAUGGGUUUGGGAAAAAACCCAAGGCCCGUUUAGAAAAUGGGUUGGGCCUCGGGCACCACUUUUCUGGCCCAGGCCUGGCCCGGCUCGACCCGAAUAUAAUAAUUAUAUUUUUUUAUUUUUUUAUUUUAAAAUAUUUUUAAAAUAAAUUUUUUUAUUUUUUAUUUUUUAAAUAAAUUUUUGGUAUUUAUUAAAAAAUAGGCCGGGCCGGGCCAGGCUUAUGAAUUUUUUCUAAGGCCGGGCCUGGACAAAAUUUUAGGCCCAUAUUUCGGGCCGAACUGGGCCCGGUCCUAGGUCACGGGCCAAAUUUUUUCUGGGCCCGGCCUGAACCCGGCCCGGCCUGGCCCGACCCAUGGACUCCUCUAGUCGGAACUGUCAAACAGUGAAACAAGGGAAAAUUUAAAGAAUAAAUUGUACUUAUUGGCUAAACCAAAAAUUUUGAAAAUUUUAUUGUAAGAAUAUAUGUGAGUCUAGUUUCAAAGAAAAUUUGCGGAUCUUAAUUCGAAGUUCUGUAGCUUAAGAUAUAAUUAAUUUAGUGACUAUGACUCAAGUUACAUGCUUGUUAUAAGUAAACAAGUAAAUAGUGGUGUUAUGUAUAUAUCAAGGAUGUGGAAUGGAGUGGAGGAGGAGGAAAAAUAUAUGUGAAUAUUCAGCUAAUAUGAGUUUAUUUUAAAAUAGCUAAUUUACAUGUUUUAGAUUCAGGGACUAAAUUGAAUAAAAGUGAAAUUUUAAGGGUAAUUUUGUAAAAAAGUCAAAAAUGACCAAAUUGUAUGAAAUGAAUUGUUUUAUUAUAAAUUGAAUGAAAUAUUAAUUUAGAUCAAGGUUGGGUGAAAAUUUGAGGAAAAUGGAAAAUGACCAAAAUAUCCCUAAAUUUUGGUAUUUUUGCAAUUUAGCCCGGUAAGUUUGUGUAACUUGAAUUAUAUUCUUAAAUACUUGAAAUAUACUUUUCUUGAUGUGAAUAUGAUUUGGAUGUUUAUUGUAUGAUAAUUGAUGAAGUAUUGAUAUUCUUGAUGAAAAGAGAAAAUAAAUCUCGGUUGAAUGAAAGGAAAAUUCGAUGGAUCUCUGAAAAGGAAUUGACGGUAAAAAGGAUCUAGUCCGGACGGGAGAUCCUAUCCUGAUAUAGCCCUCCCAAAAAAUAUGUGGAAAAUGGAUUUAGCCCGGACGGGUAAUCCGAAUUAGGGUCUGAAUUUAGCUUAGACUGGUAAUUCAGAUCCAAGCUCAUUAGAGUAAUUGUCAUUGCAGGGGAUUUAGCCAAGACUAGUAAUCCUGACAAUACUCUAUGAGUUUAUAUUACAGGGGAUUUAGCCUGGACUAGUAAUCCCGCUGUAAGGAUAAGGUUCGCGGGAAUGUGCUCUCUGAAAUGGAAAUGUGCGCACAUGAAUAUGAAUUGACGGACCCGAAUUUCUGAGAAAUUCAACGGGAUAAAUAUGGAAAAUAAUAAGGGUAAUAGAAAACAUGGAAUUGAAUUAUUAUUGGAAAUAUAUUAUCAAAAUUUAAUACCCAGUUUGGAUUGAACACGGGAUUGAGUACAAUUGUUCUAUGCCAAAGGAUGAAUCGACGGAUAAAACCAUAACUGGGUUAUGGCAUUACAAAUGUAAAGGAUGGAUUGACGGCAAAUUACCCAAGUAAACUGAGGUUCAGCAAUUGUUGUGGACUUUCGUGUUUACUAUCUGUUUAGCUCUCAUGAGCUUAAGUUCAGCCUUCGGGCUUCUGAAAAUGAUGUACUCAUAUCCGUAAGUCGUUCUUCGAUACAGAAAGAAGCGGUAAAAGACUUAUGUGGUUGAAUUGAAAGAUUUAUAGAUUAUUAUUGGUAUUGAUCUAAAAUAAAUGUAACCAUUGAUAUUUAAAUGAUAUAAUGGGUAAAGUUCUGAAGUAAGAUAACAUGAGUUUGAAAUGAACUAUUACCGGUAUGUACGCGAAAUUCAUGAAAAUGAUGGUACAUGAAAUAUCGAAAUAAUGAAAUGAAUGAUAUAUAUGUAUGAAGAAACGAUAAGAGAAUGAUAUGUAUCAUGACAUGUAAAUGUAUGAUUAUCUUUAAUAUGUUGAUACAAGAAAAUUAUGCAUGAUGAGUUUAUAUGUAAUGUGUGCAAGUACACUAACCAAUGUUGCUGCUUGAUGCUUAGGCAAGUGCCAAGCUAUUGGUUGAAUAGUAAUAUGAUUAUUUAAUGGAAGCAUUGAAUUGAUAAGUAUUUGAGGGAAAAUAUGCUAGUGUUCAUGAAAAAGUGGUAUGGUUUAAAUUAUGCAAUUUCUUAUGAAAUGACUUAUCACGUAAUCAAUUCGGAAAAGGCUUUAGUUAAAUGCACUAGCUUGUGACUAUGAUUGAAUGAUAUGUUUAUGACUUGUGUUUCACACAUAUGGAAUAAGUGUGGAAAGUAAAGAAAUGCAAAUGAAAAUAAAGAAAUUAUGAAGAGUUAAAGUUAUAUAAAGUCCUACUAAGCUUGGGAUAAUAUGUAAGUGAUACUGUGAAUUUAUUCACCUUGUGAGUUGAUGAAUAUAGCUUCAUGAGUACUAUGGUAUUAAUAUAGGAUUAUUCUUGAUAUGUAUAGAUUUCAUAUUUUAAAUGAACUAAUAUGAUUAAAGACUACAUGAACUUACUAAGCAUCCAUUGCUUACGUAUUUGUUUUUUUUAUUUACCCUACAGAUUAUCUAAAGCUCGAUUGGGUUGGAAGCUUGUCAGAGAUAUAUCACACUAUCCAUUGGUUCUAUCGGUAAUUUUGGAUGAUUUGAUUCUGGUUAUAAUGACAUGUAUAAGUUAAUUUGGACAACGUUGGCUCAUUAAUGUUUUAAUUUUGGUUGGUUUCAAAUAUGAAUGCUAGAUGAAAUGAAAUGUCUGAAAAUUAAUUUGUAAAUUUUUGUAAUGCUCCGUAACCCUAUUCCAGCAACAGAUUCGAGUUAGGGGUGUUAUAGGAUAUGCCUUAUUAAAGUAUUUUGAUUAUAUGCAUAUUGAUAAAAUGGUUGAAAAUUUAAUAUGUUAGGUAAGUUUUUGGUUAAUGCAUAGUUAUGAGAAAGAUGGAUGAUAAUGCCUUGGUAUAUGUUUAGAGAUAAAAUUAGAAGCUUAGUUAUUCAUAUUAAAGUACCUUAAUGGUUGAUUGUUUAGGUGGGUUGAACUUAAGUAUAUGUAUUUGGCUUAGUUAUUGAUGUAUUGAAUUGAGUUGCACAUGAAUGGAAUGCUUGGAUUUUGAUUUACAGGCAUUUAUCAGGCUUCAGUAAAUUUUGAGCAUAAGUGGAACUUUUUAAUAUAAGUUUUUACCAUUUCUGAAGUCAAGUGUCAAUACUUUUGCAUCUGGUAUCGAUACUUAACCAAAUGAAUAGUUUGAAAGCAAACAAAAUGUAGAAAUGGUAUCGAUGUUUAUUUAAGUAUCAAUAUUUUUUUAUCGAUACCAGGAAAUAAAUAUUGAUACCCUUAUUUUGCAAAGAAAACAUAAUUGAAUUUUGGUAUCAGUUUUUAUUAAGGUACCGAUUCGGUAUCGGUACCGACUGUGAAAUUUCAAUAUUGAUUUUUAAACUUUAAAAUUUUGCAAUUUAAUCCUACCAUAUGCUUGAAUUUCACAAGUAGGUCCAUGUAGAUUACAAAUUUUCAAUAUGCUUGACUAUAUAUGAUUUGAUGUUAAGUAUUUGGAAUUUUGUUUAGUAAAGUAUAUGUUGAUUGUUGAAUUUUGUUGUAGAAUUAGAACUCAUAUUCAAAAUUUAGUAUCAAUUUUCAAUGACGUGUCUGCAGAAAAUUUAUUGCAAGUAUUUUUGCUUCGAAGUUUGAUUGUCUUGAGACAUUAAACCUUGUGUGUCAAGACAUGGUCUCAUAUGUCUCAAGACCAACCUCCCUUGCUUUCCUAUUUUAGCUUUGAUGUUCGGAUGCCUCAAGACAAGGGGUUCUUGCCUUGAGACUUGAAAUAGGGCAAAAACUAAUUUAGCUUCAAAGUUUACUUGUUUAGAGACAGAGGUCACAUGUCGAGAGACCUAAAAGAUUAUCUCCAGACGAUCUUACCAAGUCUCGAGACAUUAAGCAUACAUUAAAAAAAUAUGGUAAAUUUUGUUCUUAUGAACUUGAGACAUUUUCAACCUGUCUCAAGACUCAAUCGUAAAUUCUCCCUAAAUGCACAUUUUCAAGUAUCCAAAAUUUAUCAAAAUGUACCUUAAACAUAUCUAAACAUUACCUUAAUAGAUGAUCAUCAAUUUAUCGUAUACAAACACCAACUGUAACAUCCCAAUUUUUUAGUUUAAAGUUCGUAAAAUUAUUUCAAGAUUGUGCUAUUGGCUUAAUGGUUAAGGGGAAGUAAGGAGUUAGUGUAGUUUGCUAUUUUUGCUCCCACUCCCUUAGUUUUGUGCCGCCCAACAUAGAUAAACCUUAAGUAUAUAUGUUAUUUCUUUCAUUUUUUCAGCUUUUUCUCUGUUCUUCCUCUGCUCUUUCGUCCUUCUCAUCUCCCUCUCCCAUUCUUCUAAUUUUUUUCUUCUUUUUUCCUCUUGUGUCAUCCCAAACACAUCGAAAUUUACCAUUGUUGUGCUGCCUCUUUGUCUAUUAUUUUUCUUCCAUUGUUUUAGCCGCAUUACUAUCAUUUUUAAUCCCUAAAUCAACCCCCUUUUACUAUCCAUUGCCGCCCCUCUCAUCCACUUGUGGUGGUAUCGGUUAGUUUCCUUUUUCCUUUUCUUUUCUUUUCCUUUGCUUGCCCAUUUUUCUGCUAUAUUUACAACCAUUUUACAGUUUUUUCCAACCCUAAAAAUCAUCCCCUUUGUUUCCCAAAGAUCUCUCUUUGUACCAUCCAAGUUAGCCCCCUUUUAUGCUGUCGUUUGUGGUGUUGUCGCCCUUGGAACACCAUUGGUUUGGGAUACUAUUUUCUCUUAUUUUUCCACCCCUUAUGGCCGUCUGUUCUUUGAUUUUUCUUUGUUUAAAACAACCCUUAAUGUUCCAAAUCAAUAAGGUAUAUGAACAAAUUCAUCUGACAUCUCAAAUCUGGUUAUCGAGUAGUGUAAGUACGGAUCUAUGUGAGAUCUUGUGUCGAUGAUUUCGUUAAUGGAUACUAUUUUGGUUGAAUGCUCAAGGCCUUAGGUUUACUUUUACUUACUUAUUUUUGUGUGUUAUUUCCAACUUAGGAACUAAUUUUGACGUCCCGGAUCAACAAUGAAGUCGAAUUUUGUUCGCACCCUGGUUUCACAUCAAAUCAAUGUAAGUUAGCUUCUCAAAUUGGAUUUGAGAAAAUAAUUAGUCUAGCACUAAUUUGACCGAACCCUUAAGGGGUGUUUCAAGGCUGGUUAUAGCCAUAUUUUAACGUGUUAAGUGUUGUAAUUUGGAUUUAGUCACAUCUAAGGCUUAAAUGUAGAAGUGUGAACUUUACGGGUUAGUGUUGUGGACUUGUGAAUUAAGGUGUAGGUCUUUCCCUUUCCUAGAUUAGUCUAAAAACCUUAUAAUACGUGUUUAAAUGGUAAACUUGUUUGAUGGUUUUGGCAUGAUCGAAUGGCCUAAGUGCUAGUAUAUGAGGUGCUGAGCGAAGUACAUAUUUAAAUAGAGAGCCUGAUUGUUAAAGGCCCUAUUGGGACUAAAUGAAUUGUGUAUGAAUUGUAUGUGAUGUAUGAAUUUGUGAUGUAAUUGGUUGAUCGUAUGUUGGUGUCAAAUCUCUGAUUGCUAAGUCCUGAUGAAAAUGUAUGUACUGUAUGCAUGUAUAGCAUGCUGAAUUUUGAAACACUGAUUAAUAUGCAUGUAAUAUGCCAUGAAUGACAUUGAGCUUGUAUGUAUUUAAAUUACACACCAUCUGUGAAAAUGAUUGUAUGGAAAGUAUGUACGCAUGCCACUGCUACUGUAAAAUGACUAGCAGUUUACUUAGCCAUUCUGGUGGUUAAUGUAGCCUUCAUGAUUCAAUCAUAACGUUUAGACCAUGUUAGAGAGAUUACAUUUGGUGGUAUCAGAGCCAACUUCAUAAACUUAGCUUGAGGUUUUUUUAAAUGGGUCAGCAAUCAUUUAUUGAAAGCAAGAGAGAUUUUGGGAAAAACAAUUCACAGGAAUUUUUGAACAAAAUAUAUUUUUAAAAAGGAAAAAUAAGUCCGACACUCCGGUGUCGGUUACCAUAGGAAUACUACUAAAACUAUAGAUACUCAUUAGGGUAUACUGUAUAAAAUUUUAAACAAAAAAUUAAAACAAAAAUUAGAAUUGGAAAGAAAAUUUUUAACUAAAAAUAACUAAAUGUGUUUUUUUUUACUUUGAACUGUAGAUAAAUGAGAUAAAAUUUUCUAAGCAAAAGGGUAAGGUUCUAGCUUAUGCAUCGCACCAACUCAAACCUAAUAAGAAGAACUACCUAACCCAUGGUUUGGAACUGGCAGUAGUAGUAUUGACGUUGAAGAUAUGGAGAUAGUAUUUAAAUGGAGAAAAGUGUCGUGUAUUCUCUGAUCAUAAGAGUGUAAAGUAUUUGUUGACACAAAAAUAUUUGAAUCUAUGCCAAAUACGUUGGAUGGAACUGCUGAAAGAUUAUGAUUUGACUAUAGAGUAUCACCUUGGAAAAGCAAAUGUUGUGGCUGAUUCUUUGAGUAGAAAAACAGUGGAAGCGUUAACAUCACCACAAGAAAAAGUGAGUAUGGUUGGUGAUGGAUCAUUAUUGAUAGAGUUAAGUGUUAAUCCAACUUUUCUCUCUCAAAUUCUAGAAGAGUAGAUGAAGGAUGCACAUUGUGAUAUGUAUAAGCAACGUAUGAUGUCUAAUAAUGCAACAAAUUUUAGUCUAAGUAAAAAUGGUAAACUGCGAUUCAUGGAAAGAAUGUAUGGACCAGUUAGGAAUGGAUUAAGAAAAAAUUUGCUAAGGGAAGCUCAUUUAGGGACCCUUUUCACUCCAUCCAAGCAGUAUCAAGAUGUAUAGAGAUUUUAAAAGAUUAUACUGGUGGCCUAGAAUGAAGAGAGAAAUCACAGAAUAUGUUUCAACCUGUUUGACUUGCCAAAGAGUUAAAGCAGAAUAUAAAGUUCCCUCAGGUAAGUUGUAAUUUUGCCUUUUUUAUAAUUCAUGUAAGGUAGGUAAUCCUCUUCUAUAAUGGAUGAAAGAUGUUGUGUAGGUAAUGGUUAUUUGAAGUCUUUCAAUCUGAGUGCAAUCUUUCUGUGAUAUAAAGUAAGCAUCAUUCUUCAUGCUUAAGCCACUACCAUCUGCUUCUGAUAUGUAUGAUAUGAUAUGAACUGAUAUGAAGUGAUAGAGAUGAGGAGAUAUGUCUAUGUAGACUCUGGUAGGGUAGCUAUAUUGCAAACCGGAUUGGCAGAUCACGAUAAAAGAUGUUGUUCUGAAUGAAAAUGAUAUGACGAGUUAAAGGGAAGAAUGUAUGUGAAUAAGAUUGAAUGAUAUGCUUCUGAUUUUAAAUUCUAAGUACGUGGCUGACAUAAGAAUGGGUUUGUUUGAGUUGGGUUGAGCUGGCGUACAGUAUAUGCCCUAGUGAUUACUAAGUUGGCGUACAGAUUCUGUCGGUGUUCUGUAUACGCCAUUGGACAUAUUAUGUGAAUGUGUGUAAAUCCUUCAGAAAGGUUCAAAUGUACUAUCAGUAACAUUAAGUAUGAUUUCUCUGUGGAACUUAUUAAGUUCAUAUGAACUUUCUUUGUUACCUUUACCUUCUCAAGCUUGUUGAUUGAAGGAAGGCUUUGUUAGAAGGACUACGCCAGAGUGCUACUACUAUUGUGAGUUGACUGCUUUGUUUCGUAUCAUGUACAACUCGUGGGGGUGGCAUAUAAGUGUAUUUGUAAAUUAUUUGUACAAAAAACUUACGUUUUGAUAAGACUCUAUUUUUAUGAUAUCUCUAUAAAGUAUUAAUGCUUAAUAAAGUUAUAUUAUUUAAACUUAUACGCCAGAUGGUUUGUUUAUUAUUUUUAAACUGUUGAUGUUUUCAUUCAAACAUUAUGAUAAUACUCUAAAAAGACAUACUUUUAUGUGUUAAUUACAUAUAUAUUUUGAGUAUGAUUCUACUAAAUUGUGUUUUUUAAAACACUAAAGGACGAAAAAAUAGGAGUCGAUUCACCAAAAAAAGUGCUUAACGCUAGGGUUAACGAAAACUCGAAUCUAACACAUCAACCUAUGGCUCAAACGAUUUGGCAAUUCACCGAAGCUCCUACAAAACAACCGCCGUUAUGCAUUGCGUAUCCUACUAUUGAUACUAAUUUUGAACUAAAGUCAGGAUUAAUCCAGUUACUGCCGACUUUUCGUAGAUUACAAAAUGAAAAUCCACAUAAAUAUCUAAAAGAGUUUCAUAUGGUUUGUCUUAGUAUGAAACCUCAAGGCGUAAGUGAGGAUCAAAUCAAAUUGUGUGCUUUCCCGUUUCCCCUAGCAGAUUCUGCUAGGGAAUGGUUAUUUUAUCAACCUCCUAGAUCUAUUAGAACUUGGACUGAUAUUUCCCAUUUGCUUCUCAAUAGGUUUUUCCCAACAUCGCGUGCAACUGAGUUAAAAAGAGAGAUCGUUGGGAUAAGGCAAAAAGAUGUGGAGUCUCUUUAAGACUAUUGGGAGCGAUUCAAGAAAUUAUGUGCAAGUUGCCCACAAUAUGGGAUAACAGAAUAGUCUUUGCUCUAAUACUUUUAUAAGGGCUUAAAGUCCAUAGAGAUGAACAUGGUAGAUGCCGCCAGUAAAGGAGCAUUGGUCAACAUGACUCCCCAACAGGAAAGGGACUUGAUAUCCACGAUGGCUGCAAAUACUCAGUAAUUCCGGGCCAAUCCUGAACCCACCAAAAGGGUUCACCAUCUAAGUAUUUCAGCUUUAGAAGAUAAAGUUUAUUGACUUACUAAUAUCAUGAAUUCUCUUUUUGCAGUAAAAAUAGGACCAACCCAACUUUGCGAAAUUUGUGCAACACCCAAACAUACAACUGAUGCAUGCCCUAGUUUUUGUAACGAUACUAUGGCCCAUUUAGAUGCUGUGGGGAACUUUCAUGGACUACCCCAAAGGCAAUAUAACCCCUAUGCAAAUACAUGUAGCCUAGGAUGGAAAGAACAUCCUAACUUGAGUUAUGGGGCAAACCUACAGUAUAACCAGCCAUACCAAAACCGGUUUCCACAACAAAUGCAAGAUUCAAGUACCUCUCUAGAAACCAUGGUCAAUAAAUUAGCAGCUAAUGUGCUUGAUUUCCAAUAGCAGAUACAACGACAAAUUGUUAAUUUCCAACAGUAAAUACAAUGGCAAACUCGUGAUUUCCAAAAGGAAACAAAGGAUUUUCAACAGAAAAUCGAGGCGUCAAUAAGAGAGUUGACCACAUCAAUUGAGAAAAUAAACUCACAAGGAAAGCUGCCAUCACAAAUGGAACCUAACCUAAGACAACAUGCAAAUGCAGUGACGUUACGAAGUGGAAAAGUGCUAGAACCAAAUAUUGGCAAGAAUUUUGAUCAAGAUUUCACCCAAAAAGAGUAGGAGAACGAUGAACAGGUCUGAACGAAACCUCCAUUGCCCAUAAUUCAACCUUCAUUUUCAGGACGAUUGAACCAACAUUAGAGAGGUAAGGAGGAAAAAGAGAUCCUCGAAACAUUUAGAAACGUCGAGAUCAACAUACCAUUGUUGAAUGGCAUCAAACAAAUUCCACGAUAUGCCAAGUUCCUUAAAGAGCUUUGCAGCAGCAAGCGAAAAUUAGCUGAAAAUGAAAGAGUAAGUUUUGGUGAAAAUGCAUCUGCGGUGUUGAAGCAGAGGAUGCCAGUAAAAUGUAAAGAUAGAGGCAUGUUUGUAAUACCAUGAAAAAUAGGACACUUAGGAAUUAAAAGAGCUAUGUGUGAUUUAGGGGCCUCCAUAAACGUAAUGCCUUUUUUUCUAUUUAUGAAUCACUUAACGUGGGUUUUUUGAUGAAAAUAGGUGUUAUCAUUCAAUUAGUAGACAAAUCUAUUGUUCAUCCCGAAGGAGUCCUUGAGGACAUAUUAGUGAAAGUCAACGAACUUAUCUUUCCUGCGGACUUUUAUGUGAUAAAAGUGGAAGAGGAUAGCGUUCUUAGGUCUUCAAACAUCUUGUUGGGGCGACCUUUCCUUAGUACUGCAAAUACUAAGAUUAACGUGCGUAGCGAAACCCUCACGAUAGAGUUUGACGGGGAGAUCGUGAAGUUUGACGUUUAUGGCGCUAUUAGUCAUCCUAGUGAAAUUUUGAAUAUAAACCGUGUAAUACCCCAAACUCGGCCUGGACGUUAUGGCCGAAUCUGGUGAUGUCACGUGAUAGUGUGUUUGAAAAUCGGUGCUCGUGUUGAAAAACCGUAACUUUGCUUAAAACAUUUUCCGUUUAGAUCUCGUCGGUAUAUUUUAUUAAUCCUAAAAUAGUGAUUUUUAUUCAGUCGUUAGUUUGUAAAAUAUUAUACGUUUUGGAAGCUUUUUAAAACAGUUUUUGUCCUUGUGGUUAUUUUGCUAAAACACAUGCAUUUCUUUUAAAAACUCGUGUUUUAUCUACCUCUAGCAGAUAUAAAAUCCAAAUUUUAAGAAAAAACUCAUAACGGCUAUUAUUAUAGAAAAAUACCCCAAAUAAAGCUUUAAAACAAAUAAACCUAAUUAAAUACAAAACAGUAAAAAGGAGUCAUGUGGCCACAGCAGAGUCCUCCACCACUUCGAUCCACCUAAGUCUGAGGAUUUCCUGAAAAGAUGAAUCAAAAUGGUGAGUUUACGAAAACUAAGUGUGUAAUCCCCACAUAAGCAAGCAGACAGUAUGCAAUCAUAGUCUGGGCCUAAGCCCAUUUCGAUAACAGUUUCAGUUUCAAUUAGGGCCUUAGCUCAUUACAGUACAGAAGCAGUCAUGCAUUUGGACCUUGGCCCAUUACAGUAUCAAUACUCAGUACAGUAAUAGAUAUGCAGUAUCAAAUCCUACCCAGCCAGCUUCUACACUCCAACUCUAUCCAACCCUAUACUCUAUGUGGGAAUAUAAUCAACCCACCCAUCCCUACACUUCAAGUAGCACCGAAUGCGGCACUAGACAGUAGUUUGUAGCUGAGCUGCCAGUAAUUUAGGCUCGAGGCCUUUCAAUACACCUCCUCCGAACAAUAUAACCCCACCCCAAUGCAAUGCAAUAUACAUAUAUGACAUGUUAAAACAUAAUAUCAUGCAUAAAAUCAAGGCACAUAGUAUCAAACCAGUGGGACAUCGUCAUGCUUAAUAACAUGCAUAAUUGUAUCAGUCAUAAAGUCAUUUGAAUCAAUUAAGGGUCUAGGUAAGCUUACCGACCCUACAGAGGUCCACAGUCGACUCGGGUGACCCGUGCAACCUUAGCAGUCAAAUAGUGAAAAUGGGCCCACGACCCAUGUUGCAUGCCCAUGUGGGCCAACAUGCUCGUGUGGCCCACACGGCCCAAAAUGGCCUUGGCCGUGUGGAUUUCACAGCCUGGCCCAAAAUUCUCAUACAUCCGUGUGGUUCACUCGUGUGGGGCCCAUGGGCCCGUGUGGCCCACACGGCCCAAUUCGGUCUGGCCCAUGAAUAGCACAUGGCCAGCAUCGUCGAUCACACGCCCAUGCUCGAUCACACGGCCUACCACACGAGUGGCCGCAUGCCCGUGUGGCAUCGAUAAUCACAUUUUUCGUCUUUUCACCGAUUCCCGUUUUCAGAGUUGUGUUUCCACACCUGGUUACGAAAGAUGCGCACACAGUCCUCGACCACUCACAACCUACUUUCAACCACAACCACUCGAUUAAUCGCAUAACAAUCGUAUUUAUUUAACUUGAAACAAAGUAAACCUUUUCUGAGCGACAAGCUAAUACCUUCUAUCAAUGAACCAAAACUCCCCCACACUAAGGCUUCGACGGGAGACUACGUACCUUUCAGUCCUCCCCUUAUAGGUAGAAAUGAAAUAUAUUUAAGAAGAGUUGCUAAAAGGAAAUGAACCGCUUAACCAAAAACUUACCGAACGAACGAACUAAGUUGCACAACAGAGAAAAAUGGCACGAACACCGGAGGAAAAAAGGAGAAAUAAGGGAAAACCCAAGAAGAAUUCAACAGUAACAAUGGAGGAUUUUGGCUGGAAGCAAACAAAAGAGAAAGAAUAAAAAGAAUGAAGAGGGGAAACACUAGAAAAAGUUUCGGCAAAGAGGGGAAAGGAGUAGCCAUCAGAAAACUUGAGAAAUUAUAGAGAAGGUGCCAAAAUUGUAGAAAAAAAGAAUGGAGGUAAUGAUCAGAUUUUUCAUACACUCAGCCCCCAAUCCCUUAACUUUCUCUCAUAUCCCUAACUUCUCUCCUAAAAACUUCCCAACACACUCUCACUAACCCUCAAAUUCCCCCCAAACCUUCCACCCUAAUCUCUUCAACAACCGAAUUCAAAUCUCACUCCAACUCUACAAAAUUUUGGUCAAACUACAACACCCACACGGCACAAGGAAUAAAAAUAAAUCCCAUGAUUGCGCAAGUACUCGAACUCCAGACCUCUUGCUCAUUUGUCCUCCACUUAACCACCAGACCAGCAGACCCUUUCUAACAUAUUUUUACUAACUUUAAACUAUAAUCCUAUUGAAUAAAAGAAAGGCUUUAUUUAAUUAAAAAAAGAUUUAGCUCAAGACAAGGCUUGAACCCAAUACUUCUUAGACACUCCCAGAACACAUAACCACUAAAGCAGACAGAUAAUUUGUGUCACAAAAACACAUAAAUAAAUAUAAGAGAAUUUUGGGGCAUUACAACUCUACCCUUUAAAAGAAAAUUUUAGCCUCAAAAUUUUACCUGAUUAGAAUAGAUGAGGAUACUACUUACACAUCGCAUCCUUAGGCUCCUACGUGGCCUCCUCAGUGCUAUGAUUACACCAAAGAACCCUUACCAGUGGGAUGGAUUUUCUUCUUAGAACCUUUACAUCUCGCUCCAAUAUCUGAACCGGCUCAUCCUCAAAGGUUAGAUCUGACCUAACCUUGAUCUCCUCAACAGGAACAAUAUGCGUGGGAUCAGAGCGGUAGCACCUAAACUUAGAGAUGUGGAACAAGUCGUGAAUUUGAUCCAAUUCCGGAGGUAACUCCAACUGGUAAGCAGCUGGUCCCACUUGCUUAAGCACACGGUAAGUGUAACAGCCCGAUUUUGGGCCUAGUCGGAACAGUAGUUUCGAGAUCACAAAUCCGACAAGGAAAAAAUUAUUUUUCUUAUAUUUUUAUGGUCUACGAUUUCACGGAAUGAUUUUGUAAAAAUUUCGUUCGAAAAUUUCGACGUUUGGGCACUCAAUUUAAUCAAAAGGACUAAAUUAUAAAAAGUGCAAAAGUUAAGUUCUACAUGUUAGAGGUGUUCAACUGUUAUGAAACUUUAAAUUGGAGGUCCUUAUAUGGUAAUUAGAUCAUUGGUUAAGUUGGUAGAUAAAAAUGGGCAUGAGAUAAGUGAAAUAGGAAAUUUUUAAGUUAGGGGAAAUUUGGUAAUCUAGUAUUUAAAAUGAAUUAAAAGGGAAAAAGAUGGCAAAUUGUGCUCAUCUUCUUCAUUUGGACGAAAUCAGCAAGGGGGAAGCCAUUUUUAGGGUUUUCAAGCUUCCAAGCUCCAUAGUAAGUGAUUCUAAGCCCUGUUUUUAAUGUUCUUUACGUUUUUAGAGUCCCGGUAACUUGAUUUUGCUUAUUCUAGCAAUAAUUUAAUCUAGGGUUUAUAUUUGGAAAAAUACCCAUAUGUGAAAUGUGUUUAUUUUGAUGUUUUAUGGUAGAAUAUGAAGCUAGAAAUUAUGUUAAGCAACUUUUGCUAAGCGAUUUUGAGUAAAAACGAGUAAAACGACAUAAUCGAUAAAAAUACUAAAUGUUCAUAAGUGUUAGAGUGGGAAUUUGAUGUUGCCAUAGAAGGGAAAAAUGUUUAGCAUGUCAUAAUACAUAAGAAAAAAGGAUGAAGUUUAAUUUACGAGCUUUGGGGAAAAAGUGUAAAUAUGCAAAAGUUUAGGGGCAAAAUUGUAAUUUUUCCAAAGUUUGAGUCAAGGACUGUUUUGAUAAAUGUGAGUACUAAAUAAGUCAAAUGUGUUAUUAUAGAUCAAGAAAGAAGUGGAAUCGACAUUGACCGGAGAAAAGAAAAGAUUAAAGACUAAAUUGCUAAAUUUUUAUAUUGUUGCAUCAAAGUAAGUUAUGUGUAAAUAAUAGUAAUAUACUUUUAUAAAUUGUGAAUUUUAUUUGAUAUGUGAAUCAAUAUUAAAUGUGGAUGGAAAAUUGUUCAUGAAUUAUUCAAGUGAUAAAGUGUUGAAAAUAAAGUGUUAAGUGUAAAUUCCCGGUUGAACUUAGGAAUAGAAGUGGAUACAAGUGACAUGUCACUAGAGAUCAGUGUUACAAUGUUACAGUGAGUCUCGGGUGCUGGGUGAUCUAGCAUGUGUUGCAGACACCUGACAACUUGUGUGAGCAGGCCCGUGGACAUUUCCAGUGUUAUUGAUCAGUGGUAGCUUCGGCUACAUUUCAGUGGUAGCUUCGGCUACAUAUCAGUGGUAGCUUCGGCUACAUUUCAGUGGUAGCUUCGGCUACAUAUCAGUGUGGCACUUAUGUGCUAAUUCUCUAUGUAUCCGUGUAUAUUUCGAGUGUUCAACGGGAAAUUGACUAAGUGAAAAUACAUGAGAUCAUGUAACGAUUAAGUGUAAUUGAAUAAUGAAUAUAUGUGCGGAAUUGAAUUGAAUAUUGACUUGAAAAUGGAAAAGUGAAUUUUGAAUUGAAUAGUGAUUAAAAGUGAAAAAGUGAAAUUAUGAAAAUGUAGAAUUAGCAACAAAACAGUUUUGGACAAUAACAAUAGUGUGACUUUGAAAAAUCACCAAAAAUGGUGGAAAUUUAAUUAGAGGGUGAAUAAGAUAUGAAAUGAAAUCUUAAGGAGUCUAUUUUUACAUAAAAGAAACAAAGAAAUCAAAAGAGUUAUACAUUUUGAGAUAUUUGAAUUUUAGUGAGGCAAGGUCGGAUGGAUUUUGGAAUCCCCUGUUCUGACUUUGGAAAAUAAUUAAAAAUUUUAAAAAAAAUGAUUAUGAGUUAUAAUUUAUAUGCUUAGAAUCUUUAAUGAGUCUCAAAGGGAACAAACGUAAAUAUCAUCUGAGUUCUGUACAAUGAGAUAAUUCAUUUUUAGUGAAGAGAUGUCAGAGAUGUUGAGCAGUGAAACAAGGGUGACUUUAAAGAAUAAACUGUACUAAUUUGCCAAGUAAAAAAUUCUAAAAAUUUUAUGGUAAGAAUACAUGUGAGUAUAGUUUCAAGGGAAAUUAACGGAUCUUAAUUUGGAGCUUUUUAUCUUCAGAUAAAAAUGAUUUAGUGACUCUUACUCAAAUAGACAACUUUGAAUUUAAAUAUAAGUGAAUAGUGAAAUUAUGUAUAAUGCUAUUUAAGCAUGUUUUAUACAUAAAGGAUGUGGAAUGGAGAGGAGGAGGAGGACAAUAAAAUGUAUGAAAGAAUUGUGUAUAAUGGUCAUAUGCCCAAUUAUAAUCGGUAAAUGUUAAAUUGAAUGGUAAAUACGUAUUGGUACUGAAGGAACUAUUGCGGUAUUGAAAAGCAAUUGAUCAAAUGUUUAAGAAAUUUAGUCAUGACAUAUAUAUAUAUAUGUGAUAAUAAUGAUAUAUGGAUGAUUAUAUGAUUGAGUUGCAUUGAUUAAUUCAGUCUAUGUGAUGGAAAUGUCAAGAACAUUUGUCUUUGAUAUGUGAUGAUCAUGGUUUAAGCUCAUAUGGGAAAAUAAAGUUUCAUAGUAUGAGAGUGUGGUAUUGAUAUAUAUAUAUAUAUUGGAUUGAGAAAUUGAUUUGAAUUGUGAACAUGAAAGAUUGUGAAUUGAAUAAAAUGGAAAUGGAGCUUUGAAUUACAUGAAUAAGUAUCGGGUCUCGUAGGCCCUAUUUGUUAUGAAUAUAAUAUUUUGAGGAUAUGUUGUAAAGAAUUAUAAAAGCAUGUUAAAAAUUUGAAGAGUUUCAGUUUGAAUGAAAUUUUGUAACUCGGUUUAGUACGUUUACAUGUGUAAGUGUUCUAGUAAUACCUCAUACCCUAUUCCGGAGCUGAAUACGGGUAAGGGGUGUUACAUUAAGGUCCAAUAAAUCUAAGGCUCAACUUGCCCUUGCGACCAAAUUUCAAUAACUUUUUCCACGGCGAGACCUUGAGAAAAAUGAAGUCCCCCUUCGAAUACUCAAUCUCUCGACGCUUUCAGUCAGCGUAGGGCUUCUACCUAUUAGAUGCCGCUUUCAGUCGGUCUUGAAUCAACUUAACUUUAUCAUCGGUAUUAGAAACUAGUUCAGGGCCCAGAACACGCCGCUCGCCCAACUCAGUCCAACAUGCAGGUGUGCGACACCUACGACCAUAUAAAGCCUCGUAAGGUGCUAGACUGAUAGUAGUUGUUAUAAGCAAACUCUGCUAGCGGCAAGUAAUCCUCCCAACUGCCUCGGAAAUCAAUCACGUAACUCCUUAACAUGUCCUCCAGUAUCUAAAUCACCCUCUCUGACUGACCGUCCGUUUAAGGGUGGAACGCAAUACUGAAGUCCAAGAUAUCUUGUACCCAGAGCUUCAUGUAUCUUCUUCUAGAACCUAGAUGUGAAGCGAGGAUCCCUAUCAGAUAUUAUUGAAACCGGUACCCCUUGCAGUCUCACUAUCUCAGACAAAUACAAUUUUGCCAGCUUCUGCAGAGAGUAGUCAGUACAAACCGGUAUGAAGUGGGCGUAUUUGGUCAAUUGAUCCACAAUGACCCAUACCGAAUCCUUCUUAGUGGGUGUGAGGGGUAACCCACUAACGAAAUCCAUAGUUACAAGCUUCCACUUCCAAAGAGGAAUCUUGACUAGUUGCAACAAUCCCGAAAGUAACUUAUGUUCAGCCUUAACCUGCUGGCAUGUCAAACAUUUAGCCACAAAUUCAAUAACCUCUCGUUUAAGACCUGGCGACCAAUAUAACUCACGAAGGUCAUAGUACAUCUUAUUUCCACCUGGUUGCAUAGCAUAAGGGGUACUAUGUGCCUCUCUCAAAAUAAACUGCCUCAAUUUAGUAUCUUUCGGUACACAGAUUUUCCCACGGAAACAGAACACCCCUUUGCUAUUCAAUCCAAAAUCCUCGGUAUUCCAACUCUCAACCUAUCAGAAACGAAGACCCAACGACUCAUCCUCUAUCUAUUUACCCUUAUUCUGUUCUAUCCACGUCGGUUUAACUUGAAAUUCGGCCAACAGACUACCAUCAUCAAAUAAACUGAGGCGAGCAAACAUCAUCCUCAGAUCAGUCAUAGCUCUAUGGCUCAGUGCGUCGGCCACCACAUUAGCCCUAUCAAGGUGGUAUUCAAUAGUACAGUAAUAAUCCUUAAGCAGCUCAGUCCAUCUAAGCUGUCUAAGAUUCAGCUCCUUUUGAGUGAGGAGGUAUUUGAGGCUCUUAUGAUCAGUGUAAAUGAUACACUUCUCACCAUAGAAGUAAUGCCUCUAGAUUUUUAGUGCAAACACCACUGCGGCAAACUCCAAGUCAUGUGUCAGAUAAUUCGCUUCAUGAGUCUUAAGUUGACGAUACGCAUACACUACCAUUUUACCCUUUUGCAUCGGCACACAUCCUAAACCGACAUGUAACGUAUCGCUGUAAACAGUAAUCUCCUUUCCAAACUCUGGCUGUAUCAAAAUAGAGGCCUCAGUCAAUAUAGUCUUGAGCUUCUCAAAGCUCUCUUGCUGCGCAUCAGUCCAGUUAAAUGACACACCCUUGCGUAGCAGCUUAGUCAAAGAUGCUGCAAUUAGUGAGAACCCCUCUACAAAUCAUUGAUAAUACCUUACCAGUCCCAGAAAACUGUGGAUCUCAGGUACAAUCUUAGGGUGCUUCCAAUCCAAAACAGCCUCAAGCUUUCAAGGAUCGACUCUAAUCCCCUCAAUAGAAACCACAUGUCCCAAAAAUGAUACUUCACGUAACCAAAACUCACAUUUACUAAACUUGGCGUACAGUUGUUUUUCUCAAAGAAUUUGUAGAACCACUCUGAGGUGUUCAUCGUGCUCAUCCUAAGUUCUCGAAUACACCAGUAUGUCAUCAAUAAAUACCACCACGAACUGAUCCAGAUAGGGCUAGAACACUCGGUUCAUCAGAUCCAUAAAAGUUGCUGGUGCAUUCGUCAGUCCAAAUGGCAUCACUAUAAACUUGUAAUGAUUGUACCAAGUCCUAAAUGCUGUCUUGUGCACAUCAGUCUCCUCAACCCUCAACUGAUGAUAUCCCGAUCGGAGAUCAAUCUUGGAGAAAAUUAAAGCACCUCAGAACUGAUCAAACAGACCGUCUAUACUUGGUAGGGGGUACUUAUUCUUUAUGGUCAACUUGUUCAAUUACCGGUAAUCAAUACACAUACGCAUGGAUCCAUCCUUUUUUUUCACAAAUAGAACCGGUGCUCCGUAUGGAGACACACUAGGGCGGAUGAACCCACGAUCCAGUAACUCUUGCAUCUGAGCCUUAAGCUCCAUAAGCUCUUUCAGUGCCAUUCUAUAAGGGGCAAUAGACAUCGAAGCUAUACCAGGAAAUGGCUUAAUCCCAAACUCUACUUCACGAUUCGGAGGUAACCCAGGUAGCUCUUCAAGAAAAAUAUCUGAAAACUCCUUAACCGUCCUGAUAUCCUUAACCAAAAAAUCCCUAAAAUCUGAAACACUGAUUUAAGCCAGAUACACCUCACAUCCCUUACGAACCAACAUUUUGGUCCUCAAUGCAGAAAUCACAUUUGAUAAGUAAUUCGACACUCCCCAAUUAUGACUACCUCGAUGUCUUCCGCAGUUCUCAGUACAACCCUUUUUGUGGCACAAUCUAAGCUCACUUGGUGUUUAACCAACUAGUCUAUUCCCAGUAUCAGAUCAAACUCCCCAAAAGGCAGUUCCAUCAGAUCAGCCAAAAACAUAGCUCCUUGAACAUCUAGAGGAACAUCUCUAAACAGUUUGUUAACCCUUAUUGACUGCACCAAUAGACUCAGUAUACUGAUGUAACGCCCCAAAAAUCUAAGUCUUUAAUUUUUGCAUGUUUUGGCACUGAUUGCUUGUUUGCUUUAAUAGCUAAGUGAUUUCAGUGUGUAUGGGAGUGUUUAAGAAGCCUGAGUUCAAGUCUUGGCUUCUGCAGAAUUUUUAGUUUUGCUCUUAAAUGAAUCUAGACAUUGGCAUAUAGGCCUUAUAUAUAAUACUGCUUGUGUUAUAACACAAAAAGAGCUUGUGCUCUAAUGGCAAGGUGGCGUGUUGUGUAACUGUGAGGUCUGAGGUUCAAGUCCUGGGUUGUGCAAUGGAGUAUUUAUUUUGCUGCUUGAGCUGUGUAGGUAAUGGAGUUGGACUGAAAUACAACUAUGGGGAGUUUGAUUUGAAUUUGAAUAGAGUUGUUGGGGGAGUUAAAGAGAAAUUGGUGGAGUGAUUCUAUGAGGGAUAAGGGGAGAGAUUUUAGGAGAAUAUCAAGGAAACUAAGGGGAAAGGGGAAAUGUGCAGAAAAUGAACUUGUUACUCAGGAAAAUUUGGCUAGGGGGCAUGCUGCUCAUUUUUGUUCUACUUUUCAUGCCGGUUUUGUGUGGUUUUCCCUCUCUUUGCUUGUAAGUGCCAAUUUUUUGCUAAGAAUUAAGGUACCUCUCGGGUUUAUUUUCUUUUGGCUGCUCUUCCCUUUUUACCUAUUUUCUUUUUGGCCGAAUACACUCUCCUCCCUCACCUUUCUUUUUCUUCUUUGUUUUCAGUUUCCCUUCUCUUUGAUUGUCAAAUACACCUUUCUUCCCCUUCUGUUCUUUCGAAUCUAUCUCCUCUACCAUUCCUUGUUCUACUGCACUACUGCCGAUUUACUCUUCUGAUCUUUCCCUGCUUUAAUAUUUUCCUUCUUUUUCUAGUUGCUAAAUCUUCCUUUCUUUUGGGUGCCGACUGUGUGUUUCACAUUUCGUAGUUAUUUUCUCUCUCGUGUUUGGUAAGGGUAAUAAUAUAAAGUUACCUUAUUACCUGUUGAUUAAGUGCUUACCCAGUUUCAGUUGGUGCCUAGGAACUUUUCAAAGGGUUGAAGGUUUGUGAUUGCAUUUGGAUUGGCGAACUUCCCUCUUAUCUCAAUCAAAAUUUGUGGUAAGUAACGGUUGUGAUCACUUGUGUUUAUUCGAUGCUUUAACUGUGUAAGUGAUUAAUUUGAGAUUGUUGGUUAAGUGUAGGUUUCCAAAGCAUGGGAGGUUUCUCGGUAAAUAGAAUCCAGGUGUGUGAUCACACCCCUUUAACUGCAAAUCAGCAAAAGCUGAAAGGCCGAAAAGAUAGAGUACGAGGCCAUAUGAGCGUAUGAACGCUCAUGUGGUAAUCUGAGCCCACGAAAUAUGGUGUUGGACUGUAGAGGCCUCAAUGAGCAUUUUCAUAGGCUAAGGCUGUAAUGGGCCACGUUGGGCCAAAAUGGGCUCGUGGGCCCAUUGGGCUCGUAGGCCCUACACGGAUGAAAUCCACAAACUGUGGUGAAAACUAGACUGGGCUAUAUAAUUUUCAUAGUCGUGGCAAAUUUUAGGCUGAGUGGGCCGCACGAACGUGUGGGCCAAUUUGGGCUAAGUAAUGGGCCUUGGGCCCAUAUACACUACUUUGCCCAUUUAGGUUACCUGAGUUGCUCGAGGUGCCUGCAGACCUUUCGUGAGGUCAAUAAAAUAAUCGAAGUACCCCUAUAGGGUAAAAUGAUCGAAAUACCCUUAUAGGGUAAAAUAACCGAAAUACCCCCAUAGGGUAAAAUGAGUGAAAUACCCUGAUAUGGUAAAAUGACUGAAAUAUCCCCAUAAGUUAAAAUAACUGUUAUACCCCUAGGAGAUUAAAUGACUGCUAUGGCCCUAUGUUAUGUAUGACUGAUUUGCUCUAUGAUAUGUAUGACAUUCUGCAUACACGUAUGAUUUAUGGCAUGACAUACUGUAUGGGGUUGGGAUACUGUACUGUAGGAAGUAUACUGUACUGGUGGCUCUGGCACAUAUACUGUUACUGGCAGCUUUGUUACGAUACUGAUACUGGCAGCUUUGCUGCGAUAUUGGUGUGUUGGCUGGGUGGGUCGAUUUUAUCCCCACAUGGUGUGUUGGUGGUACGGAGUGGUGUGUUGGCUGGAUUGGGACAGAUUAUAUUAUUACACUGUUACUGUAUUGGGGUAGGGCCCACACUGUACUGAUACUGAAUAGGGCUCAGGCCUAGACUGUUACUGCAUGUUGUAUACUGUUUGAUUGAUAGGGGAUUACACACUGAGCUUUCGUAAACUCACUUUUUCCUUUUAACUAUACAGGUCAUCCUCAGCCAUAGGUGAUUCGGUGCUGCGAGGGACGCGGAGGUGACCACACAACUACUACUGUUACACUUGCUUUUAUUUAAAUUUAAUUCAUAUGUUGGGUUUUAUUUUUGUAAUAAGGCAUUUAAGUUGUUUAAAUUUUUAAUUGGGUUUUUGCUUACUCACUUUAAACUGUUAGGUUAGGAGAAGACGAAUCUUUUAAAAUAAUUAUUGUUUUCAAAUACACAAGUUUUUAACAAAAAGGAUUUUAAGAGCUUCCACGAUUUUAGAUCAGCUUAUUAUAACAAAAGCAGAAAACAAGGCAAACGUUUUUGCUAGAUGAUUAUUAAAUAAUAAUUAAGAGGUUUUUUUAAAACUUAGAAAUGAAUGUUCUUCCAACAAGUCCAAUUUUCGAAAGGCACUUCAAUGUGAGACGUUAGAUUCAACCAUAACGUCUAGGCCGGGUUUGGGGUGUUACAUUUAGUGGUAUCAGAGCUAGGUUUUAAAACUCAGCUGUGGAAUGGGUUUUUUAAAAUAUUUGAAAAUUCUGGAAGACUAUUUUUGAAUUAUACUAAAACUGAGAGGCUACUAUAGAGAGUAGGAAUGUACUAAAAUUCUUUGGUGUGAGUAAACUGAAACUAUAGGGAGACCUUGUUUUAUGAAAACAAAACUCUGAUUAUUUCUUUUCAUAAGACAUCUGUUAAUAAUUAUUGGAAUUGCUAACUAAUGCAUAAAACUUCUUAAAAUAGAUAAUACAUUAGUCGAUAUGAGCACUAGAGGUGCUCGUGGAAGGCGUACAUGAGGUCGCGGUAGAGGCCGAGGAAGUGCUAGGGUUGGGUUUUCAGCAUCAGGCCACAUGCCUAAUGUUGGGGCUAGAGAGGCACUAGCUUCACCGGUGACCGAGUUGGGAUCUUCCGAUCAAGCGGCUGGGGAUGAUGCAUUAUCUCAAGCUAUGCUCCGUAUUCUGGAAAGGGUUGCAGGGAUCGGUACAGGUGCUGUGGGCUGUGGGUCGAUUUCAGAAUGACUUCGGUACUGGUUGAAUACUGGUUGGAAGCCACAGAGAGAAUAAUAGACGACCUCGAUUGCACUUCUGAGUAAAAGCUAAAAGGGCCAGUGUCUUUACUGUGAGAUGAAGCCUAUCAGUGGUGGCUUACGGUGAGAGAGGGUACUCAGGCCGACCGGUUAACGUAGGAUUUCUUUAAGGUGGCAUUCGAAGGAAAGUAUGUGGGCGCAAGUUAUGUGGACGCCCGAAGAAAAGAAUUUUUAAGUUUGAUCUGAGGGAUUAAAACUGUAGCAAAAUAUGAGGCAGAGUUUCUGCGAUUGAGCCGUUAUGCUCGUGGGAUAGUGGCGACUGAAUAUGAACACUGUGUGAGAUUUAAAGACGGCCUUCGGGAUGAAUUACAAGUUUUGAUAGCUCCGUAGAUUGAGCGAGAUUUUGCUGCCCUAGUUGAAAAGGCUAAAAUUCAAGGGAUGUGAAGUGCUCUGAGCGCCAGAACCAUGAAAAGGAUAGAGGUAGAUAUAAGAGGGAUUUAGAGCCCUCAGGUUUUUCUAGAAGGCGUAAAAAGAAGGCCAGUUUGAUGGGCCAGUCCGAGCUGGGGUUUCUGUUGCAAGACCACAGCCUUGUGCUAAUUGUGGGAGACAUCAUUGGGUGAGUAUUGGAAAAAGAUUGGGGCAUGUUUCAAAUGUAGGUCUAUAGAGGAUCAAGUUAAGAAUUAUCCUUAGAGGCUUGUUCAGAUGCAAGCUGCAGGUCAGAGUUUUGUUCAGCCAGUGAAAGGUGGUUAGCAGUCACCGAGAGGCCAUGGGCAAAUCAGAGGUGGAAAUGGUGUAGGACGAGGUCAUGGAAAGUCGGGCAGAGGUGUUGGUAACAUUGAGGUAAGACAGCCAACACUGGUCUAUACUGCUCGUCGCCGAGAGGAUGGUGACGCUCUAGAUGUUAUAACCAGUACGUUCCUAAUUCAUAAUGCACCUUACACUGCUCUGAUUGAUAUAUGGUGUACGCAUUCAUACAUUGCAUGCACUGUGUCUUGCACCUUGGUUAUCAUGUGUGAGAGUACUGUUAAUUAGAUGAAUGUGUUAAGUCUACUGGGACAAUCAGUAAGGGUAGACAAGUUGUUCAGAGAUGUACCCUUAGAGGUUCAAGGAGUUAUAUUUCUAACGGAUUUGAUGGAGUUACCAUUUGGUGAAUUCGACCUAAUCUUGGUGAUGGAUUGGUUGGUUAGACAUUGUGCAAGUUUGGAUUGUGCUGCUAUGGUGUUAAAGACUAUUAAGGAUGAGGAGGUGGCUCUGAUUGGGGAGCGAAGGGACUUUCUAUCUAUUGUGAUCUCUGCAUUAAGGGCUGAAAAAUUGGUCCACAAGGGUUGUGAGGCAUUUUUAGCCUAUAUUAGUGUAUCUGAUUCUGAGGGUCCUUCUGUUGGAGAUAUUAGAAAUGUUAAAGAUUUUUCUAAUGUAUUUCUUGAUGAGCUCUUUGGGUUGCCUCUGAGCUACGAAGUUGAAUUUGGUAUUGAGCUCCUGUCAGGAACAGCUCCAGUGUCCAUUGCCCCAUAUAGGAUGGCACCGAAGAAGCUAGUGGAAUUGAAAGCUUAAAUCCAAGGACUAUUGUAUCGGGGAUUCAUUCGACCUAGUGUGUCUCCGUAGGGAGCACCAGUGCUGUUCGUCAAGAAGACCGAUGGGAGCAUGCGCAUAUGCAUCGACUAUCGACAAUUGAAUAAAUUGACUAUCAAGAAUAAGUAUCUUUUACCGAGGAUAGAUGAUUUAUUUGAUCAGUUGCAAUGAGCUUCGGUUUUCUCCAAAAUAUAUCUUCGUUCUGGGUACCAUCAGCUGAGUGUUAAGGAGGCUAAUGUGUAUAAGACUGCAUUUAGGACUCGUUAUGGUCAUUACAAGUUCCUAGUGAUGCCGUUUGGCCUGACGAAUGCACCGGCAGCAUUCAUGGACCUGAUGAGCUGAGUAUUCCAGCCCUACUUGGACUGGUUCAUGGUGGUAUUUAUAGACAACAUUUUGGUGUAUUCGAGAAUCAAGGAUAAGCAUGAUGCACAUCUCUGAAUUGUUCUGAAGAUUUUAAGGAAGAAACAACUGUACGCUAAGUUCAGCAAGUGUGAGUUCUGGCUGCGAGAAGUGACAUUUCUGGGUCACGUGGUAUUUGCCGGGGGAAUUAGGGUUGAUCCUCAAAAAAUUGAAGCCGUACUGGAUUGGAAACCACCUAAGACCGUACCUAAAAUUUAAAGUUUUCUUGGUCUGGCAGGGUAUUACAGACGUUUUGUUGAGGGGUUUUCCUUGAUUGCUGCACCUUUGACUAAGUUGCGGUGUAAAGGGGUACCGUUUAAUUGGACUAAUAAGCAACAAGAAAGUUUUGAGAAAUUGAAGAAAGUUCUGACUACAGUCUAGGAGGGAAUUCACUGUCUACAGUGAUGCAUCACACAUGGGUUUGGAUUGUGUGCUGAUGCAGGAGGGUAAAGUGGUUGCUUAUGCGUCUCGUCAGCUUAAGCCUCAUGAGGUGAAUUACCCUACUCAUGACUUGGAGUUAGCACGGUGGUAUUCGCACUGAAAAUUUAGAGGCACUAUUUAUACGGUGAGAAGUGUACUAUCUACACAGAUAACAAGAGUUUCAAGUACCUCGAUUGAGUACCAUCCUAGUAAGGCUAACGUGGUAGCUGACGCACUGAGCCGUAGGGCUGUAUCUAAUUUAAGAGCGAUGUUUGGUCGUAUCAGCUUGUUUGAUGAUGGUAGCUUGUUGGCUGAGCUGCAAGUUAGACCAACGUGGACUGAACAAAUUAGGAGUAAACAGUUGUUGGAUGGGUCACUGGUCCCUCGUUUCCGACAGGUUGAGAAUGGAGAAACUUUAGAUUUUGGGUCAAAUAGUGAAAGAGUACUGUGUUUCCGUGUGAGACUUUGUGUAUCGAGGGAUAAUGAUUUGAGGCAGCCUAUACUGCGAGAGGCGCAUAGUGGUCCUUUUGCUAUACAUCUCGGUGGGAAUAAAAUGUACCGUGACCUUCGGGAGUUAUAUUGGUGGCCUGGUCUUAAGCGUGAAGUUACUGAUUUUGUAAAUAAGUGAUUGUCUUGCCAACAAGUGAAGGCUGAACAUCAGUUACCUUCAGGGUUACUACAGCCAUUUAAGAUUCCACUUUGGAAGUUGGAGAUGGUAACCAUGGAUUUUGUGAGUAGGCUGCCCUUAACACCUUCUAAGAAGGACUCGGUAUGGGUUAUUGUAGAUCGAUUGACUAAAUCUGCCCAUUUCAUACCAGUCCGUACUGAUUACUCUUUGAAGAAGUUGCCUAAACAGUAUGUGGCUGAGGUAGUAAGGCUGCAUGGGGUACCCAUUUCCAUCAUUUCAGAUAGAGAUCCUCGAUUAACGUCUCAAUUCUGGAAGAAAUGACACGAAGCCUUGGGUACUAGGUUGGACUUCAGUACUGCGUUCCAUCCUCAGACAGAUGGUUAGUCAGAGAAGGUCAUUCAAAUACUGGAAGGCGUGUUAAGAAGUUGUGUAAUGGAUUUUCGAGGUAGCUGGGAAGACUUUUUACCCCUAGCAGAGUUCGCGUAUAAUAAUAGCUACCAAUCCAGUAUUCAAAUGGCACCGUACGAAGCGUUAUAUGGUUGUAGGUGUCGUACUCCUACCUGCUGGACUGAGUUGGGCCAGCGGCGAGUUCUGGGGCUAGAGAUAGUUUUUGAUACCGAAGAGAAGGUAAAACUGAUUCGAGACCGAUUGAAGGAAGCAUUUGAUAGGCAGAAGUCUUACGCGGAUCUUAAACGCCGAGAGAUUGAGUAUUCUGUGGGGGAUUUCGUAUUUCUCAAGGUCUCCCCAUGGAAAAAAUGCUGAGGUUUGGACGGAAGGGUAAGCUUAGCCCUAUGUUCAUUGGGCCUUACCGUAUACUAAAGCAUGUGGGACUGGUCGCAUAUCAACUUGAGUUUCCUUCAGAAUUAGACCGGAUUCAUGAUGUGUUCCACGUCUCUUUGCUGAGGCGUUAUCGCUCUGGUCCCACACACAUUGUACCAGUCGAGGAGAUCGAGGUUAGGAUAGAUCUGACCUUCGAGGAGGAGCCAGUAUAGAUAUUGGACCUUGAGGUUAAGGUACUGAGGAAGAAAUCUAUUCCAUUAGUUAAAGUGCUCUAGCGUAAUCACAGUUCAAAAGAGGCCACAUGGGAACCCAAAGAGGUGAUGCGACAACAGUACCCUCAUCUUUUCUGACCAAGUAACUUUUGAGGCCGAAAUUUCAUUAAGGGGGUAGAUUUGUAACGCCUCAAAAAUCUAAUUCUUUUAAUUUUUGCAUGUUUUGGCUCUGAUUGCUUGUUUGCUUUAAUUGCUAAGUGAUUUGGGUGUGUAUGGGAGUGUUUGAGAAGCCUAGGUCUUGGCUUCUUCAAAAUUUUUAGUUUUGCUCUUAAAUGAAUCUGGACACUGGCAGAUAAGCCUUAUAUAUAAUAGUGCUUGUGUUAUACCACAAAAUGAUUUUAUGGUCUAGUGACAAGAUGGCGUGUUGUGUAACGAUGAGCUCUAAGGUUCAAGUCCUGGGUUGCCCAAUGGAGUAUUUAUUUUGCUGCUUGAGCUGUGUAGGUAGUGGAGUUGGACUGAAAUACAGCUCUAGGGAGUUUGAUUUGAAUUUGAAUAGAGUUGUUGGGGGAGUUAAGGAGAAAUCGGUGGAGUGAUUCUAGGCGGGAUAAGGGGAGAGAUUUUAGGAGAAUAUCAAGGAAACUGAGGGGAGAGGGGAAAUGUGCCGAAAAUGAACUUGUUACUUUAGAAAAUUCGAUUAGGCAGCAUGCUGCCCAUUUUUGUUUUACUUUUGAUGCCAGUUUUGUGUGGUUUUCCCUCUCUUUUCUUGUAAGUGCCGAAUUUUUGCUAAGAAUUGAGGUACCUCUCGGGUUUGUUUUCUUUUGGCUGCUCUUCCCUUUUUACCUAUUUUUUUGGCCGAAUACACUCUCCUCCCCACCCUUUCUUUUUCUUCUUUCUUUUCGGUUUCCCUUCUCUUUGAUUGUCGAAUACACUUUUCUUCCCUUUCUGUUCUUUUGAAUCUAUCUCCUCCACCAUUCGUUGUUCUGCUGCACUGCUGUCGAUUUACUCUUCUGAUUUUUCCUUGCUUUCAUAUUUUUUUUCUAGUUGCCGAAUCUUCCUUUCUUUUGGGGGCCGACUGUGUGUUUCGUAUUUUGUAAUUUGUUUCUCUCUCGCAUUUGGUAAGGGUAACAAUAUAGAGUUACCUUAUUACCUGUUGAUUAAGUGCUUAUCCAGUUUCGGUUGGUGCCUAGGAACUUUUCAAAGGGUUGAAGGUUUGUGAUUACAUUUGGAUAGGCGAACUUCCCUCUUAUCUCAAUCAAAAGUUGUGGUAAGUAACGAUUGUGAUCACUUGUGUUUAUUCGAUCCUUUAACUGUGUAAGUGAUUAAGUCGAGAGUGUUGGUUAAGUGUAGGUUUCCAAUGCGUGGGAGGUUUCUCGGCAAAUAGAAUCCAGGUGUGUGAUCACACCCCUUUAAUUGCAAAUUGACAAAAGUUGAAAAGCCAAAAAGACGGCGUACGAGGCCAUAUGAGCGUACGAAUGCUCUUGUGGUAAUCCAAGCCCACAAAACAUAGUGUUGGACUAUAGAGGCCUCCAUGAGCAUUUUCAUGGGCUUAGGCCGUAAUGGGCCACGUUGGGUCGAAAUGGGCCGUGUGGGCCCAUUGGGAUCGUGGGCCCUACACGAAUGAAAUCCAUGAACUGUGGAGAAUACUGGACUGGGCUAUAUAGUUCUCAUAGCCGUGGCGAAUUCUGGGCCGAGUGGGUCGCACGAAUGUAUGGGCCCACUUGGGCCGAGUAAUAAGCCGCGGACCCAUAUACACUACUUUGCCAAUUCAGGUUACCUGAGUUGCUCGAGGUGACUGCGGACAUUUCGUGAGGUUAAUAAAAUGACUGAAAUACCCCUAUAGGGCAAAAUGAUUGAAAUACCCUCAUAGGGUAAAAUGAUUGUUAUACCCCUAUGAGAUUAAAUGACUAUUAUGGCCCUAUGUUAUGUAUGACUGAUUUGCUCUAUGAUAUGUAUGACUUUCUGCAUACACGUAUGAUUUAUGACAUGAUAUAUUGCAUGGGGUUGGGAUACUGUAUUGGAGGAAGUAUUCUGUACUGGUGGCUCUGCCACAUAUACUAUUACUGGCAGCUUUGCUGCGAUACUGAUACUGGUAGCUUUGCUGCGAUAUUAGUGUGUUGGCUGGGUGGGUCGUUUUUAUCCCCACAUGGUGUGUUGGUGGUAGGGAGUGAUGUGUUGGCUGGAUUGAGACAGAUUGCAUUAUUACACUGUUACUGUAUUGGGCUAAGGCCCACACUGUACUGAUACUGAAUAGGGCUCAGGCCCAGACUGUUACUGCAUGUUGUAUACUGUUUGAUUGAUAAGGGAUUACACACUGAGUUUUCGUAAACUCACUUUUUUCUUUUAACUGUACAGGUAAUCCUCAGCCAUAGGCGAUUCGGUGCUGUGAGGGACUCGGAGGUGGCCACACAACUACUGCUGUUACACUUGCUUUUAUUUAAAUUUAAUUUAUAUGUUGGGUUUUGUUUUUGUAAUAAGGCCUUUAAGUUGUUUAAAUUUUUAAUUGGGAUUUUGCUUACUCACUUUAAACUGCUAGUUUAGGAGAAGACGAAUCUUUUAAAAUAAUUAUUGUUUUCAAAUACACGAGUUUUUAGUAAAAAGGGUUUUAAAAGCUUCCGCGAUUUUAGAUCAGCUUGUUAUAACAAAAGCAGACAACAAGGCAAACAUUUUUGCUAGAUGAUUGUUAAAUAAUAAUUAAGAGGUUUUUUUUAACUUAGAAACGAAUGUUCUUCCAACAAGUCCAAUUUUCGAAAGACACUUCAAUGUGUCACGCCAGAUUCGACCAUAACGUCUAGGCUGGGUUUGGGGUGUUAUAAGUGGCCUCACUCGUAGUGCUCUUAACCAGUAUACCCAAGUUUUUAGAUACAAUACAGGCUAUAUAGGAGUGAGUGGAUCCUAUAUCUAUCAGUGUAGUAUAUGGUACAUUAUAAAUAAAUAACGUACCCGUAAUGAUGUCCAGAGCAUCUCUAUUCUCUCGGCGACGAGCAGCAUAAACUAGAGCCGGCUACCUCACCUCAGUAUGUCCAGCACCUUUGGCCGGUGCUCUCUAACCACGGCCCAAACCAUUACCACCUUUGCCCUGACCCUGGCCUCUCGGUGCUUGAUAAACUACACUUGGUGGCAGUACAAUAUUAUCACCCGAAGCUUGCAUCUGAUCGGACCACCGUGGACACUCUCUAAUAUGGUGCUCUAGACAACCGUACCUUAAACAUGCCCUAGUUCUAUUCCAACACUCGCCCUGAUGGCACCUAUCACAGUCAGUACACAGCGGCUGUCCAGUAGCAGCAAUGGGAGCCCCAACUCUGAUCGGCCCAUCAACUCUGGCCUUUUUCUUAGGCCUCUGAACGGAACUCGAGGGCUCCGAAUCCCUCUUAUUCCUACCUCUCUCUCUGUCACGAUUCUGGCGCUCAGUGCGCUUCACUUCCUCGGUGAUCUUUGUCUUGUCAACUAGUGCAGUAAAAUCUCGCUCCCUCUAUGGAGCUAUCAAAACCCUCAGAUUAUCCCUAAGGCCAUCCUCAAAGCGAACACAUCGCUCGUACUCCAUCUCCACCAUACCACAUGCAUAACGGUUUAGUCGUAAAAACUCGGCCUCAUACCCGACCACUAAUCUGUCCCCCUGAGUCAAAUUCAAGAACUCUCUUCUACGGGCAUCCACAUAGCUGGCCCCCACAUAUUUCCCCUGACAAGCAGUCCUAAAGAACUCCCAGGUCAAUCGAUCGGGCUAAGUGCCCUCCUUAACUAUGAACCACCAUUGAUAUGCCUCAUCUCGUACAAACGAUACAACACCCUUUAAUUUUUGCUCAGGUGGGCAGUCCAGGUUGUCCAUAAUUCUCUCUGUGGCCUCUAUCCAGUACUCAGCCACAUUAGGGGCAACUUCAGCAAUACCCCUGAAAAGCUCAGCUCCAUUAGAUUGGAGUAGUUCCGUAACCGACCUGUGGCCACUAGCUCCAGUAUUAAGCCCACAGACCCUCUCUAGAAUCCUUAACAUGUCUUGGAACAAUGCAUCGUGUUAGAGUAUGCCCAAAGAUCAAUCAUGAGAUGGUUGUAAUAAUAUACUUAAUUUAUCAUGUUUAUUAAUAUAAGGCGUUACCAUUAUUAUUUCAGUUUCUUUUCUGUGUGCGUAAAUAAAAUGUUUUAUAGAAAUGUCCUGAGAAUAAUAUGAUUAUUCUUAAAAGGUCCUUAGUCAAGUAUUAUUGUUGGCUAGGAUAACAAUAAUGCAUUAAGACUAACAUGUAGUUGAUUGAUGAUAAAUAGUUGUCAUUGAUAUGGAAUGUUAAGAUCGAUGCAUGAAUAUGUGUGUUAGAGAACAACAUAUUGGACUGACCCGUUAUGAGUAUGUUUCUUGGAUUAUUAUGUAAUUGUCACAACAUUACUCAUAGUGAUUAAUAUGUAUAUGAUCCUCAGACUUGAGAUCAUUAUAAUCCCAACAUCGUGAGUUGUGUAUUUUGAUACAGUCAAAUGUACACCGUAACUGGUUGUUCUAUAAAGGCUAAUGUUGGAUAUACCAUAAUCUGUGUAGAGGGAUAUGGUUGAUCGAUAUAGGAUAAAUCCCUCCUACAUAAUGGGAGUAAUAUCUUAGGCCACUUGAUUGAGUGAGACUAGAAAUGCAUGGUCAUGUUCAAAUAAGCUGAUAUGAGAUGUCAUACUUAUUUGUAUAUCAUAGUCUACUUAAGAUAUCAAGGAACAUGGAAUGGACUAUGCAAGUGUAACUAUUCCAUGACUUGUGUCCAAUCUAGAGAUAAAAGACUUAAGGAUUAUUGCAUGAAAGGUUAAUCAUAAAAGGUUAUGUCAAAUCACAUUUUCUUGUGACUUAGGUAGCAAUGAUGCAUUGCUAGGUGCCAUUCAUUCUUUGUAAAAUUGGAAUCGUUCUAGUAUAACUGCUAACGUUACAAGAACCUACAGGGUCACACACUAUAGUUGAAAUGAACGGAAUAAAACAUAGUUGGUAUUGUGUUUGGUUAUCGCUUGGAUUAAAUUAAUUAUAGAAUUAAUUUAAUUGGGUAAUCAAAUACCGAACACAUUAUAUGUACAAGGUUGUUGUACGCAUAAUGAACAUGAAUUUGGUUAGUAUAUAAAUUCAAAUAAAUAUAUAGUUUACCGAAAUCAUUAUUAUAAUUAAUGUAAUUAUAAUUUUUGGUUUAAAAACGUUGAUAUUUUUAUUUAAUUUAAAAAAACCCUAAAAAAGGGAUAUAAAAUCCCGUUUUUCUUUGCUUGGUGGGUCUAGUAGCCGUCAAAGCAAAAUCUUCUUAAAAACAGUUUUUGAGAUUCUUUCCGUUUAUUGCCAACAAGGUGGAUUACGUAGAGCCGAGGGUCACGAUAGAUUGCGGCUAGAUUCGAUACCAGAUCAGAUUACUCAUUGUCGAGGCAUCGCUGUCUACUCAGAUUCAACAUUCGGUAAUUUCGAAACCUUUUUUCACCCCGAUUCGUUCCUCACACAUGGAUCCAUGGUUAGGAUCGCCAGAUGUUUUAUUUUUUCGCUGCACCGUAGGGGUGCCAGCGUUCCAACACGUUGUCCCCAGCUGCACGAUCAUGAGACCCAUUUUCGGUCAUGGGUGAAGUCGGUGUCUCACUUGUAUCCAAAUUAGGCAAGUUGCCAAAAAAUGAGGACCCAGCUCGAGCACCUCUACGGCCUCUACCACGGCUUUUUGUAUCCCGUCCGCAAGUACCUCUUGUGCUCAUUGCCUAUUUGUAUUAUUCUGUAUUAACAGUUUUAUGCAUCGUUUACAAUUUCAAUAUUUGUUAACAGAUAUCUUAUGAGAGGCAGUAUUAAAAGCGUAAAGUUUGUUUUUGCCCAACACAGUGUCUAUCAGUGUCUAUCGAUUUUACUACAAUAUUAGUAUACACUAACUUGAAUGUUUUCCGUACAAUCUACCUAUAGUAGUCUCAGUUUGUACUAUCUAUAGUGGUUUCAGUAUCAAAUUAGUUUCAGUUUAAAACACAUAAAGGCUUCAGAGAACUUACAAGAUCAGCGUCGGAGACUCAGCGUACCACACAUUCAGUAAAAAUGUUUCAAAUCAUUUAGAAAUCAGUGCUUUAAAAACCAAGUUUUAAAAACCCAAAUCCACAGCCGAAUUUUGCAACUAGGCUCUAAGACCACUAAAUGUAACACUCCAAACCCGGCCUAGACGUUAUGGCUGAAUCUGGUGAUGUCACGUGAUAGUGUGUUUGAAAGCUGAUGCUCGUGUUGAAAAAUCGUAACUUUGCUUAAAACAUUUUCUGUUUAGAUCUCGUCGGUAUCUUUUAUUAAUCCUAAAAUAGUGAUUUUUAUUCAGUCGUUAGUUUGCAAAAUAUUAUACGUUGCGGAAGCUUUUUAAAACAGUUUGUGUCAUUGUGGGUAUUUUGCUAAAACACAUGCAUUUCUUUUAAAAACUCGUGUUUUAUCUACCUCUACCUGAUAUAAAACAUAAAGCAGUAUAAAAUCCAAAUUUUAAGCAAAAACUCAUAGCAGCCAUUAUUACAAAAAUAUACCCCAAAUAAAGCUUUAAAAAAAUAAACCUAAUCAAAUACAAAAUAGUAAAAAGGAGCCGUAUGGCCACAGCUGAGUCUUCCGCUGCUCUGAUUCGCCUAAGUCUGGGGAUUACCUGAACAGAUGAAUCAGAAGGGUGAGUUUUCGAAAACUCAGUGUGUAAUCCCCACAUAAACAAGCAGACAAUAUGCAAUCAUAGUCCGAGCCUAGGCCCAUUUCGGUAACAGUUUCAGUUAGGGCCUUAGCCCAUUACAAUACAGAAGCAGUCAUGCAUUUGGGCCUUGGCCCAUUACAGUAUCAAUACUCAGUACAGUAACAGAUAUUUAGUAUCAAAUCCUACCCAGCCAGCCUCUACACUCCAACUCUGUCCAACCCUACACUCCAUGUGGGGAUAAAAUCAACCUACCCAUACCUACACUACAAGUAGCACUGAAUGCGGCACUAGACAGUAGUUUGCAACUGAGCUGCCAGUAAUUUAGGCUCGUGGCCUUUCAGUACACUUCUUCCGAACAAUAUAACCCCACCCCAAUACAAUGCAAUAUACAUAUAUGACAUGCUAAAACAUAAUAUCAUGCAUAAAAUCAGGGCAUACAGUAUCAAAUUAGUGGGACAUCAUCAUGCUUAAUAACAUGCAUAAUCAUAUCAGUCAUACAGUCAUUUCAGUCAAUUAGGGGUCUAGGUAAGCUUACCGACCCUACAGUAGGUCCACAGUCGACUCGGGCGACCUAUGCAACCUUAGCAGUCAAACAGUGAAAAUGGACUCACGACCCAUGUUGCAUGCCCAUGUGGGCCCACAUGGCCCAAAAUGGUCUUGGUCGUGUGGAUCUCACGGCCUGGCCCAAAAUUCCCACACACCCGUGUGGUUUAAUCUGUGGGGCCCACGCGCCCAUGUGGCCCACACGGCUCAAUUCGGUCGGGCCCAUGAAUAGCACAUGGCCAGCCUCGUCGAUCACACGCCCAUGCUUGAUCACACGAGCAGCUGCAUGGCCAUAUGGCAUCGACAAUCAUAUUUUUUAGCUUUUUGCCGAUUCCCAUUUUCAGAGUUGUGUUUACACACCUGGUUACGAAAUAUGCGCACACAGUCCUCGACCACUCAAAAUCUACGUUCAACCACAACCACUCGAUUAAUCGCAUAACAAUCGUAUUUAUUUAACUCGAAAUAAACCUUUUCUGAGCGACAAGCUAUUACCUUCUAUCAAUGAAUCGAAACUCCCCCACACUAAGGCUUCGACAGGAGAAUACGCGCCUUUUAGUCCUCCCCUAAUAGGUAGAAACGAAACAUAUCAGAGAAGAGUUACUAAAAGAAAAUGAACCGCUUAACCAAAAACUUACCGAACGAACGAACUAAGUUGCACAACAGAGAAAAAUGACACGCACACCGGAGCAAAAUAGGAGAAAUAAGGGAAAACCCAAGAAAAAUUCGACAAUAACAAUGGAGUUUCGGCUGGAAGCAAACAAAAAGAUAAACAACAAAAAGAAUGAAUAGGGGAAACACUAGAAGAAGUUCCGGUAGAGAGGGGAAAUGAGUAGCUGUCAGAAAACUUGAGGAAUUAGGGAGAGGGUGCCAAAAUUGUGGAAAAAAAAAGAAUAGAGGUAACAAUUAGAUUUUGGAUAAAAUCCCCCCAAUCCUUUAAAUUUCUCCCAUAUCCCUAACUUCCCUCCUAAAAACAGCCCAACACACUCCCACUAACCCUCAAUUCCCCCCAAAACGUCCACCCUAAUCUCCUCAACAAUCAAAUUCAAAUCUCACUCCAACUUUACAGAAUUUCGGUCAAACUACAGCACCCACGUGGUACAAGCAGUAAAAAUAAAUCUCAUGAUUGCACAAGUACUCGAACUCCAAACCUCUUGCUCAUUAUCCCUCCACUUAACCGCCAGACUAGCAGACCCUUUCUGACAUAUUUUUACUAACUUUUAACUAUAAGCCUACUGAACAAAAGCAAUGCUUUAUUUAAUUAAAACAAAGAUUUAGCUCAAGACAAGGCUUGAACCCAAGACUUCUCAAACACUCCCAGAACACAUAACCACCAAAACAGACAGAUAAUUUGUGUUACAAAAACACAAAUAAAUAUAAGAGAAUUUUGGGGCAUUACAAAUAGUGUCGACAUAAUUUACUCAUUAGUAGAAGAAACUUUUGAGUCAUCUUAUGGAGAUAAACUUGAAACAUUGUUUGAUGAUAAUUUUGAUUCAGGAUCUAUUUGCGAACCUAUUAAUGAAUUAUUAGGUCCUAAGAACAUUAAACUUCUACCUUCUAUUGUGCAGGCACCAGAUCUGAAAUUAAAACAACUUCCCAAGCAUCUCAAGUGCGCAUUUUUAGAGAAUGAUGAGACAAUUGCCAACUUAAAAGGGAUUAGCCCCUUGACAUGCACACAUAGGAUUUUCUUGGAGGAAAAUACGAAACCAAAGUAAGAGGUGCAAACAUGGUUGAACCCAAAUAUGUUGGAUGUGGUAAAAUAGGAGAAUUUCCAAGCCCAUACUAUCGAAAGAAUUCAGCUGGAACAUCCCCAAUACUAGUUGGGGUGUCAAGCUAACAACGUUAAACAAGCGCUUGUUGGGAGGCAACCCAAAUAUAUUUUUAUUUUUAUUUUAUUUUAUUGCAUGUUAGUACAUUUUAUUCUCUUUUCUUAUAUCUAGGAAAAUCGAGGAGAAGAAAAAUUAAAAUUGAAACAACAUCUUGAAGGAAUGGGUAUGUUUUAGCAAAACUUCAUAUUCUACCCUAGUCUAGGUAGGAAUAGCGUAUCCCUACUUUAAACUCACCCAAACCUAUGCCCAAACACCCACCCACACUUUCAAACCCUAAUUUUUCACCCAUAUUCACCCAAAACUCCCUCAAGCUACCCUUAGUCCUCUCUCUCACCCCCACCGACAAUUUUCGAACCACCAUGGUUAGGACUACGAGUUGCAUCGCAGUCGAACCCUCCUUCACCGUUAACAAUCAUUGGUGUCAGUUCUUGGCACCCCAACACGUCAACCUUGGCAACACCGAACCUUUCCCUCCUUGCAGCUAUGCGUGAACGACAGUGACUACAUGGAGAGUUUUUCUAAACCCUUUUACUUUCACCUUUUUUUUUCUUCUUCUUUUUCCUUUUUCUUUCAUAUCGAGGACAAUAUGUUUUAAGUAGAGGGGAGGCAUUCCUCAUUAUUUUUGUCAUUUUAUCUACUGCUUUUACUAUUGUGUUACUGUUGUUGCUACCUUGUGCUUGUUUCUACCCAUAUUUUUUUUAGAAUAUUCUGCCUUUUUUCAUGCCCAAUAUUUUAACUAAGAAUUACCUACUGUUUGACCUACGAGCAUGAUUCUUGUCUACUGAGUUAGUUAUGAUUUUGCUAGUUUGAUUUCAUCUCCACUAUUUUAUUUCAAUCAAGCUAAAAUGAUUGUGAUUAAUAAAGUUAGCCCUAUCUUGCUUAUAGUAAAGUCGAUUAAGUUUAAUGCAAAGAGGACACUUAAUACAAUUGUAUGCUAAAUUUAUUUUCAUGACUGUUAGGUAGCUGCCGAAACUUAUUUUUGGCAUUUGAUUGUUUUUUUCCUAGUCCUCCAAAAUUAAAAUUCUAUUUCAUGAUAAUAAUAAAUUUUGAUGCCUCCGUAGUUAUGAACACAGCUUAAAACGUGACUGACUGAGUAACCGAGGUAGGGUACUUUGGUUUUCACCCUACUUCACGUCAAUAGGUUGUGUGAUGUGUUAGGUAAAACUCCGCUAACCGGAAUUAAACAAAAAAUUUUAAGAAUGUGUUGGGCUGAGUAACCUGGGUGGGGUGCUUGGAUGUCAUCUCUCUUCACGUCAAAAGGUUCAAUAUAUUCUUAAGAAAAGAAAAACAUAUAUAAUUAUAAUAAAUUAGGAGUAUGUUGGGCUGAGUAACCGGGGUGGGGUGCUUGGUUGUCAUCUCUCUUCGCGUCAACAGGUUCAAAUUAUUUUUAAGAAAAGAAAAACAAAAAAAGAAGGAAAAACAAGUAAAAAAUAAUAAUAAAGAAUUGUAUUUGGGGACUAAGGGUGGAAGCAAAUAGGGUGUCUUGGUAAGUUUAGUAAAUUACCUAAUUUUCAAGAAAUAAUCCAAGAUGAUUUAAUUUUUGUGUGUUUAACUUGGGAUACUUUUUCAAGUUUUAAUUAACGGAAACUAAAUAUUCUCUUUAUUUUUCAUAUGCAUUAUGCCUAAUUUUUAUAAAAAUUUGGAGUGAUACUUCUUUUACAAAAAAAAUCUAAAUUACACAGUGGAUAGGAACCAUACUUGAGGGCAAGCAUGGGCUAAGUAGGGGGAAUAUGAUACUACUCUAAAAUGACAUACUUUUAUGUGUUAAUUGCAUAUAUAUUUUGAGUAUGAUUCUACUAAAUUGUGUUUUUUAUGGUUUUUUAUCUUGUAGGGGCCAAAUUGAAGGCAAAAGGAAAUUUGGGGGCAAAAGCAUGAAUUUAAAGAUAAAAUGGGCCAGCAUGCUAAGUAGAAAAGAAGUGGUGCCAAAAAUACAAAGUGUGAAAGACUUGGGGGCAAAAAUUCAAAGAAGAGAUUUAUAAACAAUAAGACUCUAUUUAAAUUUGAAUUUUAUUAGGAUUAUUAUUAGGAUUAUUAUUUAGAUUUAAUUUCAGCUUUUAUAUUUAUUUAUCUUUUAGAGUUUUAAUAGGAACAAGUUAGGUUUUCUGUGUACUAUAAAGAGGGGAUGGAGCGAAAAAAAGAGGUACUCAUCUUUUUUGUAAAAAAUUCCCUCUACCUAAAGCUCUUAGUUUUUGCUCCUUUUAUUAUUCAAUAAAAUUCCAUUUGAUUACACUUAUUUCUUUUUUCCCAAAAAGCAUGAACCACUAAACUCAUCUAGCCAAAGGUUGUCGAGAUUUCUCAAAAAAAGGUUCUUGAGGCUUAAAAUCUGCACUUAGCCUUCUGAACGAGUAUUCAUCAUUUCUCCGCAUUACAAGACUGACGCUUUCGUUCAUGUCCUUCCAAAAGUGAUCUUUUCAUCUUGUGCAAAGGUAGCCGCUUUGUAUGUUUUGGGAAGUUGCACAGUCAGUUUGUUAGCUUACUGCAUCAAUGGUUGUCGAGCCCAAGAGACAAGAUGACAUGGCAUUUGCCAUUGAGAAGUGAUGAUCUAGUAUAAGACGGUACCACAAAAGUGACUGUUGGCUAGAGUUAGGUUCCUCUAAAUCGUAAGGUCAAAAUCUAAGUGGAGCUGGUUGUCGUAGGUGUCCUCUUCCACUAUAAUUGGCUUAUUUUGUCAUGAGAAGGAUCGCCUGAAAGCCUAAGAUUGAACCCAAGAGGAUCGAGACAACCGAAGGCUGGAAUCUCUCAAUCAAAGAAUCUCUUUUCUCAAUUUUAUUUCUUUUUACAAUUUCGAUUUCAAUUUAUACAAUUUCAACCCCUCCAUAUUUUUAAUUCUUUUGUUGUUUCUUUUUCCGGGUACGCCGCUUUUUCUUGGGCAUAACUGUGCUCGAGAUCUCGAGGAACAAAAAGUUGUGCAAAUCCAGUCCUUAAGGAUUUGACCCUACUUUCCUUGGUAAAGUAACAAUUAAUAUAUGUCUUAUAUUAAUAACUUUGUAAGAAUUAUAUAAAGCUUUCACCAAAAUGUUUUAAAGUUAGUUUGAUUUUAAAUAGUGACACACCAUACUCGGAUCUUAUUAUAAGGUCGGGUUUAGCCUAUUACAUAACAAUGAAACAAUCUAUUACUUGGGCUAGAUUUAAUUACCUUCCUUAACUAGAAUUUCAUAAAAAUAUCGCAUGAAAAACUCACCAUUUUCUUCUAAUUAGAGCUGGAAAUGGAAGGAGCUUAAAAUUCUUUUCUUCCUUUUCUCCUAUGAAUGGAUGGUGAUGGAAGAUGAUAAUAUUGGUUCUUAGUUUUGUCUCUUUCUUUCCACCAUCUUUUAUCAAUUAACUUAAUUACUUUAAUUAAGUUUUUUUAAUCAAUGGUCCUUAUUAAUUCUUACUAACUUAGUGACUACUAAUGGCUUAGAUCAUUUCAAGCCAUUAUCUUAUUUUAAACACGGUUUAAUUACCUACAAGGACAUGGAAUAAUCACCAAACAAUGACAUGUACAAAACAUCAAUUAACUCCUUUAAUAUACUCACUUUAUAAAUUAGUCCUUGUAUUAUUUAUACAACAACUUAAUUCAUUUAAUUACUACUCGAUUGUAUUCUUAAUAUCACAUACGACUUACCACCUUCUUGAUUUUAAAUUUUAAAUUACUAGGUUUUUAGGAAUUCAACCUCGAACCAUGUUUUUCUAACACCAACGAAAAUUGGAUCAUUACAAUACUCCCCUUCUUUAAAAAAUUUAAUCUGUAAAAUUUAUCUGAAAAGAGGUAGGAUAUUGCAACUACAAUGUUUCCUUAGGUUCCUAGGUAACCUCUUCGACGUUGUAGCUAUGCCAAAGUAACUUGACUAAUGAUACUUGUAAUACCUCAAUUUUACCCGGUCCAAUAAAAGCAAAAAAAUAGAUAAAAUAAUAAAAUAAAAACAGUCCAUAGUGUUUGAUUACAAACGGGCUACAAGGCCCAAACCAAAACAAAGUUGUGGCCCAAAUACAGUGGCCCAAGACAGAGGAUGAAACCCUAGGGUUUCAAAUUUUCAACAGUGCCGCAACUGAGCCUCUGAAUCUUUACCGAUCGUCACCUGCAAGGAAACAAAACAAUAAAGGAAAUAAUCAAAGAUUUGUAAUCAAACAAUAUUUGUUUCUUGAUUUAUCUUAUUCAUUCGGCUAUAAAAUAAAGCCAUAAGCAUACUGUAAGGGAUUCGAUUUCAAAAUCAGAAAUAAAAAAGGCUCUAUAUUUCCAAAUACCAGCAGAGAAACAAAGGAAUCAAAGGUUGUUAUUUAUAUUUUUAUUGUCGUAUUUUUUUAUGCAUUUAUAUACAUACAAUUAAAAUAAAUAGAAAAGGAGGGAAAAAACCUGUUUACGAGCCCUAACCUCUACGGAUGGCCGAGGAAGUCAUCACCGAGGAAUGACGACCAGAAGCCGAAAGGUUUCUCUGCUUUUAGGGCCCCUUUUGUUAAUAUCUUGCGAGUUUUGAGCCCAGAUUUGGGCAAAGGGAGUCAAGGAGGUUAAAAGGAGGAUUUUUUCCUUUUCCUACCACCGCAUACAGUGGUGCCAGCGCCGGAGAGCGAUGGCCGGCGCGGUGGCCGGUGAUCGUCCGAUGACCGGCCCAUGGCCGGAGGAUAGAAAGGUUGAGAGAGUUUUUUAAAAGGUUUUUUUUUGUUUUUUUUUUAAAAAUGUUUUGAAAUGAAAAUUUUGUUUUAUUUUUGGCUUAAAUAGCGAAUUGAAAACGGCGCCGUUUUGAGGGGAGGAUCCGCGCGUCGACCCGACCCGGACCCAGGAUACGCGUGUUUUUAUGCGGAGGAGAAAAUUGCGCUUUUAGCCUCUCCGCCUUUUUAAUGUUUUACAAUUAGGUUUGUUUAAUUUUUUUUUGUUUUUUUUAAAUUUAGCCCUUUAAUUCGUUUCCGAUUUCAAUUUAGCCCUCGCUUGAAAGACACCGUUUUGGGGAGAAGGGUAAAUUGCCCUUCCAGCCCCUCUGAGUUAUCAACAUGUUCAAUAGGAUCUUUCAAUUUCUAUUUAUUUACAGAUUUGCCUCAAAAUUUUAUUUACAGUUCAAAUUAGUUUUUUUUCAUUUUUCUAUAUUUUCUAAUUAGUUUUUUAUAUAUUCUUUUUCAUAUUAAUUAUUUUAAUAUAUGUAAUAUAUUUUUACAUACGCACAUUUAUUUUUUGCAGAAUAGUAUAAUUAUUUAUAUCUUAUUUUUUAUUUAUACGUAAUUAUUUCUUAUAACCUAUAUAUAUAUAUAUUUGGUGCAUAUAUGUAUGUAUACAUUAAUAUUUUUAACUAAUAUAUAUAUGAAUAUAUAUUUAUAUUUUUUUUAAAAUGCAAAUAUAUGUUUUUUUUAUACACUUUAUAGUUUUUUUUUUUACUUUCACAAAUGCAUCACACAUGUAUAAGUUUCAUAGCCCAAAAUUUAUUUAUUUUUAAUUUCCAUGUGUAUAUUAUAUGUUCUCUGAUUUUUUUAUUUAUUUUGCUUUUCUCGUUCGUGGUAUAAUUGUGUUUACAUUUAACAUUUUGCAUGAUAUGGAUUAUUGUUUUUUAUCUUGUUUAUUUAUUUGUUUAUAUUAUUCUUAUGCGAUUAAUGUAUUUAUUAUUGUUAUUAUUAUAGCAUUUGUAUGUAUGUAUACAAUAAUGUUGCAUCAUUUUUUUACUCAAAUUUAAAAAUAGAAUUUUCUUUUUAAAAUUGAGAUAAUGUUCGUAUUUAGAAUUUACAAGGAAAUUGAGUCCUAACGUAUUGGGUUCCGAUUUUCUUCGUUAAAUCUAACGAUCGAGCAUUUCUUUUUAAUCAAAAAAAUAAGAAUUCAUUAUCGGGAAUUCAACACGUUGUGUCCUAACGUAUUGGACGUGACGCAUUGAUUUCUCGAAAUGAAGAUUUUUCUAAAAAAAAUAAUAAAGGAAAUAUUCCGAGUUUGGGAUUUUAAAGAAAUCGUGCCCUAACGUAUUGGGUGUGAUUUUUAAAUCUUGGAUAAGUGGAUGUUCUUUUAAGAUUUUUAUGGCACUAGUAUUUUGACCCAAUUCAUUUUUGAGGAAAUUAGAAUGUUGUGCCCUAACGCAUUGGGUGUGACAUUUUUGCUUCUCUAAAUUGAGAAGGGUCUUAUUACGUAACGGUUUUAAAUUUUCUUACUAAGGAUUAUAUAUUUUCAAACUUUCGACUUUAAGACAUUAAUCAAUUAACUAGGUACCAAUUUUUGGGCGUAAUGAGGGUGGUAAUCCUUCCUCAUACGUAACCGACUCCCCGAACCCGUUUUUCUAAAAUUUGUAGACCAAAGUGAUUUUUAGGUGACCCAAUCACACCUUAAUAAAAGAUUGAUGGCGACUCCCAAUUUUAAUUUUUUAAAAAAGUCGACAACCUAAAAUUUUUUUGUUUUCAAAAAAAUGGUUUCGACAGUUUGGCGACUCCACUAGGGAUUUUUUUUAAAAAAUAAGAGAGUCGAGCCACAAAAUUAAUUUUUGUCUUAUGGUCGAGAAAAUAUUUUUUAAAAAAACUUAUGACAUCCUUUUGCAUUCAUUAUCUUCUUGUUUAAAUAUUGUUUGCAUUAUGCAUUUCAUGAGUUGAACAAUUUUACCCUUUUAAGUGGGAGUGAGAAGCUAUGCCUUCGUAAGGUUUUCACCUCCGUAUAGGAUAGUGGGUCGCUUUCGGGAUACAUCGGUACUUAUGCCUUCGUGAGAUUUUCGUAUCCGUAUAGUCAUAAGGAAAAUGUGUCCCCCUGAACCGAACUUGAUCUAUAUGAGCCUAUAAUGGGUGAGGAUCAAGGAAUCUGCUAGUUCAGGUACCUUUACUUUAGAACUGAACCGCAUAUAAUGAGCCUUAGGAGCUUACCUUAGGUAGAACCGCACUAAAUUCUGGUAGAUAUCCUAAUAGGUGUUUUAUUAUUUCUUGAUUGUUUUCUAUGUUUAUAUAUGUUACUGACCUUUUUUGUUUUAUUUUGAUUGCAUGACAUGGCAUUUCAUUUCAUCAUAAAAGGCGUCAGUUCAGAUUUGGUUGCUAGAUAGAAAGCUUAACAUGGAAAAAAGGUUUCUUGAUAAAGUGGAGGACAAUACGGCUGUUCAAACUUGGUCUGAAACAAUGCAACAAGAAAACGGUGAUAGUCUGGCCAAUGGGUAUGUAUCAGAAUUAUGGGAUUUUACUCGCAUCAGUGACUCAAAACAAUUUGCAGGAGCUGAAAGAAAUUUGGGAUCAGUGGAAUAAUGAGGUUAGGCAGUUAUUUUACGACAAUUAUGGGGAUUUGCCUUAUUUGCUUGAUGUGAAGGUGGACAAACAUUUGUUUCAAGCCCUCGCCCAGUUUUGGAAUCCUGCUUACAGUUGCUUCACGUUGGGGAAUGUUGAUUUGGUACCUACGAUAGAGGAGUAUGUGGCUUUACUCCGAUGUUCAAAGUUCCAAGUGGAUAGGGUCUACUCGAGAGCGGUGAAUGUGCCAACUUUUUCAAAGAAAUUGAUAGGUAUAACAUGGAUGAGUAAGCAGUGGGUCGCUGCACGAGUUAAGCAAAAGGGGGACAGCAAGUGCAUUCCUUGGAGGAGCUUGAAGGAUGCCAUUCUCACACACCUAGAGAUAAGAAAGAGGUUAGAUAUUUUUGCCUUAAGUAUAUACGGCUUGGUUGUCUUCCUUAAGGCCUUGGGGCAUGUGGAUGAAGCAGUCACUGAUUUAUUUGAUCGACUUGAUAAAAGGGUUACACCGAUUCCGGCAAUUUUGGCGGAAACCUUCAGGUCAUUGAGUGCAUGCCGAAAGACGGGUGAGGGUAGAUUUAUUGGAUGCGUGUAGCUUCUACUUGCAUGGUUUCACAGUCACUUUUGGAAGGUGGAUAAAGUUUCGUAUCGAGUUUUCUCUGAAAAUUAUUCACCACUAAAGGAGAUAAUUGCUACACCGAGGAGAGAUGACAUUUCUGAGGAAAAGUGGAUGGCUAUUCUUCAAAAUCUUCAAGAGGAAGAUGUUGAGUGGAGAGCUCCUUGGUUACUACCAGGUGAGAUCCUAUAUAGGUGUGGAGAUUUCAAUUGGGUACCUUUAUUGGGCAUUUGGGGUGCUGUCGGAUAUGCCCCAUUAUUGGUGCUAAGGUAAUAUAGGUCGAGACAGUUUAUACCUGCGACUCAAAGGAUAGCUGAUUGUGAAUUUUCAUAUAAAGAGGAUGGUUAUAGAAAGAAGAUUCAAGAAAUGUCCAAGGCGUGGAAACAGACUCGCCGAAUGAAGAGGAUAGCUGUAGGGCUAAUGACGACUCCUGAGUAUUAUGGAUGGUGGGCUAGGAGGAUUAAUGAUAAUACACCCAAGAUAAAUCAUGGGGACGGCCAGUCAAUAGAAGAGCAUUUGCAAGUCAUCCCUUCGGAAUUUGAAAUGGUAAGACAAGAUUUUGAGAGGAAGAACGCGGAUUUGGAGAAAAUGAUAGAGCAAAUGGAGACGGAAAAGACAAACUUGAGAUUGGACAUAGACGUUCAGAAGCUUGAGAAUGAGAGAGUGAAGAAAGAGAAAAACAAGGCUGAUGAGGAACUGGGCAGUCUAAAGAUAGAUUAUAAAAAGUUGCGUUUGUCAAUAAGAACUGCUGGGCUGGGAAAGACAUCAGAACAGUGACGAGCAGAAAUCCAAGAAGAAAAGGACAAGGCUGAUAGAUGGGAGCAGAGAUUUCAAAAGAUGCAAAGGCGAAAUGAGGACUUAGAAAAGAGUUUGUCAGAAAGCCAGAAGGAAAAUGGCGAGUUAAAGGAAAAGGUGAUUGUGUUGGAAAGGUCUCUUCGUCAGUAUCGAAACCGAAAUUCUACGAUAGAGUUGAAAGCAAGCUUGAGCAAGAUUGACGAAAUGAAAGGAAGAAUCGAAGAGCUAGAAACGGUGCUGCAAAAUUGUAAGAUUCAGAUCAAUCACCUGAAGGCAAAUGAAAGUUGAAAUAAUGAACAGCUUCACCACUUUCAGAGUCAAGUUAGAAGCAGAGAUCAUCUUAUCGAGGAAGCUGUGGUCUAGAUUCGAGAAGUAGCUGAUCAUAUGUAGACUUUAGCAGUACAGGCUGACACGCUGAGUGUGAAGUAUGAAUUAGAAUCGGAUCGGGGGCAAGAAUUAGCUUUGUUACUUAGGAAGUUUAGAGUUCUGGGUACUAGGGCAAAGUCUUACUUGUAAUUCGCUUUAUGUAAAGAAAUUUGCUUUCUAGUAAGGUUUUCUUAUAUGGAAUUGAAUCAAAAUUGACGUCUUUUUGCAUUCAUGCAUUUCAUUACUUCAUAUGCAUUUAAAAACAUUAAAAGAUUCUAAUUAAUUUAAGUCAUUCCUCAAUUAAUCUGGAAACCAAUCAAGCUACUCAGCACCACUACGGUACUCGAUCGAAAACUAGAGAUAUGGACCAAAGGCUAGAACAGUUCCAGAAAUAAAUGCAAGAGAAAAUGAAUGAGCAAUUAGAGAAGAUCCAACAAAAGAUGAUGGAAAAAAUAAUAGAAUCUCAAGGGAGUAUGAUGGCUAAGUUGACUCAGUUAUUGGCUGGAGGAGUUGACAAAGGAAAGGGGUUGGUGCUCAAUAAUGAAGAAGGAGACAACGAGGGACCUGUUUAUUCCUCAGGACUUACUUCUCAACAAGCGAGGAUAUAUCCGCACAAAUCCUCUGUUACUAUCAAGCCUCAUGACGGUACUGAAACAUCGAUAAAUUUCCAAGCUAGAGACAAUCUUGCUAAUCCUAUUAUCCCAGACUUCGAUGAGACAAUCGAGAAAAUGAAUGAUGAAUUACCAAAACAGCUCGAGGAAAAGUAUAAAUGGCUGGAGGAAAAACUUAGAGUGAUAGAAGGUACUGAGAGUUACCAUGGAAUUGAUGCUAGAGAAUUGAGCUUGGUUCCAAGUCUGGUACUUCCUCACAAGUUUAAAAAGCCAGAGUUCGAGAAAUACAAUGGGACUAGUAGCCCCGAAGCCCAUAUUACUAUGUUCUGCAGGAGGAUGACUGGAUAUGUUAAUAAUGACCAGUUGAUGAUACAUUGCUUCCAAGAUAGCCUCGCAGGGGCAGCAUCCAAAUGGUACAAUCAAUUAAGUCGUACCCAGAUUAAUUCAUGGAGAGAUUUAGCACAGGCAUUUUUAAAACAGUACAACCAUGUGACUGACAUGGUACCUGAUAGAAUUACUCUAUAGAACAUGGAGAAGAAGCCUGGUGAAAGUUUCAGGCAAUACGCACAGAGAUGGAGGGAGGUUGCUGUCCAAGUUCAGUCAUCUCUUCUAGAGAGAGAAAUGACGAUGCUUUUUGUUAAUACAUUGAAGGCCCCAUUUAUUACGCAUCUAUUAGGGAGUGCUUCCAAAAGCUUUUCUGACAUAAUUAUGAAUGGGGAAAUGAUAGAAAAUGCUAUCAGAAGCGGGAAAAUAGAAGUUGGGGAAGGUAGCAGAAGGUCAGCUUCGAAAAAGAAGGAGAAUGAGGUUAACAACACGAGUUCAUAUUCGAAGACAGUUACAGUGAAUCAGCCGGGAAAAGUGGUUGUUAAUCAGCAGGGAUCAUCAAAGUAGAGAUCUGACACAAGACAAAACACAGAGAAGGUUUAAUUUACGCCAAUCCCAAUGUCGUAUAGGGAGCUAUAUCAGAAUCUAUUCAAUGCACACGUGGUUGCCCCUCACCAUUUAAAACCCCUGCAACCUCCAUAUCCCAAGUGGUACGAUGCAAACGCACAGUGCGAUUAUCACGCGGGAAUUGUGGGGCAUUCUAUAAAACAUUGUACGGCAUUCAAGAAGCUGGUAGAAAGGCUUAUAAGCAUGGGUGUGGUGAAAUUGGAUGAUUCACCCAAUACAGAAAAUCCAUUACCUGAUCACAACGGAGUGAACAUGAUAGGUGGGAGCAUGGGUAGAAAAAUCAAGGAAGACAUAUCAGAAGUGAAAAUUCCUUUGAGGUGGAUCUGGGAAAAUAUGGUGAAAAGGGGAUUGAUCAUCCCGAGUUCAGAGAGAAAUGUCGAAGGGGUGGAAAAUUACUGUGAGUUCCAUCACGAGGAGGGACAUAAAAUCCAAGAAUGUACAGAAUUUAGAGUCUUGGUUCAAGAAUUGAUGGAUAACAAGGAGAUGGAAUUUUAUGAAGAAGUUAAGGAGGAGAGGAGCAUUUGCACAUCAGAGGCUUCGAAGGUUCCAAGAAUAGUGCAACCUGUGGUCAUUAUCUCGCGACCCAAGAAGGAUGAGGUGAGAGCACCAGCAAUGCCAAAAAUCAUAAUAAAGAAACCUGCAACCUUUCCUACCAAAACAGUAAGAAGGUCCCAUGGAACUACGAGUGCAAUACGACUGUCCCAAUAAGUGAGGCGGCAAAGAGCCGGUGUGUGAGUACCGAGUCUAUGAAAGAGGCUAUAAUAGGGGAGCAAAAAGGGAAAGUAGUUGAGCCAGUGAAGGAGGAAGAAGCUGUGGAAUUCUUUAAAUUUUUAAAACAUAGCGAGUAUAAUGUCGUUGAGCAGUUGCAUAAACAAUCGGCCCGCAUAUCUGUACUGUCUUUACUCUUGAAAUCUGAAGUGCAUCGAAAUACGUUGAUGAAGAUGCUAAAUGAAACCUAUGUGUCCAAGGAUAUUUCUGUCAGUAAGCUAGAUUGGUUGGUCAAUAAUAUCAGUGCUGAUAAUUUCAUAUUUUUCAAUGAUGAUGAAAUACCUUCGGGGGCAUGGGAUCUACCAAAGCUUUGCAUAUCACUGCACGAUGUAAGGGGCGUAUUUUGCCAGGAGUACUGAUUGACAAUGGGUCAGCUUUGAACGUAUUUUCAUUAUUCACACUUACCAGGCUACCCAUAGACAGUUCGCACAUGAAAACGUGUCAAAAUGUAGUGAGGGCAUUUGACGGUACAGAAAGGAAGGUCAUGGGAAGAAUUGAGGUACCCUUACUGAUUGGUCCAACGGUUUAUGAGGUAGAUUUUAUUGUGAUGGACAUCAAACCUUCCUAUAACUGCUUAUUAGGGAGACCGUGGAUACAUUCGGUAGGGGCAGUACCGUCAUCAUUGCAUCAGAUGUUGAGGUUAGUGUCAGAUGGUCGGCUAGUGACAAUAAAAGCCGAAGAGGAUAUAAUAGCAGCUGUAUCCAAUGAGACGCCAUACGUGGAGACUAAUGAUGAGUCAAUAGAAUGCUCAUUUCGAUCUUUGGAGUUUGUAAAUGCGGCAUUUGUUCCUGAAGGGAGCAAAAUUUUGGUGCCAAAAUUAUCCAAAACUACAGAGAUGGGUUUACAGUUGUUGGUGGGAAAAGGAGCUUUACCCAGAAGAGGGCUGGGGAGAUAUCUUCAAGGGAAAACUGAGGUUCCAGUGCUGAAAGAAAAGUAGGAUAAUUUUGGCUUAGGAUACAAGCCAGAUAGGGGACAGAGAAGAAAGGAGAUAGAGAAAAGGCAGAAAUAGAGAAGAGCGCGCUUAAAUGGGGAAGAAGCUAAGUGGGAGCCAAUGAUAAUUCCCCACAUAUCCAAAACUUUCAUAUCUGGAGGAAUUAUUCAUCAAGAGAGAAAGAAAUCGAUUAAGGAAAGCAUCGAGGAUCCGUUGGGAAAUAUGCACAUUAAUGCCAUUCAUGAGCUAGGGAAUGAAGAGAGAAGUUGGCUAGACAUUCGUCCUUAUGAGCCUGGGAGUGUUCUAGACAAUUAGACUGCGGAAGAAAUACCUAAAGUCUUUAGAACUGUCUCAGAGUAAUAUUCAGAACAAACUUGUUGUUUUAGCCUAGAAAUAACAAGAAUUCUUUUGUGAAAUAGGCUUAUGUUUAAAAAUCAUUAUUUUAAUAAAAUACAGCUUUGCAAUUGUUUCGAGUAAAUAUUCUUUCCUUCUUCCCAUACGCCUAAAUAUAUUCUUUCAUUACAUAAAUAAUUGUACAUAAAUUCAUACAUUCUUUUGUAACUAUAAUAGGUCUCUGUGUAUCAAUGACGUGAAUGACGCUGCUACGAGCUCAAAGUGCCCUUUUGAACGAAAUGUGUGUUUAGAAGGAUUGCAGGACUUUGAACUUGUUGAGGAUGGUAGAACAAGAGGAAAAGCAAAUCCUACCUCACAAAGAGUCAGUAGAAGUUGUGAGCUUGGAAGAAGGGAAAGAGGUGAAAAUUGGGACUGAAAUUCUCGCAAAGACAAGACGAGACCUCAUUGAAUUACUUCAUGAAUUCAGAGAUGUCUUCGCAUAGUCAUACCAUGAUAUGCCUGGAUUGAGUGCUGACAUUGUAGUGCAUCGUCUACCCAUAAAAGAGGAUUGCAAACCAAUUCAACAGAAGCUCAGAAGAAUGAGGCCUGAUAUUGUGCUCAAAAUAAAAGAGGAAGUUAAGAAACAGUUUGACGCUGGUUUUUUACAGGAGGUCAAAUAUUCUGAGUGGGUAGCUAAUAUUGUCCCAGUCCCUAAAAAAGAUGGAAAAGUACAAAUGUGAGUCGAUUACAGGGAUUUGAACAAAGCAAGCCCAAAGGACAACUUCCCAUUGCCACAUAUUGAUACUCUGGUGGAUAAUACUGCAGGAUUUUCGCUAUUUUCUUUUAUGGAUGGGUUCUCAGGAUAUAAUCAGAUAAAGAUGCAUCCAGAAGAUAUGGGAAAGACUACGUUCAUUACUUUGUGGGGAACAUUUUGCUAUAAGGUGAUGCCAUUCAGAUUAAAGAAUGCGGAAGCAACAUAUCAGAGAGCCAUGGUAGCUUUGUUUCAUGAUAUGAUGCACAAAGAAAUUGAAGUAUACGUUGAUGAUAUGAUUGCCAAAUCCAGAACAGAGAAUGAACAUGUACAGAUCUUGAGAAAAUUGUUCUUAAGAUUGAGGAGGUUCCAGCUCAAGCUUAAUCCGACAAAAUGUACUUUUGGAGCCAGGUCAGGAAAGUUGUUAGGCUUCGUAGUCAGCGAAAAGGGAAUUGAGAUCGAUCCAGACAAAGUCAAGGCAACGAGAUUUAUCGCCACCACGUACCCAGAAAGAAGUUUGAGGUUUCUUGGGAAGACUAAAUUACAUUGCUCGGUUCAUUUCAUAGUUGACCGAGAAAUGUGAUCCCAUAUUUCGCCUUUUGAAGAAACAUAAUCCUGAUGUCUGGAAUGAAUAAUGUCAGAAAGCCUUUGAAAAGAUAAAGCAAUACUUAUCUAACACUCCAGUACUGUCACCACCUAGCCCUGACAGACCCUUGAUUUUGUAUUUAACUGUGUUUGAUAACUCUAUGGGAUGUGUACUGGGUCAAAAUGAUGCUACAGGAAAAAGGGAAAAGGCGAUUUAUUAUCUUAGCAAGAAAUUCACUGAUUGUGAGAUGAGAUAUUCACCUAUCGAAAAAUUGUGUUGCGCACUGAUUUGGACGACCAAGAGGUUGAGGCAAUACUUACUCUAUCAUACGACUUGACUAAUAUCAAAAUUAGACCCUUUAAAGUAUAUGAUGGAGUCAACAGCAUUGAAUAGAAGAAUGGCUAGAUGGCAAAUCUUGCUCUCUGAGUUUGACAUCGUAUAUGUAAGUCAGAAGGCCGUCAAGGGGAGUGCGAUAGCAGAUUUUUUGGCUAGUAGGGCUCUGGAAGAUUAUGAGCCUCUGGAUUUUGAUUUCCCGAAUGAAGAUUUGAUGUAUGUGGCGAAUGCUGAAGAGGAUUCCCAAAAAAAUCAUUCUUGGAGGUUGAACUUUGACGGAGCAUCGAAUGCACUAGGCAAUGGGAUUGGGGCAGUCCUGGUGUCUCUGAAUGGAGAUUAUCAUCCUUUUACUAGUAAACUAGACUUUGAUUGCACUAAUAAUAUGGCUGAGUAUGAAGCCUGCAUCAUGGGUAUACGGGCAGCCAUAGAGCGGAAAAUCAAGACAUUAGAGGUGUACGGAGACUCAGCAUUGGUGAUAUACCAGCUAAGAGGAGAAUGGGAGACAAGAGAUCCUAAAUUGAUCCGUUACCGGAGAUUGGUUUUGGGAUUGAUCGAAGAGUUUGACGACAUUACAUUCUGUUAUCUCCCACGGGAAGAAAAUCAGAUGGCUGAUGCUCUUGCUACUCUAGCUUCCAUGAUUAAAGUGAAUCAGUUAGAGGAUAUGAAGCCCAUUCAAAUUAGUAUUUAUGAGAUCCCAGCUCACUGUUACAGCAUUUAAGACGUAGAGAAUAAUAAUAGUCCCUGGUACCAAGAUAUUUUGCUAUAUAUGAAGAAUCGCGAAUAUCCUGAUCAAGCAACGGAGAAUGAUAAGAGGACAUUGAGAAGACUAGCGAUUGACUAUGUCUUAGAUGGGGAGAUCUUAUACAAAAGGGGAAAGGAUCGAGUACUGUUAAGAUGUGUAGACACUGUUGAGGCUAAGGAAAUUUUGGAAGAAGUCCAUGAGGGUGUUUGUGGAAUGCACGCUAAUGGAUUCACCAUGGCCAGACAGAUUAUGAGAUUCGGGUAUUACUGGUCUACUAUGGAAAGAGAUUGCAUCAAUCAUGCCAAGAAAUGCCAUAAAUGCCAAAUUUAUGGGGAUAAGAUGCAUGCGCCUCCUUCCCCUCUUCAUGUUAUGACUUCUCCAUGGCCUUUCUCCAUGUGGGGUAUGGACGUCAUUGGACCAAUAUCACCGAAGACUUUCAAUGGACAUCGUUUCAUUUUUGUGGUUAUUGACUACUUCACUAAGUGGGUAGAGGCAGCCUCAUAUACUAAUGUCACGAAGUCAGCAGUCAGUAAGUUUUUGAAAAAAGAAAUCAUAUGUCGAUAUGGAAUGCCUGAAAGGAUCAUAUCUGGCAAUGCGCUGAAUUUGAAUAACAGCACAAUAGCAGAAGUCUGUGAACAGUUUAAUAUCAGACACCAUAAUUCGUCACCGUAUCGUCCAAAAAUGAAUGGUGCAGUGGAGGCAGCCAACAAAAAUAUUAAGAAGAUUGUGGCAAAGAUGGUAGAAACUUACAAAGAUUGGCAUGAGAAGUUACCAUUCGCUCUUUUGGCUUACCGAACAUCGAUCAAGACUUCUACUGGGGCAACGCCUUUCUCGUUGGUUUAUGGAAUGGAGGCAGUUUUACCCAUUGAGGUUGAAAUUCCUUCUCUCCGAGUUUUGGCCGAGUUGAAAUUGGAUGAGGCCAAAUGGAUCCAAUCUCGGUAUGACCAACUGAACCUGAUUGAAGAGAAAAGAUUAAAAGCCGUUCGUCAUGGCCAAAUAUAUCAGAAGCGAAUGAUGCGAGCUUAUAAUAAGAAGGUUCGUCCCAGAGAAUUUCAUGAAGGGGAUUUGGUUCUGAAAAAGAUCUUCCCUUUACAAAAGGAUUUUAGAGGGAAAUGGAUGCCAAACUGGGAAGGACCUUAUGUUGUAAAAAAGGCUUUUUCCGAAGGCACUUUGAUUUUGAGUGAAAUGGAUGGCAAAAAUCUUCUGAAUCCUGUCAAUUCAGAUUCGGUCAAGAAAUAUUUCACUUGAAGGAAGAGAGGAAUCAAAGUGAAAACCCGCAAAUGGUGCUCUAAUUUCCAAAAAAGGAAAAAGAAAAAAGAAAAAGGAGAGGCCAAGGUGAAAACCCGAAAAGGGCACUUUGAGACCAAAGGUGGUUUGAGUUGAAAACCCGAAAAGGGCGGCUUAAACAUUGUCAGAUUCGGGCAUAUGGUGAUCUUGCUUCACUUAAGUCAACAAGAAUAUACAACAUCUCGAGGCAUCGACAGAGUACUGUGGAUCCCCUAAACACAUGUUAAAUUCAGAAUGGUUCUUGGCUUGCACGGAAAGUUCAAGCGGCGAUAUCCAGAGCACCUAGUCUUCAUAUUAUUUGUACCAAGUUUGUUGGUUCUUAUAAAUACUUUAUUCUUUGCUGUUCUUGAAUAUUUUUUCUUUUCAAGACAUUUACUAUCAAUAAAUUUUUGAAUUAAUUCAUCUCUUACUCAGUAUUUGUGAUCUUUGCGCAAGCAUGUUGCAUUAGAAUAAUGAUUGAUGGACUAAUUAACUUUUACAAAAAGAAGUUUGGUAUAUUACUCUAGGAAUUUCUAAAUAAUUUAGUAACCUAAAAUAGGACUAUUGUUUAGAACACCCUGAGGUCAAAAGAUAAGGAGUCUAAGAAGGAAAAAAUCUAAAUUAAGACUGCUUUGGUGGUCUAAAAUAGCGAAUGAGACAGCAGGAGGUUUUGAUGGGGUAGGAAGAAGUUCCUUAUGGAUAGAAAGCUCCUCAUUUGGGCAUAAGCAUUUGAUAGGACACCCUGAGAGUGGUGUAAACAAAUUUCGUAAUCUGUAUCCUUGAAAUAGGAGAAGAUUGAAGAAAAGCCAUAUACUCUUGGGUUACAGUGGGAGAACAAUGGUAUGAAUUUUUUGCGCCCUAGUGGAUUAAACUUUAAGGUUUAUAGUGGGGGCAACCUGGCCAAAUGUUUCUUCAGAAAGGCCAGUCAAGUAAGAAGGCAUUGUAGCACGUCAGUCGCAAAGCUUUAAUAAACUUCGAGUAAUGACAACCUAAGCGGGAUCAUUCACGGAAAAACAAAAUUUUGCAUUCAUGCAAACAUCAUUCAUACGUACCUAGUUAGGAGCAUUGGACUCAUUCUGAUCACGACAUCCUAAUCACUAGGCAUAUUUAGGUUCAUAAAAUGAAUUAUACAGGUCAUGUUCCCCAGAGAACAAAUAGGUGAAACACCAAGCCUUGUCUCCCUAAGCAGCAGUGGAGAAGGUUGAAGAUUGUAGAUCUUAUCUCCCUAAGCAGUAGUGGAGUAGAUCAAAGAUGGCGAAUCUUAUCUUUCCAAGAUAGUGGGAAGCAGAUUUGAGCCACCAAGCCUUGUCUCCCUGAGCAGCAGUGGAGAAGGUUGAAGAUUGUAGAUCUUAUCUGCUUAAGCAGUAGUGGAGUAGAUCGAAGACGGCGAAUCUUAUCUUUCCAGGAUAGUGGGAAGCAGAUUUAAGCCACCAAGCCUUGUCUCCCUGAGUAGCAGCGGAGAAAGUUGAAGAUUGUAGAUCUUAUUUCCCUAAGCAGUAGUGGAGCAGAUCGCAUCCAAUCUUAUCUCCCUAAAGUUGUAGUGGAGUAGAUUGAAGCACUAUUUCCUAUACUUCUGAAGAUGCCGUAGGAAGGAAUGAGGCUACCCGAAGAAGAAGAGUACCAAAGUCUAGCACGACCGGGCAAAAUUGGGCAUUUUAAAGUCUUCGCUCCGUUCCCGUUACACAAUAACGGGCAAAGAGGGGCAGCUGUAAUACCUCAAUUUUACCCGGUCCAAUAAAAGAAAAAAAAUAGAUAAAAUAAUAAAAUAAAAUAGUCCAUAGUGUUUGAUUACAAACGGGCUACAAGGCCCAAACCAAAACAAAGUUGUGGCCUAAAUACAGUGGCCCAAGAUAGAGGAUGAAACCCUAGGGUUUCAAAUUUUCAACAACGCCGCAACUGAGCCUCUGAAUCUUUACCGAUCGUCACCUGCAAGGAAACAAAACAAUAAAGGAAAUAAUCAAAGAUUUGUAAUCAAACAAUAUUUGUUUCUUGAUUUAUCUUAUUCAUUCGGCUAUAAAAUAAAGCCAUAAGCAUACUGUAAGGGAUUCGAUUUCAAAAUCAGAAAUAAAAAAGGCUCUAUAUUUCCAAAUACCAGCAGAGAAACAAAGGAAUCAAAGGUUGUUAUUUAUAUUUUUAUUGUCGUAUUUUUUUAUGCAUUUAUAUACAUACAAUUAAAAUAAAUAGAAGAGGGAAAAAACCUGUUUACGAGCCCUAACCUCUGCGGAUGGCCGAGGAAGUCAUCACCAAGGAAUGACGACCGGAAACCGAAAGGUUUCUCUGCUUUUAGGGCCCCUUUUGUUAAUAUCUUGCGAGUUUUGAGCCCAGAUUUGGGCAAAGGGAGUCAAGGAGGUUAAAAGAAGGAUUUUUUCCUUUUUCGGCCACCGCAUACGGUGGUGUCGGCGUUGGAGAGUGGCAGCAGGCGCGGUGGCCCGUGAUCGUCCGAUGACCGGCCCAUGGCCGGAGGACAGAAAGGUUGAGAGAGUUUUUUAAAAGGUUUUUUUUGUUUUUUUUUUAAAAAUGUUUUGAAAUGAAAAUUUUGUUUUAUUUUUGGCUUAAAUAGUGAAUUGAAAACGGCGUCGUUUUGAGGGGAGGAUCCGCGCGUCGACCCAACCCUGACCCAGGAUCCGCGUGUUUUUAUGCGGAGGGGAAAAUUGCGCUUUUAGCCCCUCCGCCUUUUUAAUGUUUUACAAUUAGGUUUGUUUAAUAUUUUUGUUUUUUUUAAAUUUAGCCCUUUAAUUCGUUUUCGAUUUCAAUUUAGCCCUCGCUUGAACGACGCCAUUUUGAGGAGAAGGGUAAAUUGCCCUUCCAGCCCCUCUGAGUUAUCAGCGUGUUCAAUAGGAUCUUUCAAUUUCUAUUUAUUUACAGAUUUGUCUCAAAAUUUUAUUUACAGUUCAAAUUAGUUUUUUUUUUCAUUUUUCUAUAUUUUCUAAUUAGUUUUUUAUAUAUUCUUUUUCAUAUUAAUUAUUUUAAUAUAUGUAAUAUAUUUUUACAUACGCACAUUUAUUUUUUGCAGAAUAGUAUAAUUAUUUUUAUCUUAUUUUUUAUUUAUACGUAAUUAUUUCAUAUAACCUAUAUAUAUAUAUAUAUAUAUAUAUUUUGGUGCAUAUAUGUAUGUAUACAUUAAUAUUGUUAACUAAUAUAUAUAUGAAUAUAUAUAUUUAUAUUUUUUUUAAAAUGCAAAUAUAUGUUUUUUUAUACACUUUAUAGUUUUUUUUUUUACUUUCACAAAUGCAUCACAUAUGUAUAAGUUUCAUAGCCCAAAAUCUAUUUAUUUUUAAUUUCCAUGUGUAUAUUAUAUGUCCUCUGAUUUUAUUUAUUUAUUUUGCUUUUCUCGUUCAUGGUAUAAUUGUGUUUACAUUUAACAUUUUGCAUGAUAUGGAUUAUUGUUUUUUAUCUCGUUUAUUUAUUUGUUUAUAUUAUUCUUAUGCGAUUAAUGUAUUUAUUAUUGUUAUUAUUAUAGCAUCUGUAUGUAUGUAUACAAUAAUGUUGCAUCAUUUUUUUACUCAAAUUUAAAAAUAGAAUUUUCUUUUUAAAAUUGAGAUAAUGUUCGUAUUUAGGAUUUACAAGGAAAUUGAGCCCUAACGUAUUGGGUUCCGAUUUUCUUCGUUAAAUCUAACGAUCGAGCAUUUCUUUUUAAUCAAAAAAAUAAGAAUUCAUUAUCGGGAAUUCAACACGUUGUGUCCUAACGUAUUGGACGUGACGCAUUGAUUUCUCGAAAUGAAGAUUUUUCUAAAAAAAUAAUAAUAAAGGAAAUAUUCCGAGUUUGGGAUUUUAAAGAAAUCGUGCCCUAACGUAUUGGGUGUGAUUUUUUAAAUCUUAGAUAAGUGGAUGUUCUUUUAAGAUUUUUAUGGCACUAGUAUUUUGACCCAAUUCAUUUUUGAGGAAAUUAGAAUGUUGUGCCCUAACGCAUUGGGUGUGACAUUUUUGCUUCUCUAAAUUGAAAAGGGUCUUAAUACGUAACGGUUUUAAAUUUUCUUACUAAGGAUUAUAUAUUUUCAAACUUUCGACUGUAAGGCAUUAAUCAAUUAACUAGGUACCAAUUUUUGGGCGUAAUGAGGGUGCUAAUCCUUCCUCAUACGUAACCGACUCCCCGAACCCGUUUUUCUAAAAUUUGUAAACCAAAGUCAUUUUUAGGUGACCCAAUCACACCUUAAUAAAAGAUUGGUGGCAACUCCCAAUUUUAAUUUUUUUAAAAAGUCGACAACCUAAAAUUUUUUUGUUUUCAAAAAAAUGAUUUCGACAAUACUCAUUUAUUUCUCAAUUUUUCACUUCACGAGCUAAGAUCUCAACAAGUUCUUCCUUGUAGGACAAAUCUGAUUGGACCUCAACUAAUUCUAUUGGAAUCAUGUGAAACUAACCAAUACCUCCGAAGCAUAAAAACAUGGAAUACAUUAUGAAUUAUUUCUCGCUCCAGUGGCAAAGCCAAUCUAUAUGCAACAAGUCCCAUCCAUUUCAGUAUUUGUAUGGCCCAAUGUACCUUAGGCUCAACUUGCCUUUUCAACCAAACCAAAGUACUUUUUUCCAUAGGAAAACCUUUAUAAACACAUUUUCUCCCAUUGCAAACUCAAUUUCCUUUCAUUUUUAAUGAGCGUAGGAUUCCUGUCUAUCUGAAAUUGCUUUCAAUCUAUCUUUAAUCAAUCAAACCUUAUUUUUGGUUUCUUAAAUAAACUCUAGCCCAACUAUUUUAGUUCACUAAGUUUGGUCUAGCAUAUAGAAGUACGACACUUUCGACCAUACAAUAGUUCGUACGGGAUCAUUUGCAUGCUCAAUUGAAAACUAUUGUUAUAGGAAAAUUCAACUAAUGAUAAAUAAUAUUUUCAAUUUCCCUCAAAAUCAAUGAUACAAGCUAACCAUUUGAUUGAGGGUCAAAUGCAGUAUUGAAAUUCAAUGUUUUUCCAAGUGACUCAUGUAACUGUUUCCAAAAUCUAAAGGUGAAACGAAUCACUCUUUUAAAUUCAGAAACAAUCCCUUUACAAGCGUUAGUAUUGGUGAAAUUCACGAUGGUGUUUAAACAAGAGGGAAACCUAGUCAAAAUUAUAGAGACAUGGUGAGAUUUGCAUGUUAUACAUCUCAGUUUGAGCCUAAACAUGUUGAAUAAGCAUUAAAGGAUGUAGAAUGGAUCCAAACCAUGCAGGAACAAUUUGAGAGGAAUGAAUUUUGGCAAUCUGUACCUAGACUUGUAAUGGCAACAUCAUUGGACAUUUUCACUAGUGGCAAGACUUGAAGCAAAGCAAGGCUAGUUGUAUAGGGAUACACUCAAGUGGAAGAAUUUGAUUUCUAUGAGACGUUUUCACUAGUGACAAGACUUGAAGCCAACAGGAUGUUGUUUGUUGUGGCCACUCAUCUUGACAUCAAACUUUUUCAAAUGGAUGUCAAGAAUGCCUUCCUAAAUGUCUACUUGAAAGAAGAGGUAUAUAUGGCACAACCAAUAGGUUUUGAAGAUCUUACACAUCCUGACUAUGUGUACAAACUGAGUAAAGCAUUAUAUGGUUUCAAAAAAGUACAUCGUGCAUGGUAUGAAAGGUUAACUCAAUUCCUUAUUACAUAAGGCUUUGAAAGGGCUUUUUUUGAUAAAACCUUAUUUAUAAAAAGGUAGAAAGGAUAAUCUAAUUUAGCUCAAAUAUACAUUGAUGAUAUCAUAUUUGAACCCACUUCUAUAGCAGCUAAGGACAUCUUUGUGAAGCUAAUGCAAGGUGAAUUCUAUAGGAAAAUUUUGGUAUAGAAAACGAUUUUCAAUCACAACGGAAGUUUAAAAAUUUUGAAAACUGAGCCGAUUUGUAAUAUUAAUAGUAAUAAACUUUUCCCAAAAAGUACAUGUGCUUUGUGCGAGAUGGAUUUAAAUUAUUCAUAGCUUUCAAUCGAACGACCUUCUCUACUAUCAUCGUACCCUGAAUUGUGUCAAGGUGGGCUCGAGUAACACGAACCAAACACAGAACAAGAAACAAUUUAAUUACUUUCAAUCAAAAAGUAAUUCUCUCAAAUAGAAAUCAGUAAAAAUUAUAGUUCCUAGAAAAUAUAUUUUAUUCUUAGAAAAAAAAUUCUCACUACUUUCUAGCAGAAUAAUAAUAUAUGAAACUUGUUUGUUAAAACUUAUGUAAAUAACCAAUGUCACCUAUUUAUAUGGAGAGAUAGGAGAAUCCUAAUUAAAUAAGAAUAGCACAAAUAAUAUUUAUUUAAUAGAAAACACUCCCUUAGUUUAACUAGGAGAAAGGGGGUGACACACCCUAGAAUACUAACACUAGGAUUGUCGCGCCUUACAUGUAAUAUACGGGGUUUUGGGCCUCUCCUAUAUUGGGUCCAAUUAUAUGUGCUUCCUAGACUUUUGACCAACACUUUAUAAUUGUAAUUCAACCCAAUAUUUGUUUUCCCUUUCCCAAAAUAAAUAUUAUUUUAUUUAAUUAAUUUAAUUAAUCAAAUUAAAUUAAUUAAUUUUCCAAUUAAAUAAUUUUUCAAACUAAUUCUAAUUCUGUUAAAGUCAUGUCAAUUUUACCGUGAAAGAAUCUAUAAAGAAAUAUAUUUAAUUUUCACAUCCAAUGGAUUCAUAAUGACUAAUUGAUUCAAUUUAUUUUUUUUAAAUUCAAUUAUAAAAUUAUAAUUAAUUAAAAAAUAAUUCAAAACCCUUAAAUUAAUUAUCAAGUCAUUUCUAUACUUUGUGAGAAAAUGCAUUCAUUUGUGAAGACGACUCAUUUCUUCAACCUUCUCAUUUCCAUUCAUUUCUGUUCAUUUGGUUCUACAUGCAAAUAAUUUUUUUUGUUUCAACAAGUUGGCGGAAGGGCUAAUUGGACAUAUAUAAUCAAGGCUAAAGUAAUUUAAAAUUAAGUUCCAACUUUUCACCUAUUAAUUAUAAACUUAUUUAGUCACAAAGUCAUUCCACUAUAGUAUCGUGACUGAGCUCUCCCUAAUUACAUACCAUUAUGAAAUCUAAAUAAUAAGUUUUCAUCUACUGACCUUUUUAUAAGUGUGUUACCCUCGUAGGAUAUCCUUAAUCUUUUUGGGAUAAAUUCAUUCUCCCGAUAUGAUAUUAUUUUAUCUCAUGGUAAUCAUCACAUCUUCCUUAAUGAAAAUUUAAUUACUAUGAAAUAGUAAUAAAGUCAUUUAUCACAAAGACAAAUGACCCAUGGUUACAUUUACUUUACAUCUAUUAUGAAAUGUCGAUGAGAGGCUAUCAUUUACCCUUUAGCCGGGCUAUGAAUUUAACUAUUGUGAAUGAUGUUACAUACUAUAAAAGUCGUAUACCCAACACACCAACUUUUUGUAACACCCUCAACCCAAUCCAUGUUUUCGGGACCCGGGUCUUGGGUAUUACCACACAAAUAUAGACAAAAACUUAAUCUACUUAUAAAAUUACAAUUAAUUUUACAAGUUAACAUCAUAUAGAUCCAACCUAAAUGACAAAUAUAUAUACAAUGGGAAAAUACAAUUGCAACACAUGGUAAUUUAAUUACAAUGAUAUCUAAGCAUGAUAAUGGGUAACUAAAUCAUUGGUGGUUGGUUGAUAGAAAUGUUGGGAAGUUCAUUUUUGGGUUUAGGGACUAAAUCGCAAAAGAUGGACCAAGUCAAAUAGGCUUCAAAACUUAAAAUCGACGCCCUUAAGGAAAAUUAAGAUAAGUGAGACCGAAAGGAGAUCUAAUUAGGCACCAAUUUGAUAGUCUCCGAUUAGUUUGGUGAUGUCAAGAGAUAAACUAGACUAAUUUGUCUAAAUCGAUAAAAUUGAGGCCGAGCGGUAAAUUUGAGCCAAUUUAGGAGUAAUAACGAUUUAGAUCCCUAAUUCAAAGGUUAACCAACUACAUGGAAAUCAACCAACCACUGUAUGUUAUCGUAUUUGUUAGUUUCAUACUUUACUUGAUUUACAAUUUAGUCAUUGUCCGUUGCUAGGUAAUUAAUUAGUGUAAUUAACCUCUUGUAUGACCUGUCAUAAAAUAAUUGCUUAGUGGUAGGCAGCUAGACUCCUUUAAUUUAAUGUUUGUUGUUUAGAAAUCAUUUAAUCACCGAAUCAUGUGGUUCAAUCCUUAGAAUAUUUCAAUGUUCCAUUAAACAUUAGAAAUAUUACAACUCGACACUGUUCGCUUGCGGUUAACACCACACUUUUAAAUUGUUUGUUUUCUGCGCACACAGCAUGUAGCCAAGUAGCAACCCUAGUAAAAUAUAUUAUAUUUUGCCAUCCCUUGUAUCCAGCGUUAAGGGCUUUUGGACCUCUCCCUUAUUGGGUCCAAUUAUAAUUGUUUCCUAGACUUUUAUCACAGCACUUUAUAAUUCAAUCCAACCCAAUAUUUAUUGUAUUAUUUUCCAAAAUAAACAACAUAAAUUAAUUUCCCAAUUAAAUAAAUUUCUCAACCCAAUUUUGAUUCUUUUAAAACCAUGACAACUUUACCGUAAAAGAAUCUAUGAUAAAAUAUAUUUAAUUUUUCUACAUUCAACUGAUUCACAAUGACUAAUUAAUUUAAUUUAAUUUUAAAACUUCAAUUAAUUAAUUAAUUAAUUAAUAAUUCAAAAAAUCAUAAAUUAAUUCUCAGGUCAUUUUCAUACUUAGUGAGAAAACCAUAUUCAUUUCCGAAUGUUUCUCAUUUCUUUAACUUUUCCAUUUCUAUCCAUUUAUGUUUAUUUGAUUCACUAUGCAAUUCAUUUCUGGUUUCAACGAGCUACAAGAGGGACCGAUUAGACAUAUGUGAUUAGGGCUCAAAUGAUUUAUAAUUAAGUUCUCGUUUUUCACCUAUUAAUUAUUAACUCAUUUAGUCACGAAGUCAUUCCACUAUAGUAUUGUGACUGAGAUCUCCCUAAUGACAUACCAUUAUGAAAGCAACUUAGUUAGUGCUCGUCCAAUAACCUUAUCAUAAGUAUGUUAUGCUUAUAGGAUAUCAUUAAUCUCUUUAGGAUAAAUCCGCUCUCCCAAUAUACUCCUAUUUUAUCUCAUGGUUACCAUAACAUAUUUCUUUAUGAAAAGUUAAUUACUAUCAAAUAGUAAUUAAGUCAUUCAUCACAAAGACAAAUGACCGCUGACCACGUUUAAUUUUUAUCUAUCAUGUAAUACUAAUGAAAGCAUGUCAUUUACUCAUGUCCUCGGCUAUGAAUUCUACUAUUAUGAAUGAUGCUACUGUUGGAUUUAGUACCCUAAAUUUAGUAUUUUAGUCUAAGUACACUUGUAAUUUUUUCGAACAUAUUGAUUAAUAAAAUUAUUCAUGAAUUACAUUAAUACUUUGUAUAUAGUCUUCACCUGGUUUUUACAUGUAAAGAAAAAUAGAAUCAACUAUUAGCUCACUAGUUGUCUAAUAUUUCACUAAUACUAAGCGGAAUUACAUGGUCGGAUCGUAAUACGAAAAAAAACUUAUAUUAGUAUACAAACCUAAACAUGUCCUUAGUCUAAUCAAAAAUGAGAAAACCGAUUAAAAGACUAAUAUGUCGUCUAUCAAGUCCAAUUGGGGAGAUGUCUUGUCUUAGGCAUCGGAGCAGAUGACUCCCAAAAGAUAAAGACAGAUGUGAUUGACUAGAUUGAUAGUACAUUGGACUGGACCCAAGAAGAAUAGAUCUUGAAUUCGUUUAUGGAUUUAUUCACUUGUGACAUUCAUAGUGUGGCAUACCUAAAUCUUGAGUGGAUGACAGACUAUGUAUGUGUGACCCGUAUACGUUGAUAUAAGUAAAAGUCUAAGUUUAUACUGUAGAAGUCGUAUACCUAACGCACCAACUUUUGAUUCCUUAUCUAUUUGAACUUAUACUUUUACUUAUAUCAAAAUAUAUAAGUCACGCAUACAUAGUCCUUCAUCCACUCAGGAUUUAGGUAUGCCACACUAUGAACAUCACAAGUGAAUAAAUCCAUAAACGGAAUCUGAAUUUAUUUUUCUUGGGUCUAGUCCGUGUAUUGUCCGGCUAGUCAAUCACAUAUAUGUCUCUAUCUUCCAAGAGUCAACCGUUCUAAUGCCCAAGACAACGCAUCGCUCCAACUAGACUUGAUACACAGAAUAUUAGCCUUUCAAUCGAUUUUCUAAUUUUUUAUUAGACUAAGGACAUGUUUAGGUAUAUCUACUAAUAAAAGUUAUUUUUUCCUAUUACAAUCCGGCCACGUAAUUCCUCUUAGUAUUAGUUAAAACAUUAAAAACUCAGUGAGUCAAUAUUUGCUUCUAUUUUCCUCUGCAAGCAAAAACCACAUGAAGACAAUUAUACAAAGUAUAUUUAUGUAAUCCAUGAAUUGUUUUAUCAACCAAUGUGUUCGAAAAAAUUUACAAUUUUACAAAUGAAUAUACUAAUCUUAGGGCACUAUAUCCAACAUAAAUGACUUAAACACUUUUAGAGGGCAUCCAAAUGCAAAAGCCUGAUGCCAUUUUGGUGAACAAUAUUUUCAAAUUCAAAAAUUUAUUGUGAAAGUAUCUUUUUUUUUAUUCAAGUUUUUCUCUCCAAAUUGUAGAAGGGAAAAAAAGGUUUUUAAUAGUGGCAACGGUCGUGAAAACAUAUUAAAUGGAGGAUUGGAAAUUGGUUUGAAUUAUAUUUCCAAAAAGUCUGUAAAGGGGUUGUGCAAUGACCCUAACCGAUUCAAUUUCUUCCUUAAGAUACUAUUUCUGAAGCUAUUAUUCUCUCUUCAACAUUCAUCUUUGUUUGUCUUCUAUCAUUCACAAUGGCAAGAACAAACAUUAUUUCUUAAUAGGAACAUAAAAAAGGUUCAGAAAAUACCUUGAACCAGAGACUUGUGUAGAAGAAGGCUCAAUGAAGGCGGUAGUGCCCAUUACUAUUAACCCUUCAGAAGCUCAGGGGAGGAAAUCAAAGUAGAAAGAGGAAGAGGGAGAUACAUCUGCUUAGAAUGCCAUAGCAAAGAUCGAUGAGUUGCUAACUAAUCCACCUGUUCUAGAGCAUCAACCAAUACUAAAGGGGAAGAUUGAUACAUUAAUUGGUACAAUGAUUUCACAAGGUGAUGUUGAUCUUGUUCUUGAUGGAACUCUUAUGAAUACUGCGUUAAAUUUUUAUGUUAAUAUUUUUGUUAGUCUUAGUAAUAAUUCUGUGUUUGUAACUGACAUUAUGGAGCCUGAGGCUCAUCAUGAUGAGAAUGUACCUAUUAUUUCUAUUCUAAAAGAAAUUCUUGAUGAUGUAGUGGUCACGAAAGUGAGAAAAUUAAUGGCAACUUCCUUUGCCCUUUUGAGGAAAAGGACUAUAUAUGUGGCUAAUCAAGAUUUGGAAUCCAUGGUUAAGCUAAAGAAGAAGGAGAAAUGAAAGGCUCGUGUUACCCCUCAACCAUCCCAGAAAAGAAAGAAGGAAUAUGAGAGUUUGAGUGAGGAGGAUUCUAACUCGUUUAAUGAGUCAUACAACAUUUCUAAGAAAAAUGUUCCUCUAAAAGAAACCAUAUCAACAAAGCUAAGUCUAAGAAACCUAUGAUAACAAAUUCUGCCAUCCGAAGAAAUAAGAAAUUGAGAAAGAGUGGUAUACCAGCAAUGCUUGUUGAUGCAGUGGAAAAGGAAAAAGCAAAGGACAAAGUGCUUUUGGCCAAGAAGGAUCAAGUAUUCUUGACACUUAAUUGCCUAAAUAGAUACAUGGCCUUGAGGACAAAGGGCUUUAUUGAGGAGCAAAACAUCAAGGAUGCUAGUUUUGUUGAAUAAGGAAUUGACACCUUCUUAACAAAAAGUGGUCUAAUGGGUACUAUGGCAUUUUUCAAGCCAUAUGUGAGGGAGCUAGUGUUGGAAUUUUAUGCCAAUUUGUUGUCCUCAAUCACUGAUUCAAGAAGCAAAUUGUUCCAGAAGGUAUAUGUAAGAUGCCACUGGUAUGAAUUCAACCGUGAUUUGAUUCGGAGGGUGCUUAAAUGUUUCAAGAAAAACUUCAUUUAAUUGAAUGAAUCUUUGGAUUUACUGCCAUUACCAAAAACAUCGACUGAUCUUGGCCCAAAAAAGGAAGCAUUUGAGCUUUUCCAUUGCCCACUAUUUAUGUUGUCCUAUUUUCCAUUGCAAGGAAUUAGGUCCUAAACACACGGAGGGAUUCAGUGAUUCCACAAGUUGUUGUACUUAUCAAAAAAAUAUAUAGAUGAUUGAGUUUGAUGUGGUUUAGUUGGUGUUUUAUUAGGUGGUAAGUCAUUAUAAGAAAGUAUAUACUAGAUUGUGAAAAUCUAAAGAUUGUGAAAAUCACUAAAAGAUGUGAAAGGACAAUUCCUGAGCUUAAGUUCUCUCUUAAGUGGUUGGAGGGUAAGCAUAUUAGUGCAGAGCCAGUAGAAUAGGCAAUUGGAGAGGAUGUUGAUCAAACAAAACAAGCAGACCAUGAAGCAACAACUACUGCAGGGGAGGCAGAAAUGCCCACUUCCACUGACCCUUCAAGCAAUGAUAAAGGAUUCAACAGAAGGAUGAUUGAUCAUUUGACAUCAUCUAUUCGAUCUUAUAAUAGAGUGAUAGCCAUAACGAGGGCUUCAGUUGAUUAGGGAUGUACGGCCAAUUUUGACCCGAGCCCCAUAGGCCCAAAACCCACAUAACAAGCCCAAAUUACAAACCCUAGCCAAAAACCCAUUUUCAGAAAAAAGAAAAAAAACAGAAAACCCUAGUUCCCCCCAUGUGCGCCGUACACUUCUGCAUCACCAACCCUGCCAUCGCCGUUCGCCUUGUCCCAUCGCCUCUGAUGUCUCCGACCUGUAAACACGCAACCAAGGACGGAAGCAGACCACAAAUGGAGAAGGGGUUCAUUUUCUAUUUUUUCUUUUCGGCUAUAAAGCCUAUCAUUUAAAAACGAAUGGGGUUUUUUUUCUUUUUUUCUUUCUUUCGGCAAAAGCCGAAUCUGCUAUAAAAGAAAAGGUUUUUUGAGGUUUCAUUCUGAAAUAAAAAUCCAAGAAAAAAGCAAAGAAACACAAAGGUUUUCCUAGUUUUCCAACUUUAUUUAUCUAUUCGUUUUUCUAUUUUUGAUUUGUAAUAAUAAAUAUAUUAUAAAUAUAUUAAUAAUAUAAAAAAAGAAAAAAAUAUACCUUGUCAAAUUUCCGGCCACCACGUACGGUGGCCAACGCGACGCCGGAGCGGUGGGCCUUGGCCGGAAUCUGGACUUAGUCUAGAGAGAAUUUUUUUUCUUUCUUCUAUUUUUUUUCUUUUCAAUGCCCAAAUGAUUUUUUUCUCAAAAGAGUGUCUUUUAUACCCUGGUAAAACGACGCCGUUUUGGCCGGCAUUCUUAAGCCCCGAAACGACGUCGUUUUGACUUAGGUCAAAUCGACCCGACCCGUACCGCCUGGGAUCCACGUGUUUUUGGACCAGAGGGGUUAUUUUCGCCCUCGGUCCUUCCGCGUUUGAGGCCGUGUACAAUUGGGUCCUAUCCCUUUUUCUUAUUUGUUUUAAUUUUGCCCCAGAUAUCCUUUUUUCUUGCGAUUUGGUCCAUAGACCUUCUGCACAGACCAUGCUAGAACGGCGUCGUUUAAUAAGCGAGGGGUUAUUUCCCUCUUUGGUCCUUCGCCCUUUUGCGCCCUUCUAUUUUGGUCCUCCUCUACGCAUUUUAUUAUAGUCUUAACCUUUAAAUUUUAUUUUUAUCCCAAAUUGACCCAUUUUGUUAUUUUUGUUGUUUUAUUAACUAAUCUAGCUAUUAUUAUAUUUUCCCAUUAUAUAUAUGUAUAUUUACGUUACCAUUAUUAUACCAUUUAGUUUUACAUUGUUAUUGUUAUAUUUUAUUUAUAUUUACUUAUUUAAGUUUUGAAUAUAUUGGUCCUAUUAUUAUUACUAUUAUAACUAUUUAUAUAUAUCAUCUUAUUAUAUAUAUCUAUAUAUCUCUUUAUAGGCACGUUUUUUUUAGCUUAUAUACAUACAUAUGUUUUGUUAUACAUACAUACAUAUACGUCUAUAUCCAUCAUUCAUUUUUAUAAAAUAUAUGUAUAUACGUCUUUUUUUUAUAUAUAUAUACAUACUUACACUGUUUUAUUUUACGAUAUACAUACUUAUAUCUUUUAUUUUAUGUAAUAUAUAUGUAUGCACAUACCCAUUUUUUAUUUAUAUAUGUACAUAUUUAUACUUUUAUAAUAUAUAUAUACAUGUGUAUGUACGUGUUUAUAUAUAUACACACAUACUUAUACAUAUUAUUUAUAUUUUAAAAUCUAUAUUUUUCUUACGUAUUUUCUAUAUUUUAUAAUUCAUAUAUAUAUGUUUUUUAUAUAUAUCGCAAUACAUAUUAGCAUCGUGUUUCAUUUUACCCAAUAUAUCAAAAUCCAUUUCAAAUAAAUUAAAUCUCGUGUUUAGAUAUUUGAAAAGUCGUGCCUUAACUUACUAGGUUUCGAUUUUCACAAUAAAUCUAAACACGUGAAUAUUUUCAAACUCAAGUUUUUAAACGAUCUCAGGAAUUAAUAAAAGAUCGUGUCCUAACUUACUGGGCAUGAUCCCUUUUCUAAACCGGAGAUAAUUAAAUGUCUUUUUAAAUAAAUAAAUUUUUCGGCAUGUACUCUCGUAUCGGGAAUUCGAUACGUUGUGUCCUAACGCAUUAGAUAUGACAUGUCGUUUUCUCGAGAUAAGGAUUUUUUUUAAAUAAAGGCAAUAUUUUGCGUUUGGAAAUUCGAGUAAACGUGCCCUAAUGUGUUGGGUUUUGAUUUCUCAUUUAGCCAAAUAGCUUGAUAUCCUUUUAAAAUUUCAAAAUACGGGUUUUGGAAACCAUAAGGUGAUCUUGAUUCCUACAGUUUAAAGUAUCAUAUCUUAAGGUGCUGGAUAUAAUAUUCUUUCGGAAUAAGAGAACCUUAAAUUCCAACUCAUAUUAUUCAAAAUUUUUAGGAUCGUAUUUUUAAAAUUCUUCAAAAUUUUCAAUUUUCGACACUAAGACAUUAAGUAAUCAACUAGGUACCAAUUUUGGGCGUAUCGAGGGUGCUAAUCCUUCCUCGUGCGUAACCGACUCCCGAACCUGUUUUCUGACUUCCGUGGACCAAAACUGUUGUUUUAACAAAAUCAAAUCGUUUAUUAAAAACAACCACUUUUCAAGGUGACCCGAUCACACCUUAUCAAAUAGGAUUGGUGGCGACGCCCGUUUUUUUCGUUUUCAUUUUCAAAAUCCAAGUCGACCCCGUUUUCAUCAAAAAAAUGGUGUCAACAGCUUGGCGACUCCACUAGGGACCCAAAAUAAGAGAGUCAAGCCACGAGUUGAUUACUUCUUGUCUUUUUGUCAAAAAUUGAAAAUUUGGUUUAAAUGUACGAUCCUUUUGUUGCAUUUUGUCUGUCAUUUUUGUGGUCUUUAAUAUGUUUACUUUUUUUGGUUCAAGCUUUUUGAUAUUUCUGCACAUUGCAUUGCAUGACCGUUGGUCACAACCUUUUCAGUGGGAGUGAGAAGCUAUUUCCUUCGUGAGGUCUUCACCUCCGUGCAGGAUAGUGGAUCGCUUUCGGGAUACAUCUGUACCUAUGUCUUCGCUAGAUUUUCAUCUCUGUGCAGCCAUAGGGAAAUGUAUUCCCCUGAAUCGAACUCAGUUCGCAUGAGCCUAUAAUGGGUGAGGAUCGAGGAAUCUGCUGGUUUGGGUACCUUUGCUUUAGAGCCGAACCGCAUGUAGUGAACCUAAGAGCCCAGCCUAGGUAGAACUACUUCAAACCCCUAGUGGUUACCCGAAUAGGUACUCUAUUUUUCUUGUUUGCUUUUGCUUUGUACUAACAUGUUUCAUUUUGUUUUGAUUGCAAAAAAGGUGUUGGUUCAAGUUCGAUUACUAAAUUAGAAAGCUUGCCAUGGGAAACAGAUUUCUUGAUAAAGUGGGAGAUAAUAUGGCUACCCAAAUACAUUCCAAGAAACACGACAAAAGAAAGGUGAUGGAAGAGGACAUGAUUCUACUUCGCGGCCCGAAGAUUCAAGCUAAUUAUUUGAGAGUCACCGACAUUCCGACUUCCUUAAAGAAGCUGAUGAGCAUUACGAGGAUGAACAGACGAUGGAUCGCAACUAGGAUUAAGCAAUAAGAAGCUAGUAAGGGCAUCCAUUGGAAAUUUGCAAGAUUUAUCUUAAACAUUCGGAUAAAGAGGAAGAUCAAUGUUGUUUCUUAUAAUAUAAGGGCGAGGCUGUAUAUGCACCCGCUUUAUGUAAAGAAAUUUGUUUUUUAGUAAAGUUUUCUAAAUGGAAUUGAAUCAAAGUCAACGUCUUUUUUGCAUUCAUUUCAUGUAUUUGCAUCACAUGACAUCACAUGCAUUAAAGAUCAUUAAAAGACCCUAAUUGAGUAAAAUUAUUUCAACUAAUCUGGAAAACCAACACCCUUACGGUAUCCAAGCAAAAACUAAAGGAGUGGACCAAAGGUUGGAGAAAUUAGAGCAAAGGCAAAUACAGAUGCAAGAGCAAUUGACCAAAUUUCAACAAGAUAUGCAAGAAUCCCAAAUGAGCUUGAUGAGCCAAUUAGCACAGCUAUCAGCUAGAGAUAAAAAGAGAAACCCUGUAGUCAAUUCUAGGGACGAAUAUGAAGACUCUACCUAUCCUCUAGGUUUCACCCCAAUAGGCAUCCAGGCCCAACCUGACGCACAUCUACAAGGGGUACCCACUACUAACAGACCCCAACGAUAUCAGGCCGGUACCACUGCACCAAUGAACUACCCGACAGUCUUAGGUUCCAAUCCAAGGAACGAUCCGACCAAUCUUGUAGUUCCUGAUUUAGACGAAAUAAAAAAAACAAGGGUAGAACUACCAAAGCAACUUGAAAAUCAGUAUAGAUGAUUGGAAGAAAAACUCAAAGCAAUUGAGAAUGCUGAUUACCAUUGCGGGGUUGAUGCCAAGGAUCUAAGUUUGGCCCCAGAUCUAGUAAUUCCGCCGAAAUUCAAGGCUCCAGGAUUCGAAAAAUAUAAUGGGACUAGUUGUCCUGAAGCUAUCAUCACGAUGUUCUGUCGAAGAAUGACAGGAUACAUUGAUAACGAUCAACUGUUAAUUCAUCGCUCCCAAGAUAGUCUGAUCGGGUCAGCUGUAAAAUGGUACAACCAGUUGAGCCGUGCCAAUAUCCACUCAUGGAAGGACUUGGCACAACCUUUCAUGAAGCAAUAUGGUUACGUGACAGACAUGGCACCUGAUAGAACUACACUACAGAACAUAGAAAAGAAGCAAAGUGAGAGCUUCAGGCAAUAUGCCCAAAGAUGGAAAGAGGUAGCGGCACAAGUCCAACCACCUGUUCUGGAAAAAGAAACCACAGUGCUUUUCGUCAACACUCUGAAAGCCCCAUUCAUUAACCACAUGUUGGGAAAGGCUGCCAUGAGCUUCUCAGAUAUGGUAAUGUCUGGCGAGAUGAUUGAAAAUGCCAUAAGAAGUGGGAGGAUAGAUGCGGGGAAAAGUGUCAAUAGAUCAACCCCAAAGAACAAAGAAAAUGAAGUGGGCCAACCGAGGGUCAUAACCGCUAGCUAUCAAAGUAUUAACGCUGUAUCCGAGGAAUGCCCCGAGAAAGAAUCAGGCAUUUACCCUUACACACUUGGAGGUGUUUUGAGUAGUGGGACUGCGAAAAAGAUCCCUAUAUUUUUUAGAGCUAAUUCGGAGUAAUGUCCAAAACACGCUUAUUGCUCUAAGCCUAGGGGCAAUAAGAAUCCUUUUGUGAGACAGGCUUAUGCCCAACAUCUUUAUUUCAAUAAAAUGCAUCUUUGUUUCUCACUUUGAGGAAACAUUCUUUUAUUCUUUCCAUUUCAUUCAUAAUCAUACUAUACAGAUAAAUAUUCUUAGAUUCUUUUAUUUUUUGGAUCUAUAUUCGUCCUAUAAUAGUUCUCCAGAUAUCAGUGAUGUGAGCGACACUGCUAUUGACUCAGAACCUCCUUUUGAGCAAGAUAUGUGUCCAGAUUAAACCUCAAGACCUUGGAGAUAACUGACACUGUAGCUUAUCUCCUGAUUUGUUAAAAAUGGGAAAACAAGAUUCUACCUUACGCAGAAUCAAUGAGAGCCAUGGCCUUUCUCUAUGUGGGGCACGAAUGUCAUAGAGCCGAUCUCACCUAAGGUUUUUAACGAUUAUCUUUAUGGUCAUCAAUUACCUCACUAAGUAGGCAGAAGUUGCUUCAUAUGCCAAAGUCACAAAGUCAACAGUCUGCGAAUUAUUAAAAAAAUCAUAUGCCAGUAUGAAAUGCCAAAAAAGAGCAUAUCUGACAAUGCACUGAAUUUGAACAACGGCACGACAUCAGAAGUUUGCAGUCUAUUCAAGAUUAGCACCAUGUCACCCCAAAAUGAACAGUACAAUGGAGGCAAAAUAAAAACAAAAACAAAAACAAAAAAGAGCAAAAAAAAACAAAAAACAAAAAAAACUCUACCGGGACAACUCAUUUCUCAUUGGUAUAUGGAAUAGAGGCAGUUUUACCCAUCGAAGUUGAUAUUCCUACCCUUAAAGGCUUGUCAGAGCUGAAGUUGGAUGAAGCAAAAUGGAUCCAAGCCUGAUAUGAUCAGUUAAAGUUGAUUGAAGAGAAAAUGCUGAAAGUUAUCCAUCAAUGGUAAAAUGUACCAAAAGUGAAUGAUACGAGCUCACCAAAAAAGGUUCGCCCCAGAUGAUUCCAUGAGGGGGACCUGAUAUCGAAGAAGAUCCUUCCCAUACAAAAGGACUUUAGAAGAAAAUGGAUGUCGAACUGGAAAGGACCUUAUGUGGAAGGCCUUAUCUGAAAAAGCAUCGAUAUUAACCAGGAUGGAUGGCAAGAACCUGCCUAAUCUUGAGAAUUCUGAUUCAAGCAAUAAAUACUUCACUUGAAAAAAAAAGAGAAACAAAAAAAAGAAAAGAAAAGAAGAACGAAAAAGAAAAAGGAGAGGCCAAGGUGAAAACCCGCAAAGGGCGCCUUGAGACCAAAGGGGUUUUAAAUUGAAAACCCAAGAAUGGGCAGUUCAAAUUUUGAUCAAAGGUGGGGCAUGCGGUAGUCUUGUCCUCUCCGAAUUAAUAAGAAGGAGAGAUGCUACAUCUUAGGGCAUCAACAAAGUCUUCUAGGACUUCUAAACACAUGUCAAAUUCAAAAAGGGUCCUCAAGAAGUUUGGAGCAGAGAAGCUCAUGCUACUAUAUCUGGGGCACCUAUUUCCAUUCAUUUCUCUUGUAUUUUGACAAAGUACGCCAUCUUGAUCAAUUUAUUCUCAUUUUGUAGCAAAAUUUACUAUCUUGAUUAAUUUUUUCAUUUAGAGCUUUGCUCUCAAUAAAUUUCCAUCUUAUCCAUUGUGAUAAUCUUUUUCAUCUUAUUCAUCUCGUAUCUUAGCAAAAUUUGUUAUCUUGAUUGAUUUAUUUGUUUAGAGCUUUGCUCUCAACAAAAUUUCAUCUUGUCCAUUUUGAUAAUCUUUUUCAAGCAUUUUUUCAUUGAAAUAACGAUUACUGGACUGAUAAUAUUCUAGCAAAAGGAGUUUUGCAUAUUACUCUGAAAGCUUCUAAAUAAUACAGGAACCUGAAACAGGACUAUUGUUCAGAGCACACCAAGUUUAAAGGGUGAAAUGUCUAAGAAGGAAAAGUCUAAAUUAAGACUAUCCUUUCGGGUUUUGUCGUCCAAGCAUGGAUGGAACAAAACGACAAAAUGUCGUGUUGGUGACAAAGCUUCAAUGAACAAACGAGCAAUGAUCACCGAGUGAUAAAAAGAGGUUUCUUGGAAGAGAAAGUUCUACAACUGUGUAUAAAUAUUUGGUACGACACCCUAGGAAUGGUGUAGAAGACAAAAGAGAUUCAGAUCUUGUAUCCCUGAAUUACAGUGGGAGAGGAUUGAGAAAGAGCCAGAUUUUAUACUCAGUGAGAGGAAGAUGGCCCGAAUUUUAUGUCCCAAAAUUACCGUGGACUUAUCCUUGAAGAUUACAACGGAUUGAACUUUGAAAAUUACAGGGGGCAAUCUGGCUAAGUAAGGAACGAGUGUUACCAGCCGAGCAAGAUAGCAUUCUGACAUGUUGGCAAUAAAACCUUACUGAAUAACGAGUAAUGACAACCUAAACAUUAAAAAGGGAUCAUUCUCAUAACAUUCUGCAUUCAUGCAAAUAUAAUUCACACACACCUAAUUAGGAGCAUUUGAUUCGUUCUGAUCAUAACAUCCUAAUCAUUAGGCAUAAAUAAGUUCAUAAAAUAGACGUUACAGGUCAUGUUCCCUAGAGAAAAUAUCAAUGAAGUUACCCAUACCCCUGAAGUUACAGUGGAAUGAAUUGAAGUCGUCAUAUCAAGUCCUAUCUCUAAGAAAUUACAGAGGAAUUGACUAGAAGCAGCAGAUCUUGUCUUCCUGUAUUUGGCAGCGAAGUAGAUCGAAGAUUGCAGAUCUUGUCUUCCUGUAUUUGGCAGCGGAGUAGAUCGAAAAUUGUAGAACUUGUCUUCCUAUAUUUGGCAGCGAAGUAGAUCGAAGAUUGCAGAUCUUGUCUUCCUGUAUUUGGCAGCAGAGUAGAUCGAAGAUAGUAGAUCUUGUCUUCCUGUAUUUGGCAGUGGAGUAGAUCGAAGAUUAUAGAUCUUGUCUUCCUGUAUUUGGCAGCAGAGUAGAUCGAAGAUAGUAGAUCUUGUCUUUCUGUAUUUGGUAGUGGAGUAGAUCGAAGAUAAUAGAUCUUGUCUUCCUGUAUUUGGCAGCGAAGUAGGUCAAAGAUUACAGAUCUUGUCUUCCUGUAUUUGGCAGCGGAGUAGAUCGAAGAUAGCAGAUCUUGUCUUCCUGUAUUUGGCAGUGGAGUAGAUCGAAGAUAGCAGAUCUUGUCUUCCUGUAUUUGGCAGUGGAAUAGAUCGAAGAUAAUAGAUCUUGUCUUCCUGUAUUUGGCAGCGAAGUAAGUCGAAGAUUACAGAUCUUGUCUUCCUAUAUUUGGCAGCAGAGUAGAUCGAAGAUAGCAGAUCUUGUCUUCUUGUAUUUGGCAGUGGAGUAGAUCGAAGAUAGUAGAUCUUGUCUUCCUGUAUUUGGCAGCGAAGUAGGUCAAAAAUUACAGAUCUUGUCUUCCUGUAUUUGGCAGCGGAGUAGAUCAAAGAUAGUAGAUCUUGUCUUCCUAUAUUUAGCAGCGGAGCAGAUCGAAGAUAGCAGGUCUUAUCUUCCUGUAUUUGGCAGCGAAGUAGAUCGAAGAUUGCAGAUUCUGUCACCCUAAGCAGUAGUGGAUCAGAUCAAAGAUGAUAAAUCUUAUCUUCUCAAGAUAGUGGAGAAGCAGAUUUAAGCCAUUAGUCCCAUCUCCCUAAGCAGUAGUAGAGUAGGUUGAAAAUCGUAGAUCUUGUCUCCCUAAGCAGUAGUGGAACAAAUCAAAGACAGUGGAUCUUAUCUUCCCGAGGUAGUAGGAAGCAUAUUUAAGCCAUCAGUCCUAUCUCCCUGAAGUUGCAGUGGAGCGGAUUAAAACCCCAGAUCUUAUCUCUCUGAAGUUGCAGUAGAGCAGAUCGCAUCUAGUCUUAUCUCCCUAAGCAGUAGUGGAGCAGACGAAAGAAAUCAAUCCUAUCUUCCUGAAGUUGCAGUGGAGCGGAUUAAAACCACAGAUCUUAUCUCUCUGAAGUUGCAGUAGAGCAGAUCGCAUCAAGUCUUAUCUCCCUAAGCAGUAGUGGAGUAGACGAAAAAAAUCAAUCCUAUCUCUCUGAAGUUACAAUAGAGCGGAUUAAAACCACAGAUCUUAUCUCUCUAAAGUUGCAGUAGAGCAGAUCGCAUCAAGUCUUAUCUCCCUAAACAGUAGUGGAGUAGACGAAAGAAAUCAAUCCUAUCUCCCUGAAGUUACAGUGGGGCGGAUUAAAACCCCAGAUCUUAUCUCUCUAAAGUUGCAGUAGAGUAGAUCGCAUCCAGUCUUAUCUCCCUAAGCAGUAGUGGAGUAGACGAAAGAAAUCAAUCAUAUCUCCCUGAAGUUACAGUGGAGCGGAUUAAAACCACAGAUCUUAUCUCUCUUAAGUUACAGUAGAGCAGAUCACAUCUAGUCUUAUCUCCCUGAAGUUGCAGUGGAGCAGACAGAAGAAACCAAUCCUAUCUCCCUGAAGUUGCAGUGGAGCGGAUUAAAACCACGAAUCUCGUCCCCCUAAAGUUGCAGCAGAGUGGAUUCAAGCUACAAGUCGUAUCUCUUUGAAGUGCAGUAGGGUAGAUCAAAACAACAAGACCCAGUCGAGGGGAAGGAGACUACCUGAAGAAGAAGCACCAAGAAGUCAAGAUUUGGCAAGAUCGGGCAAAAUGGGCCUUUCUUAAUCUUUGCUUGUUCUCGUUACACGACAACAAGAAAAGAGGGGCAGCUGUACGGCCCAUUUUGACCCGGGCCCCAUAGGCCCAAAACCCACAUAACAAGCCCAAAUUACAAACCCUAGCCCAAAAGCCAUUUCCAGAAAAAAGAAAAAAAAUAGAAAACCCUAGUUCCCCCCAUGUGCGCCGUACACUUCUGCAUCACCAACCCUGCCAUCACCGUUCACCUUGUCCCAUCCCCUUUGACGUCUCCGACCUGCAAACAAGCAACCAAGGACGGAAGCAGACCACAAACGGGGAAGGGGUUCAUUUUCUAUUUUUUCUUUUCGGCAAUAAAGCCUAUCAUUUAAAAACGAAUGGGGGGUUUUUUUUCUUUCUUUUGGCAAAAGCUGAAUCUGCUGUAAAAGAAAAGGUUUUUUGAGGUUUCAUUCUGAAAUAAAAAUCCAAGAAAAAGCAAAGAAACACAAAGGUUUUCCUAGUUUUCCAACUUUAUUUAUCUAUUCGUUUUUCUAUUUUUGAUUUGUAAUAAUAAAUAUAUUAUAAAUAUAUUCAUAAUAUAAAAAAAAAGAAAAAAUAUACCUUGUCAAAUUUCUGGCCACCGCGUACGGUGGCCAGCACGACACCGGAGCGAUAGGCCUUGGCCGGAAUCUGGACUUAGUCCAGAGAAAAUUUUUUUUCUUUCUUCUAUUUUUUUUCUUUUCAAUGCCCAAAUGAUUUUUUUCUCAAAAGAGUGCCUUUUAUACCCUGGUAAAACGACGCCGUUUUGGCCGGUAUUCUUAAGCCCCGAAACGACGUCGUUUUGACUUGGGUCAAAUCGACCCGACCCGUACCGCCUAGGAUCCGUGUGUUUUUGGACCAGAGGGGUUAUUUGUGCCCUCGGUCCUUCUGUGUUUGAGGCCGUGUACAAUUGGGUCCUAUCCCUUUUUCUUAUUUGUUUUAAUUUUGCCCCAGAUAUCCUUUUUUCUUGCGAUUUGGUCCAUAGACCUUCUGCACAGACCAUGCUAGAACGGCACCGUUUAAUAAGCGAGGGGUUAUUUCCCUCUUUGGUCCUUCGCCCUUUCGCGCCCUUCUAUUUUGGUCCUCCUCUGCGCAUUUUAUUAUAGUCUUAACCUUUAAAUUUUAUUUUUAUCCCAAAUUGACCCAUUUUGUUAUUUUUGUUGUUUUAUUAACUAAUCUAGCUAUUAUUAUUAUAUUUUCCCAUUAUAUAUAUGUAUAUUUACGUUACCAUUAUUAUACCAUUUAGUUUUACAUUGUUAUUGUUAUAUUUUAUUUAUAUUUACUUAUUUAAGUUUUGAAUAUAUUGGUCCUAUUAUUAUUAUUACUAUUAUAACUAUUUAUAUAUAUCAUCUUAUUAUAUAUUUAUAUCUUAUUAUAUAUAUCUAUAUAUCUCUUUAUAGACACGUUUUUUUUUAGCUUAUAUACAUACAUAUGUUUUGUUAUACAUACAUACAUAUACGUCUAUAUCCAUCAUUCAUUUUUAUAAAAUAUAUGUAUAUACGUCUUUUUUAUAUAUAUAUAUACAUACUUACACUGUUUUAUUUUACGAUAUACAUACUUAUAUCUUUUAUUUUAUGUAAUAUAUAUGUAUGCACAUACCCAUUUUUUAUUUAUAUAUGUACAUAUUUAUACUUUUAUAAUAUAUAUAUACAUGUGUAUGUACGUGUUUAUAUAUAUAUACACAUACUUAUACAUAUUAUUUAUAUUUUAAAAUCUAUAUUUUUCUUAUGUAUUUUCUAUAUUUUAUAAUUCAUAUACAUAUGUUUUUUUUAUAUAUAUCGCAAUACAUAUUAGCAUCGUGUUUCAUUUUACCCAAUAUAUCAAAAUCCAUUUCAAAUAAAUUAAAUCUCGUGUUUUGAUAUUUGAAAAGUCGUGCCUUAACUUACUAGGUUUCGAUUUUCACAAUAAAUCUAAACACGUGAAUAUUUUCAAACUCAAGUUUUUAAACGAUCUCGGGAAUUAAGAAAAGAUCGUGUCCUAACUUACUGGGCAUGAUCCCUUUUCUAAACUGGAGAUAAUUAAAUGUCUUUUUAAAUAAAUAAAUUUUUCGGCAUGUACUCUCGUAUCGGGAAUUCGAUACGUUGUGUCCUAACGCAUUGGAUAUGACAUGUUGUUUUCUUGAGAUAAGGAUUUUUUUUAAAUAAAGGCAAUAUUUUGCGUUUGGAAAUUCGAGUAAACGUGCCCUAAUGUGUUGGGUUUUGAUUUCUCGUUUAGCCAAAUAGCUUGAUAUCCUUUUAAAAUUUCAAAAUACGGGUUUUGGAAACCAUAAGGUGAUCUUGAUUCCUACAGUUUAAAGUAUCAUAUCUUAAGGUGCUGGAUAUAAUAUUCUUUCAGAAUAAGAGAACCUUAAAUUCCAACUCAUAUUAUUCAAAAGUUUUUAGGAUCGUAUUUUUAAAAUUCUUCAAAAUUUUCAAUUUUCGACACUAAGACAUUAAGUAAUCAACUAGGUACCAAUUUUGGGCGUAUCGAGGAUGCUAAUCCUUCCUCGUGCGUAACCGACUCCUGAACCUGUUUUCUGACUUUCGUGGACCAAAACCGUUGUUUUAACAAAAUCAAAUCGUUUAUUAAAAACAACCACUUUUCAAGGUGACCCGAUCACACCUUAUAAAAAAGGAUUGGUGGCGACUCCCGUUUUUUUUCGUUUUCAUUUUCAAAAUCCAAGUCGACCCCGUUUUCAUCAAAAAAAUGGUGUCAACAAGGGAUAUAGGGGUAAACUAAGGAAGGAUCUGCAAAGUAAGUGAUCCUUACACAAUUAUUUUCUCAAUCCAAUGGUCUUGUACUCAUAAUUAUAUGGAUUGACUUACUCCUACCUGAUUGUGUUGUUUUAAUCAUCACAUUCUUUGACAUUUGUUUUGCCUUGGUCCAGUUAAGAAAAUAAGAAUCUUUAGCAUUAUGAUUGGCAAGUUUGUUAAACAAAAAAGGGAAGUAGAGAACAAACAAUGAGGAGUGGAAGUAAAUAUAUGGAUGUUGCUGGUUCCAAAUGAUUGUUACUAUCAUGCUAUAUGGGAAGUAUAUGUCUUUUGUUGAUUGAUGAAGCUACUUACAUUUCGAGAAGAAGAUUUUGAUGAUUUUGAAGAUGCGUUAGACCUUAUGGCGGUGAUUUUGUUUUCUUUUGAAAUUCUUUGCACCGGUCUAUAUAAGUGAGAUGAUGAUACUUAUUUGCUAAUUUUGAUUCUAUGGAUAUUGUGGCAUUAUUGAAAUGAUCUAGAACCGUGAUAAUAUUAUGAUAUGAUGUAUGUUUACUUUGUUGCACUUUACCUUAUCUAUUGCUUAUUUAUAAUUUAGUAUUUUGAUUGUAUAUAUGAAUUCUAGAAUAGCAUUCAUAGUUGAAAUUACUAUAUUAUGUAUUAAAAAUAGCUAAGUAGAAUGAGGUUUGUGCCGAGGGGGAGCUAUUGUUGUUUAUGGUAGUUAGCUUCCUAUAUUGUUUGAUUUUUUCAUUAAAUUGUCAAAGGGGGAGAUUGUUGUUUGUGGUAGUGCCAACUACAGACUGCCACUGAGGUAUUUAAAAUUUUUCUUAUUUGGUUUGAUAAUUUAGUGAAGAAAAUCUUUGGACCUGGUUAUGUGACGUUACAUUGAAGAUAUUUUGUUCCAUCUAUGGAAACAAAUCCUUUGCAUUUAAAGAUUGGAUUGAAUUUGUGUGAAUCAAUUAAGUCAUUGGAAUAUGGAGAAUCGAUUGAGAUAGUGCUGUUGAAUUUGAAUAGCAUAUCUUCGACUGAUUUUGUUUUGAUUAUUAUUGAUGUAAUAUCUAUUUUUAGGGAGUUACUUUGUAUUAACUUAGUUUCUAUGUUAGCAAGCCGAAAUGAUAUAUGUUUCGAGGCUUGUAUAGAUUUUGUAUGAGAGCUUAUUGAGUGCAUUCAAAUAUGUUUAUUAAGGAACUAUUUUUGUGAGGGAGUGCAAACUGAAUUGUAAGCAUUGUUGAGUGUUUACUACCCAAGUUCUUAGGAGGAAGAUUUGGAGGUGAGUGUUCUAGUCUUUUGGUACAAAGCUGAGAUCUCUAUACUUGGAAUGUGAUAGAGUGUGAAUCACUUGUUGUAUUGUGUACUAAAGAUAGUGGAAUUACUUACUGAGUUACGCUCCAAAGACGUAGGGAAUCAAAACUGCAUAAACAAAACUCUGUGUUAUUUCUAUUUUGUUUGCACAGUUUUUCGCAAUGCCAAGCCUUAGUGGCCAUUGCAGUCUAACACUUACAUUGCAAUUUACACUUUGAGCAAAUAAGCAACUUAAGGUAGCAACAAAAUCUACACUUUAUCCUAUGCCAAUUUACAGUUCGACUUCUAACUAAUUGUAAUGAUUACGUAAAGCAUCCUCCAACUCUGUAUGUAAGGCCGUGACACUAUAUAUUAGCGUGGCGAUGUCGUUUUGAAGUUUUGUAUUGAAUUUUCAAGACCAUUUUUAAAUAUGUAGAGAUAUUUUAAGAGUAGAUUUCUUUUAAAAGUAUGAUCUUUUUAUUGAAGGAAAUUCGAUCAUGCCAAAAGCUUUUAAAAAGAAAUUUUGCUCGAGUGAUAUUUAAUGUGAUUUAAUCCAGUAAAUUAAUCCUUAAAAAAUAAUCCAGUAAUUGUCGAUCAAAAGUACGACAACAAAUAUGGAAAGUUGCAUAAUGUUUUACUUAUAAAAUAAGUUGCAACUGAAGUUACAUACAAGAUGCGCAACGGGGACUAACACUAUACUUGUUGACAACAUUGACUUCUUGCAAGCAGUGCGAUAACUGUGUUUUCUGAAAAUAUUUAUUUAUAUUUUGAAUUUAAAAUUAAUGUAAUGUGAUGAAAAUUAUUUAAUUAUAUUUUUUACAAAAAAUAUUCAAUUAAUUUAUCAAAAUAUGAUUUUUCCCCAAUUUUUUUAUCAUAUAAUUAUGAUUUAAUAAUAUAUGCCACGUGCAUAGCAGAUGUGUAUAUAUAAUGCAUUCAAAAUUAUAUUUGUAAAAUGUCUUUUGGUAAGAGAAAAUCAUAAGGUUUCAAUGCUAAUUUAGAAUAUAGACUUAGCAAACAACAAAAUUCAGGCAAAACAAGAAGACUCAGAUUCAAUGAGGCGACCGGAAACUAUCUUUUACUGUUAGAAUUGCUAGAACUUAUGGCAGUUGUGAAGGCAAAUAAACUCUGUUAACCGAGACAACCUUAAUUUAAACCGAGUGAGGCACAUUUUUAAAUUAUUUUGAUGUAAGUAUAUGUGAGAAGGUAGUGAAUAAAUUUUGAUGUACCAAAUGAGUCAAACAUAUAUCCAAAAUCUCAAUCACUAUAAAUUUGACCAGAGAGAACUUUUUAGAUGAUUUAAUCAAUGUUUGUAUAGAUGUUAAAAUCUCAAUCACUAUAAAUUGGGUGGGCAGUUGUUGAGUUCCAGGCCGAUUGUGAAGAACAGGCUUUCAUCUAUAUCGGUUGGGACUUCGGCCUUUUCUCGACUUCUAAAGCUUUGGCUGAAGGCGGUGACAGUGUUGGUGUCGUUGUAGGCUGGUAAAGAAGGCAUGAUUGGAGUGGGUCCAUUGCAU
rnacentral:lncRNA from 1 species